ACGGAGUCACCUCCGCGUCGGCAAGCCUCUGCGUCCGCGCGCGGCUCCGUCGCUUCCGCGGCCACGCGCGACUCUGCCAACGCCGAGGGGCUCCGGCCGUCGUGGUUGUCCGCCUCGGCGUUGAGCCACGGCUCCGUCGCCUCCACAGCCACGCGCAACUCCUAUGCUGUCGACGUUGCGACCUCGCGCGGCUCGCCGCCGCCGCCGCCACGUGCGACUCCGUCGGCCGCGCGCGGCUACGUCGCCUCCCCACCCAGGCGCGACACAGCAAACCCCUCCACGCGACACGGCGGCCAGACCGCCGCAGCUACUCGCUGGCCUCCGCUCGGUAGCACGUGUAGAUAGAUGCAUGCAGUGCAUGGCCCUAUUCACGUGGCAAGGUGCAGGAGCGUGGCAAUCUGCAGCCAUGCCUGCGUUCGGGGACCUAUAUGACACGCAAGACAAGUUCGGGGACCUAAAAAUACAUUUUGAGAGUUUAGGGACCUAGAUGACACACCCGCACAAGUUUAGGGACCGCUGGUGCACUUCACUCAAAUAAAAACAUUGCAACACAACAAAAGGUCAAAAGCAAAUCAUCCGUGGUCGAUAAAAACUUGAAAAAAAAAGGGAGCCGGCAGGAUGGGCGUGUAGAUUCCGCUUCGUAUGAUUUAAGUCAAACGAUAUUGGCCGAAACCAAUAUGUCCAAGCUUGUGGAGUUGUUCAUCAUCAAACCAGGGUUGGUGGCCAGCCAAAGCCCUGGGAGAGACAACACAGGCCAGGCUUCUGCCCGGAACAGAGCCGGCCUGAAAAGAGCGGCGCACGACAACUUCCCAACCUUGCCAACUCCCCGCCCCCCGUAAGAGCUGGGGAUACAGGCCCGCACCACCAGGCUCGGCGAUGCGAUCACCUCCACGCCCUAUUUUAUCCAGCUCUCGGCCGUAGCAAAUUUUCCGUGUGGGACUAAAAAUUGGUUUACGAGGGGGCUCAUCGUAUACGGUAUACCGUAUACGCAGGUAAUGUACGUCCCCUGCGUCUUACGCAACACAAGCGUGCAUAAUAGUGUGGAUCACGCAGAAACCAAGCCCAUGUUAUUAUUCUAGUUGAAUUAAUUUUGUCAUAUUGUUUUCGGUGCGAUUGAAUCUUGUUUAGCCGAUCGCUUGGAUAUAUGAUGAGGCGAUCGAAUGUUGAUUCAAAGCUACUCCAUCCGUUUCAUAAUGUAAGAUUUUCUAGCAUUACCAUAUUCAUAUAUAUGUUAAUGAAUCUAGACAUGCUAAAAAGUCUUACAUUAUAAAAUGGAGGAAGUAAUAAGAUUAUAAGAAAGAGAUCGAUCGGGUUCUCGUGCACAAGACCAUGUUAUAAUUCUAUUAAGUUUUGUGGUCGAAAGGGUAGUGGUUUUCUUCCUCAACUUGAACAUACAAUUGUGAUUUUGACGACUAGGUUGUGGUUUUACUAGCUCUCGCUUUUACAAAGGAAGCUACGAUUAGGGCGACGCUAAUGGGCGGACCCCCCAAUCCCUCUAUACGUCCUCUCCCCCCUUCCUUCUCCCCUUCUUCUCUUCCUACUACACCAUAAAUUUUAAAAUAAUAAAAAAACAAAUUUAAAAUUUUUAUGUAUAAAAAUACUAUAUAUAAAAAAUAUUUGAAUUCAAAUUUAAAUUUGAAUCAGAUAUAUAAAACUUUUUACUUAUAAACUUUGGGUCUAUAAACUUUAGGUGUAUAGAGAUACUAUAUAUGAAAAAAUUUGAAUUCAAAUUCAAAUUUGAAUCGGGUAUAUAAACUUUUGACUUAUAAACUUUGGGUCUAUAAACUUUAGGUGUACAAACUUUAGAUGUAUAGAAAUACUAUAUAUAAAAAUUAUUUGAAUUCAAAUUUAAAUUUGAAUCGGAUAUAUAAACUUUUCACUUAUAAACUUUGGGUAUAAACUUUAAGCGUAUAAACUUUAUAUGUGUAAACUUUAGGUGCAUAAAUUUUCUAAAAUAGGAAAGUAAUACGGUGCUAAAAAAGAAAAGUGGAGGGAGGGGGGAUUGAUCGCCCGGAGCGAUUGAUCGCUCGUUAGGAUUCUCGCUACGAUUAGCAUCUGUUUUAAAAGUCGUUCAAUAUUAUAGGAGUACUAAGUUAAACAUGCGAUUUUAUAGUUUAAUAUUUGUGACAUUUAUUAGCGGUUUAUGAUCUAUAUCGAUAUGUUUCCUUCCACGAAUAUUUCAGAUACCGUUUUAUGUUUCGGGCUUUACCUUUUUUUUAUUCCGUUUCUGAGCGUUUCCGAGAAUAAGCUUAAGAUAUUCUGGUAAAUAUGACCGGUUGUUUUACGUCCGGUUGUGAUAUGACAACAACCGAUCGAUGUAUGGUUGUUUAUUCAAAGCUCUAUCUGUAUAUUUAUCUAUAUAAUCAUCCAAAAAUUGUUGCUCUUUAGUUUCUCCCCACCCAAAAAACCAUUAUAGUGACGAUUUCUAAUACAUAAUAGAGCUAUUUUCUUAACUGUUACGACUCCCCUUACAGCACCGAUCUAAUUGUAUAAGGCCCUGUUUAGUCCCAAAAAGUUUUUCCCAAAAACAUCACAUCGAAUCUUUGAACACAUGCAUGGAACAUUAAAUGUAGAUUAAAAGAAAAACUAAUUGCACAGUUAGGGAGGAAAUCACGAGACGAAUCUUUUGUGCCUAAUUAGUCCAUGAUUAGCCAUAAGUGCUACAGUAAUCCACAUGUGCUAAUGGCAGAUUAAUUAGGCUCAAAAAAUUCGUCUCGCGGUUUCCAGGCGAGUUAUAAAAUUAGGUUUUUCAUUUGUGUCCGAAAACCCCUUCCGACAUCCGAUUAAACAUCCGAUGUGAUACCCAAAACUUUUCAUAUCGCGAACUAAACAUGCCCUAACUAUGCCAACACUCACUGCUACAGAAACUGGCCCUAGGGAGGGAGGUGAAUGAAUGCAAUGAGUUGAAAGAGAUCAUUGAGCACUUUGAUAUCAGUCAGGGACCUGACAUUCUGAGAUGGGGACAAGCACAAAAAUAACGAAUUUGGACACAGAAGUUGGCCUUGGGCAUGCAGCCAGGAGCAGUAGUAGCAGCAAUGCAGCAACAGCUGUAGCUUGAUGCUUGCUCGUUUAACAGUAACUCCAGUUUGAAUUUUUUUUGCACGAAGCGAACUUGAAAGCAUGUAGUGAAGAUUUUCUAAUGCAUACUAAUACUGCCGCAAAUAUGCCAUGAGAAAAAAGCGUCACAUAUCCAAUCUGAUUUUUCUAAUUCAUACUUAUUUUUCAAAAAGUAUAUUUUUUUCUACAACAACCGCAAAGAGUGUCACAUAUCCAAUCUGAUUUUUCUAAUUCAUACUUAUUUUUUAAAAAAAUAUAAGAAUUGAAAAUGUUUUUAUCAGUAUUUUGGUACGUCAUCUAUAUUUGAGUCGGUUUUUAAAUUCGUUCACUUUUGAAAAUACAAAUCCGUGUUUGAAUUGAAUUUUAAGUUCGUUUGUUUUGGAAAUACAAAAAGAGUCGUAUAAGAAAUCUUAUUAAAAAAACUCACAUGCUAACUUGAGAUGAAAGUCAGACUCCUAAUUGCAGCUCAUGAUUUUCUAAAAAAAAUAUCUAAGCGAAUUCCCACAGUGAAUUUUAUCCUAGCUAAACCGUAUAACAAUAAUAAUAUUAAAACAAUAUUCACCUGUGUCGAUGUUUGAGAUCGUGACUACGGUAUUUUGAUGGUAUGGGGAUUUUUGGUACCAGGGUAUAUGCGAGAUUGAGGUAAAAUAGAUGAAGGCAAUGAUUUUUAUAUAGGUUCGGGCCCCUUAUCUGGUAGGUAAUAAUAACCCUAUAUCUAUUGGCUGAAGCCGGUAUUGCUAUUUAUUCAUCUGGAUCACAUAAGUACACAAGUACAAGUUCCUUUACCAUACUGAAUGCAUGCUUAUUAAUUCAGUUAAUUGCUUUACAUCGAUGUAUCCUGCAUUUGUCCAAGACUACUCGUCCCGCCAGCACACGUGUUCGUAACCCGAGUGAGAGUUGGUAUUCAUGCGUCGCCCCCCGUGUCGGGCGACUCGGGCGGCGGAACCCUAGCCGCCGCCGCCGCCCUUCCCCGCCCCUUCCUCUGCCUUGCCGCCGCCUGAGCGAGCGGCCGGCAAAGCCGGCGGCUCGCGAGGAUGGCGGCGGCGGGGCUCGCGGCGGCCAUCUCCCGAGCUCCUGGCGCGGGUGGACGCAAAGGCAGUGGCCGACCGGAGCGGCGCCGGCGUCGAGGCUCAUGGCGGUGGAUCCGGCGUCACCACCACCGGAUCUGGCGCGCUCGCAGCUGGAUCCGGUCGCGGAGGCGCGGGCACGGCGUCGGCGAGGCGUGGGCGCUGGCGGCCGCGACAGGCGGUGGCAGGCGCAACGGCGGCGCAGGCACGGGCGGUCGGGCGGCGGCGUCAGUCGCGACGGCGGAGCAGGCGCGGGCGGCCGCGGCAGGCUCGGAGGCGCGGCUGCUGUGGCCGGCGGCUCGAUGCCUGGCGGCGACGGCAGCGGUGCCCCCAGAUCCACGCCUCUCGGCCGGAUCUGGAGGAUGGGAGUAGUCGGCAACGGCGGCGGUGGCAAUUGGCGACGGCGGUCUCGGCCGGAUCUGGACGCCGGUGGCAGUUGGCGACGACGGCGACGGUGUGGUGACGGCGGUGGCGGCGGCACUGGGCCAGCGGCAGUUGGCGACGGCGGUGUCGGCUGUGGUGGCUGCCGUGUCAUCUGGCAACGGCGGCGGAAGACAUGGCGUCGGGCUGCUAGCUGUUCGGUGGUGGAGGGCGACGGCGCAACAGCGAUUUGCAGAGGCGGUGGUUGGCGUCGGUGGCAGCGGCGACGGCGGCUGUGACUCUGGAGGUGGUGGCGACGUCGGCGGCGGGGAAGGAGUCGGGGGCGAGGUGGCUGGGUGUUCGGGAGCCAAGGAUGUGGUGGUGGUGACCGUGUUUGCGGUCACCGGAGGCAUGGCGGCCUUGGUUGACUAGCCGAGGGCGUGGGAGACGGCUGCAGCUGGCCGGCGCGGUAUCGUUCGGUGGAGGGGUCGGAGACCGGCUUGGCGCAGAGAAGCGCAGCCGAUGGCAGCGGAGGCCGGCUCGGCGCGAGAGGCGCGGGCGGCGGAGAUGGAGGCCGGCUUGGCGCGAGAGGCGCGGCCGAUGGAGGGAGGCCGGAUUGGCGCGAGAGGCGCGUCCGGUGGAGGAGGCCGGCUUGGCGCAGAGAGGCGCGGCCGGCGGUGGAGGAGGCGACCUAGGUAUGAGGAGGAGUUGCCGGUGGGUGUGGCGCGGUCUUCGGCGCACGAAGGCUGGUCGGCGGGGGACGCCGGUGCAGGGGUCCCACAUGUCGGCAAAGCUUGUGCGGUGGUGGAGCAUCGGUGCGCCAGCCGUGCCUUUGUUGGUCUAGUGGCGGUCGGCCACGCUUAGCGGCGGCCGAUCCGGUACUAGUCUUCUCCUGGGCGUGUGUGUUGGCGAUGUCGUCGUGUGGGUGGUGGUAUUUUUUUCUUUUCCUGGUUACGACUCUCCAUGGUUGUAAUCUUGUACUUUUUUCCUGCUCUAUCAAUAGAACUUCGCACCGUCUCGUGCGAGUCGUUAAAAAAAAAGAGUUGGUAUUCAUGAUAGGAUAUAUCAAUCAUUCCAGCGUUAGUUAUAAGAGAUUAAGAGUGCGGCGAAAAAUUAAUUACUAUAUGACAUAGCAGCACUGCUCUUUAUUUCAUAGUACUAUAUAUAUAUAUAUAUAUAUAUAUAUUAUUACUGCAGCACAAGCCACACACUGAUGACGACACACACUUUAUAGAAAAGAAAAGAACAAAGAAGGAAAAUACCAAAGACACGACUAGCACACACGCGCAUAUACAUAGCCUUACAGGAGCGCACAGUGUAACUCGUCCUCUCCAUGAUCAGCCGUGUAUGUACGUACGUAUUUUUAUUCCUUUACUUAUUGAGAAACAAUAUAUAUAUUUAUAGUAGAUAUAGUAGUUGUUUGAUUCAUGGUUGAGCAGUGGAUCAGUGGUUGGAGCUAUAGCUAGCUCCGGCUUAGCAGCAGCGGAAGCACUCGCCGUGGUGGCCGCGGUGGCAGCAUCCCCAGCGACAGCCAUGGCGCCACGGGUCGUCAUGGCGCCACGGGUCACGGCCUGGGUAACCGCCGUUCCACGGCGGGUAGUGGCCAUAGCCUGGUGGUCCGCCGCCACCACCCCCACCACCACCGCCCUGCUUGUUGGCCUCUGCAAACCCGGAUCGAUGAAACGUUUAAAUAGUUGAAUGCACCGAUCAAUUUAACUUAAAAAAUCAAACUAGCCAGAAAAUAUGCAUGCAUAGAAUACCGAUAUAUAUAAACUUGUGUGCACAUAUGUUAGCUGCUACCUAACCUGAAAUUAAAUAUAUAAACGAACGUAUGUAUGCAACAUGUAGGUUCAAAAGCUAUCAAUAGUGUAUAUAUAUGCAUGCGAUCGUGCGUGAGAAAAAAAAAAGAUCAAUUAUACAAGCUACUCCGUAGAUCAUAACUACGUAUAUAGCUAGAGAUCGAAGCUGUGUCUACCGGAGAUUCGAUCAAAAUCUUAUUCCUUUUGUUUUCUACGGAAAGGUAAACUGUAAACAUCAUAUAGCGUAUAUAUCAUAUAAGUAUAUAUAGUGUGUGUGCUCACGAGGGUCCUGGGCGGAGGCGACGAAGCAGAGCGCAGCAACGAGCAGAAGAGCGAACACGAUGAUAGCCUUACGCGCCAUGUAUACUAGCUUAGAUCUUUUUGAUGAUCUGAGAGAUAUCCUUACUGAUCACUUGUUACUAGCUGUGAACCUGUGAUGAACUGAUGAGAAGGUAGUAUAUGCAAACCAAACGUAUUUAUAGGCAGAUAAUGAAGGCUGCUGAUUCGGCCUGACCGUGGGUUCGAUCGAUCGAGUAGUUGAUGACAGUAGAGCUCUAGCUCGUUGACAUUAACGUACUCAUCAAUCUAUAUAUCUAUAUAGUAUAUUCUAUAUACUUUUUGUGUGUGGAAGAAGAAAUGCAUGCCAUCAAGUUGACUCUGUAGCUAGCUUUAAUUUGUGUCUGCUAGCUCACUCGGUAAAUCCAAUUGUAUAUAUGGAUUUUCACAAGAUUGUUUAAUCGUGGCAGCCAGUCGAAAGCGUCAAAUAUGAGUAGACGACAUAUAGAAAGUUUUUGCCAACCUUGUCUAGACAUACUUCUUAAUUAAUUUACUAAGAAUGCAAGAGAGAUAAACUCAAGUGCCAAAAAGUCAAAAUAAGAAGGCCGAAAUGUUGAGCUUUUCUGUAAAUAAUUCUCGACUCUAGACACACGAUAUCUUCUUUUGAGUUAUGUUACUGAUGAUAGGGACGAUUGACUUUGCUUCCAGCUAUCCGAUCGAUUGUGAUUUGGUUUUUAGUUUUGUUGGUGUUUUCCGUUUGUUUUUAUGGGCAAUUUGAUCCUCCUGAAUGUUUCAAGGCGAUGCAUGCAUGUGUGUAUUUAUGUUCAAACUUUUGCUUAGUUAGUUAUAGGUUAUAGGUCAUAAGUGAAGUCAAUUACCGGUAUGUACGUUAAAAAAAUAGAGUAAAUUUUAUAAAAUCUCAUCUAUUAUAAUCCAAGAUACUAAUAAAAUAAAUUUUACUAUACUUGAGAAAGUAUCUUGAGAUAUCAAAAUUUUACACUAAAAUUUUUAGUACCUUAAGAUACUUAUUAUUACCUCCGUUUUAGGUUAUAAGAAGAUUCAUUAACAUCUAUAUGAAUGUGGGCAAUGCUAGAAAGUCUUAUAAUAUGAAACGGAGGAAGUAGUACAUAGAGAUACCAAAUUUUACACUAAAAAAUAUGGUACCUCUAGAUACCUUCUCAAGAAUAGUAAAAUUACCCUACUAACAAUAGAGAUUUUAGCACGUGAACCAUAACCCGGUUAGUAUGAUCCUAAAGUUUUAUAAAACCAUACCAUUAAUCAUUGUGACAUACUACUAUAUCAAAAAUUUUAAAAGCGAAUGUGACAUUUAUAUGAAUAAAACUACGGGAAAACAUUUUGAACACGCACCUGGAAUAAUUUCUCUGACAUUUGUUGCCAAAUCAAAAAAUAUCAUUAAAAUACCGAAGAAUAAAAAACCGCCCGACCAGCCAGAGACUUUUACCACUACCUUGACGAUGCUCCGGGCUCCGGCAGUUGGACUCGAUCAACAACCAAAAUCAACACGGAAUAUUUUGGUGCGUACGGAUCGUACCUUUUUCAUGAAAAAUUCCUGACGUACAAAUUCAAAUUCCGAAUGCGCAGGCACCCCGUCUCGAAAAGAAGAUUAGAAACGUUUCAGAUUCAGUGGGUGAGAAAGGUUAAAAACUCUAAAAAAAAAUAGCAGGCCGUGCAUGGGCAGCCCAGCCCAUUCAUGCUGCGGCCGGUAUGCAGGUGGCCUUUUACUUGGGGGAAAGUCCACUAUACAUCCCUCAAUUGUGCACCGAGUUUUAUUCAUGUCCCUCAAUCACAAAACCGGUUAUAAAGUAAUAAGUGCAAAUCAACUUUCUCGAUGGUUUUAGCUGACAUAGCACGGCGGUCGUGUGCAGAACCAGUGCUUUUGGUUGUUUGCUUCUUGAGUUACUACCUUACUUAUUUUGAGAUGUUCUUGAAUUUCCCCAAAAAGAAAAAAAAAUAGAGAUGUUCUUGAGAGUGCAAGGUCAAAUUAAAGCCAAUAACAUCAUCGAUUCGGCUACAAAAAUUGAACUGGAUUCUUGCAUGGAAAAAUUAACAUGGGCCAAGUUUCUAAAGUGAUGGCAAUAGCAAGAUCAGUAGCAGGGCUGGGAUCGUGAGCUCAAGUACACAAUACAACCAACUGAGAACCUGAUCGAUUGGAUCCCGAUGACGCGCUGGUGGCGCCGUUCGCUACCCCACGACCACGUCCACUAGCCCGUGUUGGCAGUCGUAAAACUUAAAUAUACCAUAAACACCUUCCAUUCUUUGCGUAAUAUAUUACAAACAUAAACAUCGGGACCAACAAUCCGUGUUCACCACCAGAACUUAUCGUUUCUUUGCCGGGACCACAUCGUUGCCGCCCGCGUUCCUGUUGUUUUGGUUUUCUUCGUUGCCAACCGUAGCGCGUUCAAGAAAAAAGGAACCCCAUCAUCCGGAAUUCGAACUCAAGAUCUCUCACAUCAACCCACACGUGCAUUACCAUCCCACCAAAUACGCAUAUAUGACUUGGAUAGAGAUGCUUUCUUUUUAAACUAACCCUGGAGGGAUUUUUAGUAAUGGUUGUUACUAAAAAUAUAUUUAAUCCAGCUUAGUGUUAUCAACCGGUACGUAAGUAGCCUUGCAAGAGUGCACACAAUUACCAGCACAUGUACGUAGUACCUGUAUUUUCUCUCCAAGUACGUAUAUUUAUUCAUUUAUUGUCAGAACAUACACUAAUUGUAGAUAGUAGUUGUCACUGAUAGAUCAAUUCGGCCUCAUGAUCUCUGUGGAUUGGUGGAGCUAAGCUAGCUAUGGCUAGCCCCGGCGCCACCUUAGCAGCAGCGGUGGCAAUCUCCCCAGUAGCCACGGUGGCAGCACCCCCAACGGCAGCCGUGGUUGUGCCAGUGCGGGUCGUGGUGGUGGCCUGGGCCUGGUGGGUAGUAACCUCCGUUCCAUGGUGGUUAGUAGCCGCCGCCGCCACCACCAUCUCCUCCUCCGCCGCUGCCGCCACCGCCACCGCCACCGCCUCCUCCUCCUCAGCCGCCGCCGCCACCGCCACCGCCGCCUCCCUGCCUGUUGGCCUCUGCAUGCACAGAUGGAUGGGCGUACAUCAUAUACGUAUACUUAUGGAACAUUGAUCGAUUUAAACAUGUGCAGAGUGAUAACCAACUAAACAUAUAUAUAAAAGAAACGAAGUAUGCAAUAUGUAAAAGCUAUAUAUGUUCUUCAAGAUAUAUGUGCAGAUGUAAUUUGCUUGAAGAGUUGAGGGUGUACAUGCAAAUGCAAACAUAUAUAGAUAUGCAGCUAGCUAGUGUGUGCGCUCACGAGGGUCUUGGGCCGAGGCGACGAAGCAGAAAGCAGCAACGAGGAGAAGGGUGAACACGAUGAGAGCCUUACGCACCAUGUAUAUAUGCUAGUGCUAGGUAUUUUGUUUGAUCUCUGAUAACACUGAUGACUGAUGAGAAAGUUGGACGCAAAUUAACCAAGCGUAUUUAUAGGCAGAAUGAAAGCUGCUGAUCGUGGAUUCGAGGUCGACACCGAGUAAUUGAUGACGAUAUAUCAGCUCUAGCUAGCUCGUUGACACUCUCAACUCGAUCAUCGAUUUAGCUAUAUAUUCAGAAUGUUGCGAGUGGAAGGCAUGCAUCUCUGCCAUCAAAUUUACAAGUCAAUUGACUGUGUAGCUAGAUUUGGUCGGAUUUCACAAACUCCGGACGCUAGCAGUUCAAACGUACUAUAUAUGUUAAUAUUCUAGCUCACUCGGUAAAUCCAAUUGUAUAUGGAUUUUAACAAGGUUUAAUAUAUCGUACCAUGCGUGCACCCAUUUGAAAAAGUCAAAUAUGAGUAGACGAUAGAAUGUUUUUGCCAGUCCUAUCUAAGACAUACAUACAUGUUCCUAAUUAAACCCCAAGUGUCUAAAGUCAAAAUAAGGCGGCCGAAAAGUAGAGCUUGCUGUAAAUAUAAUUCUUGGCUCCAGACGUACGAUAAUCUUCUUUUGAGUAAUGCUACUGAGAUAGGAAUGAUUGACUUUGCUCCCAAACUACCCGAUCGAUUGUGGUUUAUUUGGUUUUAGCCCUUGUUGUUGUUAAUUUUCCGUUUGUUUCGAUUAGAGAAUUUUUACGGUAUAAUAUACUAAUAUAUACCUAAGUAUAAACGAUCUAACGGUGUAGAUUGAUCGAUCUUCCACUUAAAUAGAAUGUAGUAUAAAAUAUAUAAGGGUAAAUUUGUCUUCCUCGUUAAUUUAGAUUUGGAUAUGGCUCAAGUCUUUUUUUUUUAGGUGAGCCAUUUAAACGCUUUAUCUAGUGCUAGUAUUCCAAGGAAGAGUUCAAAUUCAGAUCAAGCCAUAAUCUAGUUAUUGUCAAUUUUUUGAUACAUGUAGCAAGGCAUAAAUUCUUAUUAGUCCUUAUUUAAAAGGCACACUCCGACUUCGUGGUUUUAGCCGUAGGACACCGCCCGAACUCACUUUUGAGGGAAAACACUCUAUAAUGAUAAUUUGCCAAUGGACACCGCGCCGAUUAGAAUAAUAAUCCCCGGUUGAAGUUUCGAGCGUUCUUUUCCUACGUACAUUGAAACAAGUGAACUAGUCGAGGUCUACUGGAGUUUCAUAAUCCAUCCUAGCUUUUACCUCAUGUGAGCUUGUCAGGAGUAACAUCCUAUGGAAUGGUCACAUUUGUCCUCCAUGAUCUCAAAAAUCGAGAUACAACAAAUGACAUUUGCAUCAGAGAAGUGAAACAGUGAUGCAGAGAUUCACAUUCUCAUAAAACAAUUUGCAUCAGUGAUACAGGGCUUCAAAUUCUCAGACAUUACAGACAUCUUACAUCUUACAGCAAGUGGAAGAGUAUUUGAUUUCUUCCGAUUGACGUUAUCCAGACAUUACAGACAUAAUUCUAAUUUUUCAUACAAACAGAGAACUCCAUGCUUUUUUUCUGAAAAACAAGCUGAAAAAGCUUUGGACUACUUCAGUAACUUGAGCUAGCCAAGCUAACUUAUGCUAAUUAAUUCCUCAUUGAACUGGCUGAUUUCUCAUGUACUCUGAGCACUAUGACAGAUUCAGAGUUGGGAGUUGAGAGCAAAGGCAACAUCUGAAACUGGUUAUGUCUGAAAAACUGAAUUUGUUGCAGUAGAGGGUUAGCUGAAUAAAAGUUUCAUGGAAGGAGAGAAGAAAACAAAAUGCGGUGUGUACAUGUGGUUUGGUGUCUUGAGUGGCUCAGGUACCAACAUGGUUAAGUUCAAAUCGAGAGUUUUGCAACUCCAUCUUUCUAUUAAAAAUAAAUCAAAUCUUUAUAAAUCCUGCUCACUUCUUCUAAAUUCUUCAAUUAGAUAUAAAGUACUCCAUCAGCUAGCAACAACAAACGCAGAAGCAGAAGGAGAUGAGAAGCCCUGCUUGGUCUCCUGUCGAACGGCAAGAACGACGAUGUCAUAUCUGCAAUACUGCUUGGUCUCCAGCCGAGCGGCAAGAAUAACAAUGGCAGCAGGCAGCAAUGGCCCCGCCGCCCGGCUCCCUCUGUGCCUUGCUGCUGCCCCUCCCCUAGCAUGUAGUGCCGCAUGGUUGCUGCUGGCCAGCCGCUCACUCCCUGCGCGCCUCGCCGCCCCGCGCCGCCGCUUCGAGCCCUCACUCUUGCUCGCUCCACCGCUCGGGGUGGGCUCCGAAUCCCACCCCGGAUAGGAGUACAACGGCAGUGCGCGGGAGCUAGGUGGCGGCGGAGGAGGAGGCAGCGGCGAGCAGGGUUCCCUUACUGUUUUUGGCGUGGUUACCGGACCCCGUGGUAAGGUGGUUACCGCAGUUACCGCGAUAACCGCGAGACAUACCGUGAUUUUAAAAACUGAAAAGGUUAUCGUGCAUAGUAACCGCGAUAACCGCGUUGUAACAACGCGGUUUCGUAAACCCUGGCGGCGAGUCUGGUUGCGAGGAGGACGAGGCGACAGUGUAAUAGUGGUGAGACGGAGGGCAAAGACGGAAAUUAGCCAACGCUAUGAGGAGGGCUGAACUGGUAGCGCAAAUAUAACAAUUUCAGAAUGAACUAGAGCAUCAACUAACAAAACGGAGGGAGUAUAUAUUAUUACAUCACAAAGCCACACACUGACGAGACAUCGACACAUACAAGGAAAAAAAAGAAAAAUACAACAAGACACGACUGUCACACACGCACGCGCACGUACGUACAUAGCCUUGCAGGAGUGCACACAGUACUAUAACUGUGUGUUUCUAGAUCAGCCGCACGUAUGUGUACGUGUAUUUAUUCCUUUAUUAUUUACUACUUAUUAAUCAUAGUAGAUAGUAUGUAAUUGUGUCACCGAUCGACAUGGUUGAUCUUGAGCUGUGGAGUGGUGGAGCUAUAUAGCUUAGCAGCAGCGGAGGCACUCCCCCCAGUGGUUGCGGUGGCCGCAGCACCCCCAACGGCAGUGGCCACCGGGACCAGGGUGAGGGCGGUGGUCCCAUGGCCGGUCAGGGCGGUCCCACGGCCGGUCGGGACGCCCUGGGUAACCGCCGUUCCACGGCGGGUAGUGCCCGUAGCCUGGUGGUCCGCCACCACCCUGCUUGUUAGCCUCUGCAUGAACGUACAAAUAUUUAUUUAGUUCAUGCAUGGAUGAGUUUAACUCAAUAACUUAAAACUAAUUAGAAAAUAUGCAUGUAUGUAAUAUUGAUACAAACGGCUCAUCGUUUGGCUUAUUUAGGGAAUAAGCCAAAUGGCAUAUUUGCAAACGAAAAAUAGUUUGUGAAUAAACGUAUUUUUAGCGACCUAGAAGCAAAUGCUAACAAAUAAACUUUGACAAAAAAAAUCCUAAAAUCAGCUCUGAAUUUAAGGUUGAAAAUUCUAAUUUUAACUGAUAAGGAUAAACAUAAGCGAAAAGCUGAGGCUGAAACACGCGUACAUGCAUAUUAGUAGUUAGGAAGUUGUUUUUUUAUGGGACGGAGUAGUAGAUGUUAGCUGCUACUCCCUCCGUUUCGAAAUGUUUGACACCGUUGACUUUUUAGCAUAUGUUUGACCGUUCGUCUUAUUCAAAAACUUUUAUGAAAUAUGUAAAAUUAUAUGCCUACACGAAAAUAUAUUUAACAAUAAAUCAAACGAUAGGAAAAUAAUUAAUAAUUACUUAAAUUUUUUGAAUAAGACGAACGGUCAAACAUGUAUUAAAAAGUCAACGGCGUCAAACGAUUCGAAACGGAGGGAGUACUUAUACGUACCUAACCUGAAAUUAAGUGUAUAUGUAUACAAACGAGCGCAUAUAUCACAUAUUCAACAUGUGAAUUAAAGCAUGCAUGCAUGUACGCCUUCAUUCAUGUGUGAGAAAUAAAAAUAAUGAGUGUGCUCACGAGGGUCUUGGGCGGAGGCGACGAGGCACAAAGCAGCAACGACGACAAGAGCGAACACGAUGAUAGCCUUGCGCGCCAUUUUUUGAUCUGAGAUCGUUACUGAUUAAUUGUUACUAUUAGCUGCCAAUGUGUGAUGACUGAUAAGUGAUGAGAAGACAGGGCAUGCAAACCAAGCGUAUUUAUAGGCACAAUGAAGCUAGGUUUUGCUGAUCCUGAUCGAUCGAGUAGUUGAUGACAGUAGAGCUCUAGCUCGUUGACACUCAACUUGAUCGUGAUCUAUCUAAUUAAUUCUAUAUUUUUUUUAUGAGUGGAAGAAUUGCAUGCCGUAUCAAGUUGACUGUGUAGCUAGCUUUAAUUUGCGUCUGCUAGCUCAAUCGGUAAAUCUGUUGAAUAUAUGGAUUUUCACAAGAUUGUUUAAUCGUGGCAUCCACUCGAAAGAGUCAAAUAUGAGUAGACGACAUAUAGAAAGUUUUUGCCAACCCUACCUAGACAUGCAUACAUACAUACAUGUUCCUAAUUAAUUUACUAAUAAGAAUGUAAGAGAGAUAAACCCAAAUGUCAAAAAGUCAAGAUAAAAAAAAGGCCGAAAUGUUGAGCUUUGCUGUAAAUAAUCCUCGACUCUAGACACACGAUAUCUUCUUUUGAGUAAUGUUACUGAUAGGGAUGAUUGACUUUUUGCUUCCAGCUACCCGAUCGAUUGUGAUUUUGUUUUAGCUUUGUUGGUGUUUUCCGUUUGUUUUUAUGGGGAAUUUGAUCCUCCUGAAUGUUUCAAGGCGAUGCAUGCAUGUGUGCCAUAUAUGUUCAAACUUUUGCUUAUUUAGUUAGAAGGUCAGAAGUGAAGUACAAUUACCGGAAUCUACGUUCAAAAAAAUUAAGAGAGUAAAUUUUAUAAAUUAAGGCCUUGUUUAGAUCCCAAAAAUUUUUAGCCAAAAACGUCGUUUGGACACAUGUGUGGGACAUUAAAUGUGAGGAAAAACAAUUGCACAGUUUGCAUGUAAAUUGCGAGACGAAUCUUUUGAGCCUAAUUACGCCAUAAUUUAACAAUAUGAUGCUAUAGUAAACAUUUGCUAAUGAUGGAUUAAUUAGACUUAAUAAAUUCGUCUCGCAGUUUACAGGCGGAAUGUGUAAUUUGUUUUGUUAUUAGUCUAUUUUAAUACUUGAAAUGUACGUUCGUACGCUUCAAAAACUUACACCCAAAGAACUAAACACACCCUAAAUCUCACCUAUUAUUUCAACAUACAAACAAUAGAGAUUUUAGCACGUGACAUUACAAACAAGUAUGGUCUUAAAGUUUUAUAGAACCACACCGUUAAUCAUUGUGACAUAUUUCUAUAUUAAAAUUUUAAUAAGUGGAUGCAACAUUUAUACGAAUGGAACUACGAGAGAACAUUUUGAACACUCACCUGGAAUAAUUUCUCUGACAUUUGCUGCUAAACCAAAAAAUAUCAUUAAGAUACCAAAGAAUAAGAAACGGCCCGAGCGGCCAAAGAGACUUUUAAUAGUACCACCUUGACGAUGCUCCGGCAGUCACUACGUACAUAAUAGAUUUUUCUGGACCUCCCCUCCCCUCCUCCCCCCCCCACGUCCGUUUUGUUUUCAUGCGGUUCGUAACUGAAACCGCAUAGAAAAAUAGGAAACGGGCAACAGGCUGUCUCCCGUGCGAGCGGCUUAAGCCAACCGCAAACUCCGCACAGGCCCACCAUUUAACCCGGCCACCCACCUCCCACCGCCCGCUCCACCUCCCUCUCUCCCACUCUACUCCACUCCACUCCUCUCCUCUCCUCCCACUCUCCUCUCCUCUCCUCUCUCUCCCUCAGUGCACGGCGCGCCCCUCCCUCCCUCUCCCUCCCCUCCACAACGACAGCACGGCGCGCGGCGGCGGGCAAAGGGGCCGGCGGGAGGAGAGCAGGCGGCAACUGCGGCGGCGGCGGCCGCCACCGCGGGCGACAGCGGCGGCGGCACGCCCCCCCUCCCUUCCCCCUAGAAGGUCCGGCGGAGGGGGGGCUUGGGGGUGGCGGAUCCGGCGGCGCGUGGUGGGAGGAGAGCACGCGGCAGCGGCGGCGUGCCCCCUCCCCUCCCUCCCCAUGCAUAUCCGGCGGAGGGGGGGCUUGGGGGCGACGGAUCCGGCGGCGCCGCCCCCUCCCCUCCUUCCCCUUGUAGAUCCAGGGGAGGGGGCGGCGGAUCUAGCCGGCGACGCGCGGCUCUCCUCCCCUCCCUUGCAGAUCCGGCGGAGGGGAGGGGGACCGGCGGAGCGACCGGCGACCGGAUCUAUCUCUCCCCCUCCUCUCUUUGUUACUUGUGUUUUUUGUGUGUGAUUUGUUCAUGUGAGAUGUGUUCAUGUGAUGUGUUCUUGUUGAUGUGUUCUUGUGAGAUGUGAGAUGUGUUCUUGUGAUGUGUUCGGCGGCGAGCGACCGCGAGGGCGACGGUGGCGGCGGGCGACCGCGAGGGUGACGACGGCAGGCCUCGGCUAGGCGACGGCGGAUUAGGGUUAAGGUUAGGGUUCCUUUUUUCUUUUUUUUUGGUUUCUUAUUUUUCUCCGUUUUCGCGUGCGGGCGCGCCACCCGUACGCGAAAAUCGCGUUUUUCCCCGACGACUGGGUGCGUGCGGGCCGUCCACCCGCAUGCGAAAAUUGGCUAGCCCGCACGGAAAAAUUGGUGCUGUAGUAGUGAGUUGGACUCGAUCAACAACCAAAAACAACACGGAAUUUAUUAAUCAAGCUAGCCGGUCACAUCAACUUUUGGUGCGUACGGAUCGUACCUUUUUCAUGAAAAAAUCCUGACGUACAAAUCCAAAUUCCGUAUGCGCAGGCACCCCGUCUCGAAAAGAAGAUGUUAAAUUGCUCCAGCUGACAGCACAGGGGUGGUGAUGGAGAAACAUUUCAGAUUCAGUGGAUGAGAAAGGUUAAAAACUCUAAACAAAAAUAGUAGGCCGGUCAUGCAUGGGCUACCCAGCCCAGACAUGAUGCGGCCGGUAUGCAGGUGCUGUUUUUUUCUUUUACUUGGGGAAAAGUUCACUAUACAUCCCUCAGUUGUGCACCGAGUUUUAUUUAUAUCCCUCAACCACAGAACUAGUUACAGAGUAACCAGUGCAAAUCGACUUUCUCGGCAAUUUUAGCUGACGUGAUGCGGGUGGCUUUGUGCAGAACCAGUGCUUUUGGUUGUUUGCUUCGAGUUACUACAUUACUUCUUUUGAGAUGUUAUUGAAUUUCCCCAAAAAGAAAAAAAAAAAGAUAUUCUUGAGAGUGCAUGGUGAAUUUAAAGCCAACAACAUCAUCGAUUCAGCUACAAAGUUGAACUGGAUUCUUGCACGGACAAAUGAACAUGGGCCAAGUUUCUUAAGUGAUAGCAAUAGCAAGAUUCAAGUAGCAGGGCUGGGAUCUUGAGCUCAAGUACACAAUUAGGGUGAAAAAGGUAACGGAAAUUCCCGGCCGACCGGUGUUCGUUUCCGACUUUAUACCGGCCGAGCCAUACGGAAAUGGUAAUCGACCAAAAAAAUAUAAAAAUGGUAAAAAAUAUGGAAAUGAAAACGGAAAUGGUUUUGCGGUUAUACCGAUCGUUUCCGUAUUUACCGUAUUCUUAUGAAAAUUAUUGUUUCUUAUAAUAUGGUAAAUAGCGUAUUUCUAAAUAUAUUGAUAUAUAUAGGGCAUGUCUCUACUUGACCCACAGUUUAGAGAUUGAUUGACUCUUCAAUCAAAUCCCUAAUUUGAGUGCAUGGCUAAAAUGGAGUUAAUUUAUAAUUUAUACAGUAUAGCUUGAAUUUAUUUGUACAUAUAACAUACUUAUGUAAAGUUAAAUAUAUGUUUUCUAUAGUUUAAUGUUUUCGUAUUUGUUACCGGUUUCCGAUCUGUACCGACAUGUUUCCAUCUAUAUUAUUCUGUUUUCGGUUUUCCGAUAUUUCCGAUAUCGUUUUCGUUUCCGACCUUACCGUUUUCGAUUUCAUUUCUGAGAAAAAUAUUAUUAUGGAAAUGGUUGAGGCUGUUUUCCAAACAUUUCCUACCGUUUUCAUCCUUACACAAUACAACCAACUGAGAACCUGAUUGGACCCCGAUGACGCACUGGUGGCGCUGUUCGCUGCCCCACGACCACGUCCACUAGUCCGUGUUGGCACUUGGCAGUCGAAAACUUAAAUAUACCAUAAACACCUUUUAUUCUUGCAGUGUAAAAUAUUCCUAACAUAAAUGCUCACAUAAACGUUGGUACCAGUAAUCCGUGUUCACCACUAGAGCUUGCCAUUUCUCUGCCGGGACCACGAUGCUGCCGCCCGCGUUCCCGUUGUUUUGGUUUUGUUCAUUGCCAACCGUAGCGUGUUCAUUGAAAACGACACCUCAUCAUCCGGAAACGUGUUUUGACGCACUCACCCGGCCGUGUUCACCACUUGAGCUCGUUGUUGUCGUUUCUCUUUCUGUUAAGACCACAUCACCCACUAGUGAAGAAACGAUAUUUAAUACCGGUUGGAAACCCCCUUUAGUACCGGUUGUAGCAACCGUGACAAGCAAAUAGGCACUAAAGAUCUCGAUCUUUAGCCAGUUAAAUAACCGGUACUAAAGAUGCAUACCAAGUCAUAAAGACGUGUGAGAUGUGGGAUUCGAACUCAAGAUCUCUCAUCUCAACUCUCACACGCAUUAUUAUCCUACCUACUACACACAUAUGACUUGGAUAGAGAUACUUUCUUUUUAAACUAACCAUGGAGGCAUCACCAACCGGUACUAAAAAUAAUACCAGCCGAGACUAAAAAUGUUUCCAGGGACAUGGACUACUUUAGUACCGGUUCUUAAUCUAGCCAAAAUAUUUGUGAUUUUGGUUACCACGAUGAAAGAUCAGUUCUCUAGUAUUGGUUGUCGGCUGCAUUUCCGUUGUUUUGGUUUUCUUCGUUGCCUAUUGCCGUUCUAUGGACAAGUCACAUCGCGUGGGACACAUCCGGCCACCUUCCUUACCGUUGUUUGGUGAAUUGGAAAAAUUUUAAUGUGUCAAAGAAACGGGUACCCGUUCCUAAAUAAUGGAUCUAAUUUUCAUAUGGUUUAAAAUAAGUUUUUUUUAUUUCUAGCUAAUUUUCAGUUGUUUUUUCUAUUUACAAUAUUAGUUUUACUAUUUGAUCAAAUAAAAAUUGUUGGAAACUAUAAUUUUCCUUCGUAUUGAAUUAUUUGUAGCUAAAUGAAAAAAAUGAGCCUUUAGCACUAUAUUGAAUUAUCGUUUCGGCCAAAGUUAUUUGUAGUUCCAUGUUGUUAUUUCUAUAAUUAUAUUAUGUUCAUCAUUUAUGCCCAGUUGUAGUAUAUAAUUUAGGAUUUUAAUUUAUGUCAAUGAAUGUUAUUUAGAACCCAUUGCAAUGCAAGGGAAUUACACUAGUUAAAUAUAUAAGUGACUGAAGAGAUUGGAGAGGAAAAGUAGAUACCAAGAUACGAUACGUAAGUAGCCUUGCAAGAGCGCACACAGUUACCAGUACGUGUACAUAGUAUCAGUGUUUUCUCUCCAAGUACGUACUGUAUAUUUAUUCAUUUAUUGACAGAACAUACACUUAUUGUAGAUAGUAGUUGCCACUGAUAGAUCGAUUAUUCAGCCUCAUGAUCUCUGUGGAUUGGUUGAUGGAGCUAGCCACGCCGCCUUAGCAGCAGCGGUGGCAAUCUCCCCAGUAGCCGCGGUGGCAGCACCCCCAACGACAGCCGUGGUUGGGCCAGUACGGGUAGUAGCCUGGGCCUGGGGGGUAGUAGCCGCCGUUCCAAGGAGGGUAGUAGCCGCCGCCGCCUCCUCCUCCUCCUCCUCCGCCGCCUCCGCCUCCGCCUCCGCCGCCACCCUGCUUGUUGGCUUCUGCAUGCAUGGAUGGAUGGGCGUACAUCACAUACGUAUACUUAUGGAACAUCGAUCGAUGCAAAUUAAUCAUACGUGAAGAGAGUGAAAACUAACUGAACAUAUAAAAAAACGAGCGUAUGCAAUAUAUAAAAGCUAUAUAUGUGCAGAUCGAUGUUUGCUCGAAGAGUUGAGGUGUACAUGCAUUUGAUCUUAAUUUAAUCUAUUUUUCUACGCAAAGGUAAACAUAGAUAUGUAGCUAGCUAUAGUGUGUGCGCUCACGAGGAUCUUGGGCCGAGGCGACGAAGCAGAAAGCAGCAACGAGGAGAAGGGUGAACACGAUGAGAGCCUUACGCGCCAUCUAUGCUAGGUUUUUUUUUUGUUUGAUCUAAUAACCGAUGACUGAUGAGAAACUUGGACGCAAACCAAGCGUAUUUAUAGGCAGAAUGAAGGCUGCUGAUCGUGGAUUCGAGGUCGAUGGAGUAGUUGAUGACGAUAUAUCAGCCCUAGCUCGUUGACACUCUCAACUCUCGAUCAAUCUAGCAAAUUAACAUCUGCAACAUAGUAUGCAUUCCUGCCAUCAUGUUAAUUGACUGUGUAGCUAGAUUUGGUCGGAUUUAACAAAGUCCAGUAGCUAGUACGUACAAACGUAAAUCCAAUUGUAUAUGGAUUUUGACAAGGUUUAAUAUAUUGUGCCAUGCACCCAUUUGAAAAGGUCAAAUAUGAGUAGACGAGAUAGAAUGUUUUUGCCAGCCCUACGUAGACAUGCAUACAUGUUCCUAGCUAGCUAGUUAAUUUAAAGGAAAAAGGAUGUAAGAAAGAUAAACCCAAGUGUCUAAUGUCAAAACAAGGCGGCCGAAAUGUAGAGCUUGCAGUAAAUAAUUCUUGGCUCCAGACAUACGAGACAGGUUCGUAAAAUUAAAGACGGUAUGAAAUAUCUAUUUUGCCCUACGUUCCUUCCCCGGUCUAUCAUGUCUCGCACCUGCACGAGCGCUCCACGCAGCGCACGGGCGCUGGCGGCGCAGAUGAUCGGCGAUGGUAGCGCGCAGAGCGGCUGUGGAGGAGGGUGAGGUGGGCCGACAUGGAAGAGGUUGGGGUGGGGGAAUGUCGAAGAAGGCGACGCAAAUGACGCAAACCUGAUUGGAUCCCGAUGACGUGCUGGCGGUGCCGUUCGCUGCCCCACGACCACGUCUACUAGUCCGUGUUGGCGGUCGUAAAACUUGUAUAUACCAUAAACACCUUUCAUUCUUUGUGUAAUAUAUUACAAACAUAAACACUCACAUAAAUGUUGGGACCAAUAACCGUGUUCACCACCAGAGUUUACCGUUUCUCUGCCGGGACGUGUUCACUACCAGAGUUUGCCAUUUCUCUGCCAGGACCACAUCGUUGACACUAGUGUUGCUGUUGUUUUGGUGUUUUUCAUUGCCAACCGUAGCGCGUUUAAGGAAAAUAGAACCCCAUCAUCCAAGAAUGUGUUUUGACGCACUCACUCGGCCGUGUUCACCACUAGAGCUCACUAUUGCCAUUUCUCUUUCUGUUGUGACCACAUCGUUCACUAGUGAAGAAACGAUCUUUAAUACCGGUUAUAGCAACCGUGACAAGCAAAUCGGGACUAAAAAAUAAACGGUACCAAAGAUACAUACCAAGAUAGAUUUUCAGUACCGGUUAAAAUAAACGGUACUAAAGAUACAUACCAAAUCAAAAAAAAAUGUGUGGGAUGUGGGCAUUCGAACUCAAGAUCUCUCAGCUCAACCCUCACUCGUGUUACCAUUACACCUAAUACACACAUAUAACUUGGAUAGAUAUGCUUUCUUUUUAACCUAAUCCUGGAGGCAUUUUUAGUGGUACCAAAAAUAUCUUUAGUCGUCUGGGUUGGUGCUAUCAACCAGUAUUAAAAAUAAAUUUUCAGUCCGGACUGGUAUUACCAACCGGGAGGAAAGAUCCUACAGCAUUAGUCUCGGUUGGUGUUACCAACCAGUACUAAAAAUGUACCGAGACUAAAAAUGUUUCCAGCGACUUGGAGUGCUUUAGUACCGGUUCUUAAUCUAGCCAAAAUAUUUAUGAUUUUGGGUACUACGACGAAAUAUCAGUUCUCUAGAAGUGGUUGUCAGCAGUGUUCUCAUUGUUCUAGUUUUCUUCGUUGCCAAUCGCCAUUAUCUAUGGACGAGUUACAUUGUGGGAUACAUCCGGCCACCAUCCUUACCGUUGUUUGGUGAAUUGGAAAAUUUUAAUAUCUGUCAAAGAAAUGAGUAUGUGUUCAGAAUUAGUGAUAUGAUUUUCAUCUAUAGGCUAAAAUAAGUUUUUUAAAAAAAAUUUAUAGCCAAUUUUCAGUUGUUUUUCCAUUUACAGUAAUAGUUUUACUAUUUGAUCCAAUAAAAAUUGUUGGAAAUUGUAAUUUUCCAUCGUACUGAAUUAUUUAGAGCUAAAUGAAAAAAAAAUGAGGACUUAGCACUAUAUUGAAUUAUCGUUUCGGUCAAAGUUAUCUGUAGUUUCAUGUUAUUAUUUCUAUAAUUGUAUUUUCUUCAUCAUUUAUGUCCAGUUGUAAUAUAUGGUUUAGGAUUUUAAUUUAUGAUGAAUGUUAUUUAGAACCAGUUGCAAUGCGCGGGACAUUACACUAGUUAAAUAUAUAAGUGAGUGAAGAGAGAUUUGGAGAAGAAAAGUGGAUACCAAGAUACUGUACGUAGUAGCCUUGCAAAAGUGCACACAUACCAGUGUACUUAUUAGUAACUGUGUUUUUUCUCCAAGCACGUAUAUUUAUUCAUUUAUUGAUAUAACAUACACUUAUUGUAGAUAGCAGUUGCCACUGAUACAUCGAUUCAGCUUCAUGAUCGCUGUGGAUUGGUGGAGCUAGCUAUGGCUAGCUCCGGCGCCGCCUUAGCAGCAGCGGUGGCAAUCUCCCCUGUAGCCGCGGUGGCAGCACCCCCAACGGCAGCCGUGCCAAUGCGGGUUGUGGUGGUGGCCUGGGCCUGGUGGGUAGUAACCACCGUUCCAAGGUGGGUAGUAGCCGCCGCCGCCACCACCUCCUCCUCCUCCUCCUCCUCCGCCACCUCCUCCUCCUCCUCCGCCGCCGCCGCCCCCGCCUCCUCCUCUUCCUCCGCCGCCUCCUCCUCCUCCGCCGCCGCCGCCGCCCCCGCCUCCUCCUCCUCCUCCUCCUCCUCCACCACCGCCACCGCCACCGCCGCAUCCCUGCUUGUUGGCCUCUGUAUGCACGGAUGGGUGGGCGUACAUCACAUACAUAUACAUGGAACAUCGAUUGAUGCAAACAUACGUGAAGGAGUGAAAUCUAAUUAUUAACUAUAAUUCUAUAUAUAAACAUAUAAACGAGCGUAUGCAAUGUGUAAAUCCUAUAUACGCAAAAGUAAACAUAGAUAUGUAGCUAGCUAUAGUGUGUGCGCUCACGAGGGUCUUGGGCUGAGGCGACGAAGCAGAAAGCAGCAACGAGGAGAAGGGUGAACACAAUGAGAGCCUUACGCGCCAUGUAUGCUUGGUUUUUUUGGUUUGAUCUGAUAACUGAUGACUGAUGAGAAACUUGGACGAAAACCAAGCGUAUUUAUAGGCAGAAUGAAGGCUGCUGAUCGUGGACUCGAGGUCAAUCGAGUAGUUGAUGACGAUAUAUCAGCCCUAGCUCGUUGACACUCUCAACUCUCGAUCAAUCUAGCUAUAUUCUAUACUAUAUAUGUUGCGAGUGGAAAUUCCUGCCAUCAUGUUAACUGACUGUGUAGAUAGAUUUGGUCGGAUUUAACAAAGUCCGGUAGCUAGAUUUGGUCGGAUUUUGACAAGGUUUAAUCGUUGCAUGCACCCAUUUGAAAAGAGUCAAAUAUGAGUGGACGAGAUAGAAUGUUUUUCCCAACCCUAUCUAGACAAACAUAUACAUAUUCCUAAUUAAUUUACUGGAGUAAGGGUGUAAGAGAGAGAUAAACCCAAGUGCCUUAAGUCAAAAUAAGAAGGCCGAAAUGUAGAGCUUGCAUGCUGUAAAUAAUUCUUGACUCCAGAUGUACGAUAAUCUUCUUUUGAGUAAUGUUACUGAGAUAGGAAUGAUUGACUUUGCUGCAAACUACCCGAUCGAUUGUGGUUUGGUUUUAGCCUUGUUGGUGUUAAUUUUCCGUUUGUUUUUAAUUAGAGAAUUUAUACGGUACAAUAUACUAAUAUACUAAUAGUAUACACUGCUAGUAUAAGCAAUCUAAUGGUGUAGAUUGAUCUGAUCUUCCACUUAAAUAGAUUGUAGUAUAAAAUUUAUAAGGGUAAAUUAGUUUUUCUUUUUAUUCUGUGGCAUCAAUUUUUUUUAAAAAAGAAAGUAAUGAUCUAGGUAAAAAAAAAUGAUACCAUUGUUGGGUUGUAUAUGAAUGUGUUAACCUAGCUAGCAAGAUUCAAAAUGUGUAAGGUGUUUCAUGCACAUCUGCUAUAUAUGGUACAAAACUUACAUAAUUACCGGUAAUUGGUCAAGUAUGCAUAUUUUUUUAAUGAUGAUCAAUAUUGACCAUGAAUCGUGCCACUACAACGCAUGCCAUCGUCUCUCAUAGGCGCAAAAACAAGAUCCAGCGAUGGCGCCGUUACGCAUGAACAAGUUUCGAUUGGACCGAAUUAACUCACAACAACGAAAUUACUUAAAAUCCCUUUCCAAUUUCAUAUAUAAAUUUCUAAUUUACCAUCUAUAUACUGACAAUAUAUACUAACAUUGUAUUGUACUUUAAAAGUUCUCUUUAAUUAAUUAAUUAUGGCCGAUUUGAUAUCCUCCUGAAUGUUACAACGCGAUGUGUCCAUCCAUCUAUGUUCAAACUUUUGCUUAGCUGAUUAGUGAGAAGCCUUUAGGUUAGUAACUGGAGCUAAUUACCGCUAUCAUGUUAAAGAAACAAUAUAAUUACGGAAGAACAUUUUUUAACAUAGGGCUGAGAAUAAUUGCUCUGACAUUUGUUGUCAAAUCUAAAAGUAUCAUGCUUAGGAUGUCAUACCGGACAAAUCAAGAUAAGGACUCGAUCGACUAUAUAUCCAUAGAUUAUAUGAUAAUGCACCUUUACACAAUUCUCCAGCGCUGGAUAUACUCGUUCUACCAUGAAGGAUAUAAUAUAACCCAACCAAAAACAACGUACGCGGAAUUUAAUCUAGCUAGCCACAUCAAACUUUUGGUGCGUACGGCUCGUACCUUUUUUUCAUGAAAAACCUGACGUACAUAUGUUCAAAUUCCGUUUGCGCAGGCACGCCGUAUCGAUCGAAAAGAAAAUGCAUGUAAGAUGUGAACUUGCUCGAGCUGACAGCACUGAGGUGGUAGUAGUUGUACUUACGAUCAAACUUGUUAGCCCACGCUGAGUCAGCCGUCACGUGGGACAAAACCAGGGUGAAAACCGCCGAGAGACCUAUUGUGACCGGUUUUGUAAGUUGGGGAAUGCCGGAUGUCUGGUUUUACGGUUGAGAGACGAUUAUGUAUCUGGCUAACAAGUUGAGGGACCUUGCGUGUACUUUUCCUGUCCCGUGGGUGACCGUUCAAGUAACCGUGACGCGUUCAAGUGUCACCGCCAUAGGCCGACGGAAUGCACGCUAUCGCGCGUACGUCUAGCGUGAUUGCAUGAGCAGCCCAGCCCAGACGUGCUGCGGCCCUGAAGGUUCGACCGUGCAAAACUAGUUUUUUCCUUUUUUUUGAUUGUCGAGUUAUUGUUACCUUUCUUCUUUUGUGAUUUCUUGAAUUUCGGAAUCAGAGUGCUAUUCACCUGCAUGAUGCUCAUGUGCCAUAUUAAAUUGAUAUCAAAAAGAAAUUGUGGGAACCACUCGUCAUGGACACUAUCGUUGUAUAUCGCACCUCGUCCACGAGGUCCCCUUCCACCUCGAGCUUGGGGUUUCCUUCGGCCGACAGCGGAGGCGACCUCCCUAGCUUGAAUACAUGCAGCGGAGGGUGGCGCAAUUGGUAUCGAUCAUACAACAGUAAUCCUCACACUCGGGAAGGAGCAGAGCCGUGGUAGUGGUGGAACUCAGGGUGUUUGCAGGGUGAAGGCGGAGAGGAGCUCAUGAAGUGGAGAUCCGCGUUCCCUAUGGCUCCCAUGAGCCGGUGGGGGUUGGAUGAGCGUCUCCAACUAUCCUCAACCGUGCAUGCUAUCUUCUUCUAACAACUUGAUUUGUGACAAGUUGACAUUGUGAAGACUGCCGCCGUCAUUGCCACCACUCUUCUCUUUGAGAUCGGGAGGUCAGCAGCAUGAGAGAUGGAGCCCGUCAGGAAGAGGCUCAUGGGUAGUACAUGAGCGAAAAAAGGGAGGUGGCAACCAUGCAAGCUGGCAUGUUUUAUUUUAUCGCUAAAUUUUCUUGUAGGUGUCAUGAAGGUAUGAACCAUGCACCUUGGUUUCUACUAUGUGGUAAAUUAGACGGUUUCAAAAAGGGGUGUUGGAUACUCAUACUCGGUUUCAAAGUUAAGGGGAUGUGUUUUAGAAUUUAGACACACACAACUAAGGGGGGUCAAUUGGACUUAUCUUUUUUUUUUCUUGCCAAGAAAGAUAAGUGUUAUUGCCUUAUUGGAUUAUUGUAGGAGUUUGUUUCAGACAAACGUGAUUGUUGAGGUAGUCAAUUGGAUUUUUUUUCUUAACUAAAAAACAUACCCGUACGUUGCAACGGGUGAAAACUAUUUUAAUCUUAUUAUUGUUCAAUGUGAAAUUUACUUGCAUAUAUAAUUUUCUAGAAAAUCAUGUUAAGUUAGCAUGUGAAUUUUUUUAAGAGAUUUAAUAUACGACUCCUUAUGUAUUUUCAAAAGCGAACAAAUUUAAAACCUGACUUAAAUACAGAUCUGUAUUUCUAAAAACAAACGAAUUAAAAAACCGACUCAUACACGGAUGACGUAUUAAAGAUCUGAUAAAUGCGAAAAAAGGAGUUGGUCAAUCUCGUGGGUGAGGUUGUUCACUUUGCUCUACAUUUAUGCAAUGCGAAUGGCGACCUGCUUGCUUGUUGCGGCGGCAAGCAAAGAGACCAUCUUCCCACGGUAAUGGGAGAAGCUCGUUUCGCUCGUAUGAGCCCAUGGGGCCCUAAACUUAGAGCGCAGGUACCUCGUAACACUGUCAAGGGGAGCCUAGGAUCCUUGCAGUCUCUUUAAUUUUUCUCUUUCCCUUCAGCCCAACAAGAGAACAGCCCAUCACACAACUUCGCCAACUCCUUUUACCCCUCAAAUCAAAGCCGAGGUUACAAGCCUGCGCCACCAGGCCCGGCGAUCGAAUCGCAGGCGCGCCCCUAUUUAUCCAGGUGUCGAGCGGUGAGAAUUUCCCGUGUGGUACAAAACUGUUCCGUGUGAGGCGCCCGUAAAUUAACCGAGGAGGAUCCGCCUCUGAUUCGAUUAUAUGGCGCGGUUUUUGUCACGUAUGUACGCAGAAAUUAACGUGCACGUAGAGUCGCGUACUGAUUAGAUCAAGCUAUCAACGACGCAUUUGCGGCUUUGCGCAUGCAUGCGACAAGACGCGAUUGGUUGAACAGCUCAUGCGCGGUGCAUAUGCCCCGCAUGUGCAAAGUAUAUGAUGUGGUUUCGGGAGGACGGUACACACACAUGUGCGAUCUGUGCGAAUUACAUGCAUUUGCUCAUUAGGGAAAACAGAUCAUCUGUGACCGUUAAAAAAAUGCUACUACCACCAUUUCAUCAUAUUAUAAGUUGUUUUUACUUUUUUUUUCACCAAGUUUAUAAAAAACAUAGUAGCUUUUUAACACAAAAUAAACUUAUUAUCAAAAUAUAUUUAGUACUAGAUUUAAUGAAACUAAUUUAUUGUUUUAAAUGUUUCUAAUUUUAAAUUUAGUCAAACUCAAUAAAGUUUAAGUAGAAAAAUAUCAAAACGACUUAUAACAUAAAUCGGGGGAGUACCACGUACUAACAGCUUGGCAAACUGAUAAUUUGGUACUAAAUGACAACAUCUCCUUUUGUUAAGAAAAAAAGUUUUUUAAAAGAAAAAGCAGAUAAGUCUGUUAAUUUUUUUAAUCAAAUAAGUUUGUUAAUUUGGUCAGUAAUCCUGCUUCCCCACUGCUUGAGUGGCUCGCUGGUUCGGGCGGCCACAAGGACGAUUAUAGCGGGGCUCUUUUUGUUCCCGCCUUUUCGGUGUGAGGUUUCUUUCUUCCUUAAUGCGGAGCUUUCUCUCCCAUGUGUUCUAGGUCAGUCAACUCAGCCGCGAUGGGGGAGGCCAUGGUGCCACCCGGAUCCGCACGCUACGCGAUCGGAUCCGGUGUUUCCUCAGUGGAGAUGAUGGAUGUAGGUGUGGUGGGGCUACGGACAACGGUGAUGUAGCAAUCUAGGCGUUGGCUCAGGGUGUGGACAAUGAGGCAGAGUCAGGUUGCGGUUGAUGUAACAAGCUUGCCGCAUGUAGUGGUGAGGUCACCGGCGAUGUUGAGAACAACGAUGCGGAUACCUGGCAAAGCCCGAAGAAACCUAGUGCCACCACUAUGGAUGGCCAUGUGUUGUAGCGACGGCGUGAAACAUGGGCAGUGCUGCAUACUUGUCCUCAUAUGGGCCUGGGCACCGAGGGCUUUGUCCUUGAGAGGUCUAGGACGGCAGCGGCUUGUGCUAGUUUCUAGGGUUUUCCCCUGGUUUUUUCUCCUCCUUUUGCCUAGAUCUGGAAGCACUACUACUACAAAAAAACAAAACCUAAUAUGGACCAGCUCAUAGGUGUUGAUUCACUUAAAACUAGCACCUACUGACUGUUUUCCACCUCCAUGGGAUGAAAAAAAAUAUAGAACGACACCUUUGAGCAACUAUAUGUGUCGGUACUAAAGAAAAACCAGCACCCAUAAAAAUCGAGCUAAGCCGGUGGGGUGGGAGAUUCUUUUUAGCCCCACACUCGCAAGUUGUACUUAUACACUAUCACCAACACCUUCGCUCUCUCCCUCUCGUUUUCUCCUCUCGUCUCGUCUCCCUCCUCCUGCGAGUUGUCCUUAUAGACUCUCACUGACACCUUCACUCUCUCCCUCUUGUUUUCUCGUCUCGUCUCCCUCCUCCUGUGAACCCAUCGCUGCGGUUGUGGGGCGGGUCAUCAUCAUGGCUAGCAGCGGGGCGACGCGGAGGACGACAGAGGCGGUCGUGAGAGUCCUCGGCCUAAUCCUCUCUCUCUCUCUCUCUCUCUCUCUCUCUCUCGAUCCACUUUCCCGAAGAGCUGACAAGUAACACGACGAUGGUGGCCCAUCUCUCCUCAACGUCAUUACGAUGGCAGCGAUCACGGCUCCGUCAGGUCCUCGUCCUCCCGCCACCAUUGGCCAUGGCGUCAGGCUCCACAGUUAGAUUCGUCAGCAACGGUGAUGGCGGUGGCACUAAUGCCACAUUCGGCAGGUUUGAGUUUAGGGACCGCUGGAUCUAGUCCUCCCUGGUGCUCGACGUCAACCACGGCGAGUGGCGACACCUCUCCUCGGCAGCAAUGACAGCAUUCUCCCCUCAUCCCCACCUCUCCAUGAGCAACGGCGGCGGCGGUCCACAUGACUAACAUGUAUGUAACCCCUCCUUUCUUUCCCCAUCCCCCUCCCUGAUAUCUUCCACCAUCCCCCAGAUUUAACUAUGGUCUUCUGGAUUUGAGCAGUGGUGGUGAGCAGCAACUGUAUCCUUUGCCUCUUAUGAACAGCGUCAGUGGCGACGGACAAUGGCCUUGGCCUUUGAUAGGCGGUGAUGGCCCUGGUCUCUGGUGAGAUAAGGCGAUGGAGGCUUCCAUGUAUUGAUUUGUGAUUUAGUUUUUGGGAUGAAUGUUAUGUGUGCAAUUUUCUAGGAUGAUUUUGGUUCAUUGUUGUUGGAUUUGUGAUUUUUUUAUUCAAUUUGUGUGCAUGUUCUUUGCUCGAAGUAGCCGAAGCAUCGAGCCAACAUUUUUUCAUUCCUAGAAUCUUAAAGGUGCCAGUUUCUAAAUUGGGACCUUUGAUUCUCCACAUCAGUGCCAUCUGAGUGGUAUCGGCUAGGAAAUCCGACAUAUAUGAGGGUUUUCCAAUUGGCACAAAAGUGUAUUUCUGUAGUAGUGAAGCUCCCCAUUCAUUAGGCUAUAGAACAAUGAAGGCGACAUUAUGGAUGUGACGACAUCAGUGGACUCGAGGCCGUUGCCAGUGACGAUGGGGACAACUGGUUCUAGCCUCCCUUGUGCAGAUAUAGCGGCGGCCCUACUAGGCACGUUGGUGUUGGGCACAACGGCAGUGGUAGGCAAACAUGGAUGCCCUCAUGUAGAUGCAUAUGGCAUUCGCACGACAAUUGUUCAAAGGCAGGAUGGAGGCUUGCGGUGAUGACAACAGGGUCGGACUAGAUCCUCACCUUCCCCCUCCUUCCCCCCUCCCCUCCUCUCAUGCUUGGUCGUCUAUGGUGGGUAGUUCCCUAUGGGAUGGUGAGUGUCGGUUGAUAGGAUUUUUCCGGUGUAAUUGAAGAAUGCUUCAGGGUAGUGUGUAUCGGCAUGGAUGAACCACUUCAGGCUUUGUUCUAUGGAAUGUGUUGAGGAGGUUGCGAGAGUUUGUGUUGUUUUUAAAGAUUACGUCAGUGCUGCUUUCAACGUGACAAGUCUUGUCAAUAACCAUAUUGAUAUUUGGUACAACGAUCCUAACAUCAAAGUUUCUAAUUGAACGAUGUGUCGGAUCGUUAGCAAGGACGUCUUAGAACAUUUGAAGCUUUGUCGUCUAGUUUUUCUUUCAUGUAUUUUGGUGUCCCUUGGGUACGAGGCAUGGAGUAUAAAUAUUCCUAUAUAUAAAUUUUAGCUAUGUAUAUCCACCCGUGGAUAUAGAGGCCGGAUUGCUAUCCGUUAAUCUAAAAAAUAUCAAAGCUACCUUAAGUGUGACUUAUAUUUUUCAUAUUUGCAUUGAAUUUUUAAUACAAAUAAGAGCGAAAUAUUAUGUCAAAAUGUCAAUGGCGUCAUAUAUUUAAAAACAAAAGGCACAAUGCUCAUCGCCGCCACAAUGCAUCGGUGCUUGACUUCAUCAUCGUAAUUUUGCUUAGAUAGGAGGCCAAGGGAAGUGUCACCAUGCUUGUCAAAGUUGUGUUGGUCACCACCAACCAAGCUCUACCAUCUUUCUCCCUAGUUAUGCACAGCCACUCGUUGAUGUCGCCAGACAAUCAACAUUGGCAUCCGCCCCUCCUCUUAAUCACCACGUCUAGUCGUAGCCUCAAGCUCGAAGCUGUCGUAUCUAGCAAUCUUAAACUCCAAAGCUAGCGAAAAGGAGGGGCAAGAAGCAAAGAGGGAGACGGGGGAGGAGGUGGUCAUCCUUGGUAAAGGAGGAGAUCAUGCAACGCCAGGACGUCGUAGCCCAUCUUCCACCUUUUUUGUGUCCCAAAGUCAUCGCCCUCUCACCAUUCAUGUGAGGUUCAACUUAAAAAUACAUGUCAAGAUUUAUAGCUACGGUUGAUUUUUUGAACGAGGGUGUAGGUGACAGUAGCUAACUAGAAAAGGAACUACUCCGAGUAGAACAAAUCACCGCCCUCAUCCCUCUAGUUCUCGGAAUGAAUCCAAAGAGGAAAACCGAUGGCUUUAUUGAAAGAGUUGUGAUGUGCAUUUGCAAGAUCAAGACGAGAUCCGCAAUGCAGAUUUUGGCCUGGUAUGGUGACAUCCCGAUGGGUUCGGUGUGCAUCCCAGAAGUUGGAUAGCCUAGGCCACAGGACGGGGUGGACCAGGUGUCCAGGACAUUUUUUUUAAGAACUCAUGCCUUUUUUGGUUUAGCUAAGUUAGAUUACAUGAAUGGUUAUAGUACAUCGAACACAGAUCUGGAUAGGGAUACAUUCAGUUUUGCAAAGAAGCCUCUUAACAAUGGGCAUAUUACACUUUCCAACUAUAGUUUGCAAAGAAGGACUUAGAAAGAAAUGAAAAACGCAAUCAGGUCCUUCUUGAACUGCUUGCAGCAUCAACUUCAAGCUUGAUUCCGGUAGAACUUGAAACAAAACAAGGUGAUGCAUAUGAUUGAUUCACCACAUAAUCCAAAAAGGGGCCUCACACAUAUGGAGGUUCAAGCGAUGGUAUACAAAUCGAAAUCUCAACCACACAACAGAAAAUUUCCACCGAAGUCCAAACAAAGACGCAACAGAAACAGUUCCAAAAAUCAAGCUUAGAUCCAUAGCACUAGCGAAAUAUGGUGAAGAAACAUAGGAAUCUGCAUAAAAAAACCGAGGACCAUACCCAAAAGAGGCCUCCAUAUAUAGAAGGUCGGGGUCAACUCGGCUUGACUCGACACCAUCAACCACCUCACGAAGAACUUCCGUCGGAGAUGAAGAAGGCCUCCACCCUUGGAACGAGCUCUCCCGAUAUGUCGGUGUAGACCAGGCGUAACCUCUCCUCGUGCAGAUCUUGAGGCACCCUAACCAACAAGACUCAAGAACCACAAGAACAAAAGCAAAAGCAACUGAAAAAGUCCAAACAAAUGGUAAGACCCGACUAAAACAACUACUACUAACACUAAGACGUCUGACCACUCUUCCACCCUCUAUCGGCAACGAACCAUCGGAGAGAAAAAGGAAAAGGGGUCGGAGAAGGAAGAGUGCUACUGUUGGGGAAAUUCGGGAGAGACCCUGGAAGAGACCCCCACGAAGAAAGUCCCAUUCGAGACAUUACCAAACUGAAGUAAGUUUAGUAAGAAGGUUUUUCUCUGUUUCUCUUUCUCUCUCUUUCUCUUUUGACAAGGCUUGGUAAAGUUCGUGCAAAUUGUGAAGAAACAACAUGGUCGCCUGGUCGAUGUGGGAUUAAAAUCAUUAGCCUUCAAAGGCACCAUAUCUUUGUCAGUGACAAGUGGAUCCAUGAUUCAUCGGGCCCAUAUGUCGGUGACAAAGGCACGUACCUCCUUCGAAGGUAGAGGAGGCUGAUCCGUCGGUGUGGUGAUGCUACCCCAAAGUUGAAACCUCGUCAACUGUUCCGUUUGCCGCAGCAGAAUUCCAUCCGAUAUGCUUCCUCAUCACCUACACGCCCAAACAUUUCCCCCAUAUUCGAAACGUAUAACCGAGAUGCAGUGAUGCACACAAAAGAGGAACCUCAAACCCACACAACGAAGUACAACACACCGUGACGCCCACAGGCCAGUUCAAGUCCCAAACGUCCGGAUCCUCCCAUCCUAUUCCUUCGCCGAGAAGGCCCUGACGACUGACGUGCAGUGCCAGCACGCACCGCACCGUUGGAUCUUGGAUGCUCCUCCCACGAAGCCAAGUGCGGAGACGCGGACGCCAGCCAACGCCAAUUAGCUGUCCGCGUCAGUUACGUUUCCGUUUCCCCCUUCACGCUAACAAAAUUCCCCUUCUUCUCUCCUCUCUCCUCUCUCCUCGUCAUCCUCUCCCUUCCCCCAACUCCCCUCGCCGGAUCGUUCGCGAUCAAUCCGCCGCCGCCGCUUUUCUCCUCCGAUCCAGCGCCGCCCCCCGAGGGAGAAUCUUCCGCCGCCGCGGCCGCACCCCGCACCCUCACGCAGUAGGGAUCGAGGAUGUCGUACGCGUACCUCUUCAAGUACAUCAUCAUCGGCGACACAGGUGCGCGCUCCCUCCCCUCUUUCCUUGGAUUGGAUCCGGCCGCGCCGCCGCCGGUGCCGGGGAGAUCUGCCCCGCCGCGGAGCAUCUGGUGUGGUUUAGAUUGAUUUGGUCUCGUCUGGGUCUGAUCGGGUUUUGGUUUUUUUGCUUUGCGUCACCCUGCAGGCGUGGGGAAGUCGUGCCUGCUGCUGCAGUUCACGGACAAGAGGUUCCAGCCCGUGCACGACCUCACCAUCGGCGUCGAGUUCGGCGCCCGCAUGAUCACCAUCGACAACAAGCCCAUCAAGCUCCAGAUUUGGGACACGGUCCGUACUCUUCCCCUUCCCUUCUCCGGUUCUCCCCCUCCUUGUAGCUUGCGUAGUACGCUUGUGAUGUAGGGUUAACCGAAUCGACACAUGUAUUCGGUGUCAAGAAACGUAUUCGAUUUUUUUUGGUAAUUGCCUCAGCGAUGCCUAUCCUUUGUUUAUGUUCAUGUUGCCAAACUAUUCUGUGCAGUUGAUGAUGUGGUGAUGAUUUUGCUAUCGCGUAGCUUUUGGGUAGUUUCUAUUGUGGUGGCUUUCGUGUAGCGAAAUGCGUUAUCCUUUGCUAAUGUACCAAAAAUGUGUAAAUAUUUGUGGAAUCUCACAAAAUUAUAAUAUGCUAGGAAUUGUUUUACACAAAUAUACUCUAUCAUACUUAUGAGGUAAAUCGAAAUGCUCACAGAGGUAUUGUUGACCUGACUUUUAACAGUUGAACUUCAUAUGAGUGACACUGAUAUUUAAGAAAAAGAAAAGGUCUCACAUCUCUGCUGAGUUCCUAAAACCAUGGGUAUCAGUUCAUCCUUGUGAGUGGUUUUGUUCAUCAUAUCAUGCCCAUAUUAGCCUUUUUUUUAUUUACAUAACAGGGUUAGGCAGUAAAGAAUUCUUAAUUAAAAUGCCAUACGGUGAAGCAUUUAUGUUUUGGGUCUGCCUGUACAGCUAAAUGACUUUCUUGAGUUUGUUGUCAUGACACACACCCAUCUCAUACUAUUCUCUCGCAAUAAUGCAGGCUGGUCAAGAAUCGUUCAGAUCUAUAACUAGAUCAUACUACAGGGGUGCUGCUGGUGCCCUUUUGGUGUAUGAUAUCACCAGGUGCAUGUUAAAUGCAAUAUAUUGCUUAUGAUCUUAACUUUCUUAAUAUGGAUAUUGCUCACAGUUGGCUAACUUAAACUUCAGGAGAGAGACUUUUAAUCAUCUUGCUAGCUGGCUAGAAGAUGCAAGACAGCAUGCAAAUGCCAACAUGACAGUAAUGCUUAUUGGUAACAAAUGUGAUCUGUCUCAUAGACGUGCUGUCAGCUAUGAGGAAGGUGAACAAUUUGCCAAGGAGCAUGGCCUAGUAUUUAUGGAGGCAUCUGCAAAAACUGCACAAAAUGUUGAGGAGGUGAUUGUUUGUCCCUGGUACAUUUGAGUUUGGUUGCAGGGUUCAUUUCUCUUGAAAACUUAUCGUGUGUCUUCUUGUGAUGUAGGCAUUCAUCAAGACUGCUGGAACAAUUUACAAGAAAAUCCAAGAUGGUGUCUUUGAUGUAUCUAAUGAGGUGAGCUUUUUAUUGCUUGCCCCUUUUCCCUUUUAAACUCUCAGUUCAGUUUGUGCUAAUCAAAGAUAAUUAGUGGAAUGUAAUUGAAUUCAAUCUUGUUCGUAAGUUGCAAUGGCACCAUACAUCGGUCAUGCUAUGUUUUGAACCCCCAAAAGAACAAGUUGACAUUUUUUUCUGAACUACAUGUAUAGGAUGAUACUAUCUGUGAAUUCGACACACCUCUUCUAUUUGAUUACAAGUUUUAUUGUUAAGUUCUCCAGUUAGUAUUGAUUAAUGAAUAGAAAGCUGUGGUGUUGUAUUCUAGACUAUUGACAAGUAAUAACAUAUACAUGAAACUAUUCUGAUAGAGAGGUUGGUUGGAGUGUCAAUGUGCCAGCUGGCUCCCCUCUUAUCACAUGAUUUUUCUUUUCCAGUUCAGCAACCACUUUAUCAAUAUUCUCGCAUUUUAAGGAAGUAUGAUAUAUUAUAUUUCACAGCUACUAACUUAUCUUCCAAAACUGCUGCAGUCUUAUGGGAUCAAAGUUGGCUAUGCGGUACCAAAUGCUUCAGGUGGUGGAGCUGGCUCAUCCUCUCAAGGUGGUGGCUGCUGCGGCUAAAGGCAGCAGCAGUAUCCAACUAGUCAUGUAUCCAGCCUAAAUUGAAAAGUCAGAUCAUGUGUAACAUGGCCCUCAAUAUUUCGAUGUUGCCUUGUGGAAAAAAUAGCUGGUAUUGGUACUGUGUUUUUUACUCCUUCCAGCUACCGACGUUCAGUGUUAGUGCACAAAAUGUUCAUCCAUGGUAGUUUGUCUACAUUGCAGUCAUGUAAAGUUAAACAUUCACGAUUUCUGUACUUUUGCAUGUGUAACUAAAUGAAAUGGUGUGUUACAUUCAUUCCUUCAAUCAAAUAAUCCAUAGAAACAAACUGGUUUGUAACUAUUGUAACUAGUCGCUAGUGUCCAUGGUAUUUUCGAUUGUGGAACAUAAUUAGUUUAAUCUGCUUCAGUAUAACUUAAGCCGGCUUUAUCCUGUGUAUGCAUCAGCUUCGCUCCAUUGAACAUCCAAACAUCAGUAUAAGCAUUUUGUGGCGACUAAUCAUCCGGAGAUAGGGCAAUGCUUUCUACCAACUGAAGAGUAGAGACGUGAUGCUGUGAGAUGGAAUGCAAAUUUCGCAUAUUAGUAAGAAGUUGGGGAAGGAUUCGACCACUCACUGAGAAGCUAGAGCAUCAUGGCACAGUAAUUACAAUGUAACGUAGCAUAUUCUUGAACAAGAACAUCUGGUCAAAUACCAACCGGGAAAAAAUCCACAUCGAUAAAGAGGUGCCGAGUGCUUACAUCAACGUCUUUGCCAUAAUCAGAACACUACUCCGUACAAGCUAACACGAGAGCAGAGAUUACAUUUGCACGGAUGCAAAAGUUUCCAAGAUAGGGAACUGGAGUGAAGCUCAGCGUCCCCUGCCACGACCGCGCCCACGACCACGGCCGCGCCCACGCCCCAAAGGCUUCCCUGUUUCCGGAUUAAGGUUUGAUCAGACAAACAGUUCAGCAGCUCAGUAAAAUCAACUUAGAGAGACAAAACAAUUAUCAAACCUGCAGUUGGCUUCUUAGCCUUGACCCUCGGUGUAUCCUCAACCAGCAAUGUCUCCAGGUUUAAGCUGUCAGGAAGAAUGUAAUAGCGAAUGUUGUUUCCCCUCACACUGAGGUGAUCAAAGGUAACAGGAUUUUUCCCUUUCAAUGUGAGUUUCACAGUUUUCAGGUGCGUGUUCAUGCUGAUAUCAACACCUACAAAAUAGACCUGGAAGUUAGGAUGUGCAUAUGGAGUAUAAUGGAGUCACUUAUGGAGGUGAUUAUAGGCAUGACCGCAUGAGAAUAGCUCUGCUGAAACAAAAGGCAAUGCAAAUUAAUUAUAACAAGUGCAUGAAAGACUUAUGGUGGGUUUGAGGAAAAUGUAAAGAGUUGUAAAAAGUAUAAAUUGAGAUAGAUAAGAGAAAGUAGAAGGGCUGGAAUAGAUUGCCUAUUCUGCUUGUAUUGUUGAUACAGUGUUCAGAGACUAAUUUAUGAAAAAGAAGGGUCCAAAAACUUUUUCUGAUAGUUUCCAGACCCGGACUAAUAUUGUUUGUGAUUUCUGUGCUAACUGAUAUAUUUACUAGGCUAUUCUGUUCCGCUAAUCUAGAAUCAUCAGAAUAUUAGUAUUGAUAUUAUGCCUAUUUGAUCAGAGUCGAUCAAUUUCUGUCUGUCCGAUUGCAGCAUACAGACUAUUAGUUUGGGAUAUACUUUGAUGAUCCAACAAAAUGUUCACUGUCGAUAUUGUGUAUAUUUUAUUUGUUAGGUCAAUUUCUGACUAUCUGAAUGCAGCAUUACAAGAUCCAAGGAAAUAGCUACUAUAGAUAUGUUAGAGCUGAGAUGAUCUAUUGUAUUGGUAAAUGCAUUGGAUUAAAUCUUCUUUGCAGAUAAAUUUAAAUGCACCUGUUGCUUCAACCUGUAGCAUGUUUCAUGUGUAUCACAAGUGAUGUUUUGAACAGAUCAACAGACUAUUACCACCUAUGCACAUGUGACCUUAGAGUGACUUCUCCUGAUCAAAUUUGGUUAUUAAGAUUAAGAGUGGCGCAUUAGGUUCAAGGUAAGCCUUGACGCUGGAGCACUGAAAAAUGGGAGAGCACUGCUUCUUAAUCCUUCUGCAGUAGAAAUCAAUGCAUAACCUACCUAUGGCCUCUGAAUAACUGCAGCACAAGUGCUAAACUAUGUUCAUUGAACUUAAGCAUUGCAUAUGUUCAUGUACUUAUCAUGAAGUCAAAAUAUUGGCAACCUAGUGUAACAUAACAAUGAUAGAUCAAAUCAAAUACUCUUCAUAAUACACUAGAAGCCAAAUAAUGAUAUAAAUUUAUGAACAUGAUAUACGCAUAUAUAUCAGUCCAUUCUUGCAUCCAAAUUUAUGUAUGAUUUGUUUCAGAUUUUCAAUGUUGGUUAACAAUAUCAAGUAUAUGCCAUCUUUUACUUCAAUGACAUGCUUUCUAAUUCCCUUUUCUGAUUUUUUUGGUGCAGGGUAUGGAAAAGGGAUAACCUGUUAAAGGUUAAUUGUUUUGAUGGAAAGCAUGGAUGAAGCUUUGCAGCAAAUGAUUGUUUUCUAAAAGAGAUUCUGCAUACAAUUGUUGCAUACUACAAUAAGGUGGUUAUGCCCAAUAAGGAUGAAAAGUUGAAAACCUCAAGUAUAAGCUGCUGAUGCUAAAAAUGUUCAUGGCACGUGUAAUAUUGAUAUCAAAGAAGAUAAAUUGUUUCAGUAGUAAGACUUUGAUAAACACUACUCUAACAUAAGCAAGAUGCCAGCAAAUAGUAGACUUGAUCAGGCUGGCCAAGAAUAGGCUACCACUGUCAGUGAGACCAUAUGUGAAGGCAAAUGCAGAUGCCACAUUAUUCAGUUAUUGUUCCACACAUAUCAUAGCUUGGAUAAAAUAAGUAAAUCAUAGCAGACUUCCUUUAGCAUGGUGUUAUCUUAUGAAUUCCUAAACUCGUUUGAAGCUUAGUACUUAUCCUCUGUCAGCGAUCUCUUUAAUUAGCAGGAAAACUAGGAUGCAGCUGCCAGCUAGCAAAACGUUUAAAAUGGUCACAUUUGGGGUUACAUAAUUAUUGUGUAUUGCCAAGUCAUCCAACUAGAUAUGCUGCUAGGAACACAGAGAAAUUGGCACCGAGGAUGUCAGCAGAGUAGAACGAUAAACCCCUUCUCUAAGACAUUGACCACAAGAAGCCAAACUGGUGUCUGGUGCUGAUGCCAAAAGGAAAAGAUGGUGCUGGUGCCAAAAGGAGAAGGCAGCAAAUGUUCAAUCCAAUUGCUUCAAGGGAUGAUGAUUCUUAGGAGUCAAAGGAAGUUCUACCUGUACUACAUGACAUACCUAUCAUAGCUGGUCAUGAUCUGUUGGAAGCAUAUGGUCUUUUCAGUUGUAGUGAUGGCACUUUUUCAUGAGAUUGAGUGAGAGGCUGCUGUUGAAUCAAUUUGAACCACAAAGGUUUUCCCUUUGAGCUACAAUAUAAUAAAAUGCAACUGUGCUAGUCAAACACCCUAGAUUUGCUCCGCAUCGUCACGAAAACAAAAGCUUCAGCACAAAGGCCUCCUAGUGUUUCUACCGAAUCCGCCAUUGAAAUGCAACCACAGCGCCAAUCAAUCAAAUCCCGCGCCACAUAGACAACACAGACGCCGCUCGCAAACCCUAGUAACGCGCCGCCAAAAAGAACAACAACAACAAAAAAAAAAGGUCGCCAAGACAUCGUACCAGUGAUGGUGCCAUGGACGGUGGUGCCGUUCUUGAGCUCGAUCGUUACCGUCUCGUUGUUCAGCUUCAUCAAGAACCUGCACCCGAAUUCGGCGGGAGAAAUCGCACGGGAAACGAACCAGUUAACCACAAAAAAAGGAGAAAAAAAAACAAAUCUGGGAAGGGGAGAGCGAAGCGGGAGCCGCGGAUUACCUGACGAGCUUCAUCUUGGAGGCGCCUGGUGGGGGGAGGAAGGCGAGGGGGGGAGAGGCGGUGCCGAAGCCUGAGCUAGGGUUUUUGGGGGGGAGCUGCCUCCUCGAGCGGCUUCUCUCCUCGGAGAGAGGAAGAAAGAGGGGAAGCCGCCAUAAAACCUCCCCGAUCUGGGAGAGAGGCCGCGAGAUGGGCUUUUACUGGGCCGGAUUGCAAUAUGGGCUUUUUCAUGGGCUGUUCUGUAAUUGGGCCUCGGUUAUCGAUAGUGUCAGUACACAAUUACAUAUAUAUGUAAUGGUUGAGUAUUGGUAUUGUAUCCUGGUAUUUAUUGUACAGGAUUUUCCUGACUAUUGUGUGAUCAGCAAGCAGUGUACCCCUUGCUGGAAAAUAAUAAUGAGCCAUGAGCCAUCCCUUGAUCGCUCUGAGAAAGUUAUAACAAGUGUGGGCAUCCUUGAUGAGCUGAGCUAUGGAGGAAUGAUGUUACAAGUAGGAGUAUGCUUCACCAGCAGUAAGAUCAAUUCAUUUUUGUUAUAAAUGUUUCAUACAUAUUAGGUUGGGCUUCUAUCAUAUCAAAAUCUUGGUGGUUGGAUUCAUAUACCAUGAUUCUCUUGCUAUAAAUCUCCUAUUAUUUGAUUCAUAGAUAAGAUGGCUAUAGUAAUAGCGGUGGUCCACCGGGUUAGGGUUUUGAGGUUGGAGAUAUGGGUGGCUAUGCGAAGUACGGAAACCGUCUAGGCUGUAGUGACAAUAUUGUAGCUAUAGGUUCGAAAGUCGGGCAUUGGAUUGUGCCAAUAUAGGAAUAUCGGAAAAGACAAUAGUUUGGUUGCGUCAAAUGGAUAUCCAAUGGCAAAAGCCACCUAAGAACGAGGAGGAGAAAGGUGUGAGGACAACGAAUAAGAGAAAGAACAUCACAAGAAGAGCAAUGGGGAGGCGAGCGAAGCAAGGUACGUAAAUGACAAAAGUUUGUUUUUGGGAGGACGCUCUGUUGUUAACGGAAGUCUGGCAUGUUUAGCUGUUAUUGAAGGCACAUGACACUUGACUUGAAUAAUGAAGUAGGGCUCUACUAGUAGAGCAACAUACGAUGUGUAUUUGGCUUGCAGAGGAAUGAGUGUGCGGGUGCGAGUGCGGGUUGGGUGGAGAGAUUACCCACACGAAUCAAUAACAAUAACCCACAUAUAUCCAAAUCUGACAAAUUAAAUUGAUUUCGUGAAAUCUUCGGUCUGCACACUGGUAUCACAUAUUCAUCACAUCCAAAGAAAUAUUUAUAGCAUUUAAUUUCCUCAUAUAAAUAUAUUUUUCCCCACCAGAAAAUACAAUCUUCUUUUCCCACACAUAAGGGAUGCCCAGCCGGACUCCAUUUCUUAAGGAAAAACCAUUCAACAGAAAAAGUUGGAAAAAAGGUUAAAAAGGUACCCCUUUUUAUUACGGAAAAUCCCCAUUAAUUAAUUAAUCUCUAUGCCAUGUCCCCGACUCAAGUCCAAACUCCCACCCCCGCUCACAGUUGCUCUCGACGCCGUCGCGCGCGCUGCAUGCCAUCCAUGGCCACCGCAGCGCGCUCUCCUCGUGGGCGCGCGCGGCGCCUUGCUUAGCUAAGCUUCACACAUCUCCCCCCACCCCUGCCACGCGUGGUCGCGCGCUCGCUGACGUAGCAGAUCGCGCCCGGCCGGCGGCGGAGGGGAGGAGAUGACGAUGGUCAGGCAGGCGGAGGCGGUGGGGGUGGGGGUGGGGGUGGAGCCGUCGUCUGCCCUGGGACGGAAGCGCUCCGCCUCCGCCUCGUCGAGGCCGACGACGGCGCGCGGGCGCGGCGCGUUCGGCGUGAGGAGCGUGGUGUUCUCCGUCGGCGGGAUGUCUUCCUCGGCGAGGCGGAGGCUGGCGGCGCGGCUCAGGUCGGAGCUCGCGGGCGUCCGCGCGCUCCUCGCGAAGGCGGCGGGGUUCUUGGCCCCCGAGGGCGCGGCUCCUUCCUCGUCGCCGCCGGCGGCGGCUCCCUGCGGCGGGGGGAGGAAGGAUGGACGGUUCUUGGCCACCGCCGGGAUCCGAUCCGGUGGUGCACCGGCGGUGGACGCUGGCGGCGAGAAUUCCGGGAGGAAGAGGAAGGUUUCGUUUCUCUUGGAGCGGACAGACGACGCGCCGAUGGAGAUGGCGCCGGAUGGGAGGACGCGGCUCGCCGCUCGCUCUGCGUCGCUCUCGCCGUCGCCGCCGCCGCCGCCGCCGCGACAGCACCAAGCAGCAGAUGGCAAGAUCGGCGUCGAGGAGGAAGAGGACGUCGACAUCUGCGGCGGCGCCUCCCCGUUGGCAACCGCGCCGAUGUCUCCUCUCUUCCCUGACGUCGAUCUCAGCGAGCUCGUCGGUGCAACCGGAGCGAAGCUGCUCUCGCCGCUGCAACGCAAGUACAUUGCGCUCGCCGACGCCGAGCGCGCCGAUGCACGCGGCGGCGCCUCCACCGUCGCGCCGCCGGCAUUGUCUCCUCUCCUCCCAGCUGGAUACAGCGAGCUCGUCGGUGCAACCGGAGUCGACCUGCUCUCGCCGCUGCCGCGCGAACACGUCGCGCUCGCCGAUCGCGCCGACGCCCUUGGUCUCGGUCUCGUCGUCUCCGCCACCGCGACGACGACGUCGCCGUCUCUGCCUCCUGGUUUCGCUGAACUCGCCAUCGCCGAUGCAGGCGGAACCAAAAUGCUGUCGCCGCUGCCGCGCAAAUACGUCGCGCUCGCCGAGCGCGGCGGCGUCGCCUCCACCGCGACGACAUUGCCUUCCCUCGAUGAGCUCGCCGACGCAACCGGGGUCAAAAUGCUGUCGCCGUUGCCGCGCAAGUACGUCGCGCUCGCCGAGGAAGAGGACGACGAGUACGUCGACAUCUGCGGCGACGCCUCCCCAGUGGUGCUACACAAGAAUCAUGGCGAGAUCAUCAUCAGCAACAGCAGCAGCAGCAGCCCAAGCAGCGACUCUGACUCGGACUCAAACAGCAGCUCCAGCUCCAGCUCCAGCAGCAGCAGCAGCAGCAGCAGCAGCGAUUCAGACUCCGACGAGAGCGCCGCCGCGGCUACACAUGCGCCGGCGAUCCCCACCAAUGCGUGCGUCAGUUCCGCGCAACCGUCGUCGGCGGCGCCUGCAGCGCCGGAGGUAGCACAGAGCGCUAAAAAACAAGAAGAGAAGCUCCCGGACCAGCGCACCGCCGCAGCCGCCGCCGCCGCCGUCGUCGCGACGGCGCCGCCGAAGCCACUGACCGACCUGAUCACCAGAGCCCAGGGAGCCGCGGCGAGGCGGCGGCAGGACGAGAAGGCGCAGGCGAGGGAGAAGGCCCGUCAAGAACUGCGCGAGAUGGAGAGGACGACAGCGCCCGCCAUGGCCAGAAACUUCAUACACCCGCUGGACAUGAAGCUGCUCGGCCUCGCCGCCGUCGAGCACAUGGUGAGCGCCGACGAGGAGGCUCGCUGCAGGGCGCUUCGCUCCGCCGCGCCCAGCCUUCUGGAGAAGCUCGGGCUCUUCCUGAAGGCCGAUGACGGUGGCGACAAGGUGCAGCGGCAGCAGCAGCCGAGCUUCGUCGCCGGCGACGAUGACGACGUCGAGGAAGGUGAGAUUCGGUAGCGCCGCGCCAGGAAGAAGACAUGAUUGAUUUGAAUGUAUGUGUGUGGCUCCAGAUAUGUGCCGGGAAAACACUGUCGGUUUCUCCAGAGAGAACUUUUUUUUUUGAGGGAUAUGAAAUCACCAAAUUCGAUUAACAUUUGGGACAAAAGUGCAUUGAAAAGUUCAAACAGAUUUUGAUUGUUUGAACGAAUUUUGGGAAGGCCAAAAAAAAAAAGGAAUCACCAAGCGUGGAUUUUGUAUCGGCGGCAGGUUAGCACAGUUGGACAGGCCUGAUCCUGCUCGGCCCGUGGGCCUUGUUGUGUGGGCCAGAGGUUGCAGCGUUUGAUCACCAUCUACCUGAGAAAUAAGUUCACUUUGAUUCCCCUUAAACUAGUAUCCUUAAACCAUAAUAUCGGAUACCUAGUAUCCGUAAACCACAAUAUCGGAUACCUAUAACUAUUAAAACCGGUACAAUUUAACUUACUCAGUGGUUUUGAAGGAUGGUUUCGUUGACGUAAUGUCUAUAUGGCGGUGUUGACAUGAUCUUCGGUCAAUGUGGCGAUGACGAUUCAUAUGGCAAAAUAAAUGGGACCCUAGUCGCUAGGUCGCUUCGGCGGCUGGGGCGUGAACGGCGAGGUGGACGCCACCGGAUUGAGGCAGUCUGCGGGGGGCGGCAUCGCCGGCGUGGAGUGCUUCCCGAUGGAAGAAGAGGAGCUAAAGAAGAAAUAGAGGAGGGGCAGUCACCAAAAUUUCUAGCCCUUCCCAAAGACUAGCAUCUGUUCACACGACUAUGACAUCUCUAUCUAUUAAAAAUAUUUAUAUAUUGUUUAUGUUAAUUAAUGGACAUAUAUGUUUAAUAACAAUUAAUAAUAAAUAUGUUUUAACAUAUUUUUUAAGUAGUGUAGCUAUAACAUAAAUGGAUUUAUAUAUCUUGAUUUGUCAUUAAGAAUAUCAUCGUAACAACAAAUAAUUUAUCAUAUAUUACCGCGACCAUUACCUCCUACAAUAUUUAAAUAUUUAAAUGUGUCAAUUGUAGUAGCAAUGUAAAAGGCCACAUUUCUUAUACGUUGCAAUUCUGUCAUCACCAGUUGAGAAGAAUCUAUACGAUUUUUUUUAUAAUCAUAUGAUUUUUUUUAUAAGUCGUAAAACUUAUAAUCAUAUGAUUUAAAUCAACUUUGCAAAAUUUAUUAUAUCGUCCAUGUCACAUGUUUUUUUAAUUGGAAAAAUUUGCUACAGGACACUCCAAAAAACACGUAAUUAGCUGAGGGACAUCGAGAAAACGUGGAACUGCCCCAGAACACUACAAAAUUUGUGAAAUUUGUCGUAGGAUACCAAGCUCAUUAUUUUAUCAUUUCCCGGCUGAAAGUGACGUGUACUUUUUCAAAAUGCCCAGAUUGCCCCUGCAUCCCAAUCUAUACCGACGCGCGGUCCGGUCGAACCAAACUCGGUCACACGGACACACGGUUGGAUGUUGGAUGGAGGAGCAAUUUCGCAAUCAAGAACCUGGUUGCGGCUUCAUCGCCGGCUGCGACGCGCUGCUCUCGCCGCCGGGGAGGCCCAUCUCCACGUCGCAGUUGGCCUGCACCGGCGCCGGCGGGGGCGUCGCGCCGCUGCAGCCCAGCAACCGCCGCAGGGCCGCUAUCCUCACCGCUUCCACGAUGACGGCGACUUCAGCGAUGGGUCCCGCCGACGGCUGCGGCGGGACGGCCGGUAGUUGAUGAUGAUGCCGCGACGGCGCCGUCUGUCCUGGCGGAUCACCAGCUCCUGCCGGUGCAUCAUCGUCUCCUUCUCCCCCGUGUGUUGCAGGCAGAUCUCGUGCUCCGUCGUCGUCGUCGUCGUCGCCGCCAGAGCCGGUAGCCUGCUCGUCCCGCCGCCAGAGACGACGGUCACCGUCGCCAUGGGAGUCGGCAUGCUGAUGUUGCGCUCGAGGCCGGUGGUGUAGUCGGUGAAGGAGUAGACGAGGUAGGCGGCUGUCACACCCUGAAGUUCUUUUCCCAAACCUAAAUUGAAUUUAUAAAUGACCUCAAGAAAAUACCGGUGUAAAAGCAAGAGCGAAACCCUAAUAAAUUAAUGCAAAUAAUAAUCGGAAUUGGCAUGUGGAAUUUUUCUUGAGUUCUACAUGUCGAAAUGUGCUAACAAGAUUUUUAGUGGAAUUUUCAGAGCUCUAGAAAUAAUUUUAACCAAUUAAAAUUGAGCACAAGUAAUAUUUAAUCCCAGGAAAUUCAUUUCCUUCCUUUUCUUUUUCCUUUUCCCUCCUUUUUCUUUUUUCGAAUGGGCCGCCGGCCCAUUCUCUUCCUCUCCCCUUCCCCGCUGGGCUGGCCGAAGGCCAAGGCCCAGCAGCCGGCCGCCUCCUUCCUCCUCUCUUCGGGUCGCCGACAGGUGGGGCCCACCUGUCGGGCCCGUCUCCCACCUCCAGCCGGCACCGCCGCAUCCCGCAACCGCCGCCCCGCUCGCUCCCGCGUCUCCCGGGCCACGUCGCCCACGCCGCCGCCCGCGCCCACUCCCUCUCUCUCCCGCCCACGCCCGCGCUCGAGACGGCCGGGAUUCAAUUUUUGAAUCCUGCCUCUCUCUCCUCCCCACCUCUCCCCACUCCGCCGGCGAAAUCGCGGUCACCCUGGCCACGAUCGACCCUCGUGAGCCUAUAUAAAGCACCCUUAUUCCCUCCUCUCUCUUUUUCGUUUUGCAAUCGUCUGCUCCCGUGCACUCCACAGCCCUAGCGCCAUCGCCCUAAUUUCUGUCGCCGCCGCCAUCGCUCCGGCCGCCGCUAGCCGCCGCUAGCCGCUGCGCCGUCGACGCCGUCGCGUUCGCCGUCGUCCGGGCCACCCCGUCCACCCAACUCCCGUCGGAUUCCGCCGCCGGAACCCACUCCGCACCGUGCGCCGGUGAGCACCGCCAUGGCCGCUGCCUUCGGCCGGCGUCCUCGCCCUCUUCCCUCUUCCUCUCUCUCUCUCUCUCUAACCCCUUUCAUCGUGUUCGCUAGGUGGUUCCGGAGCUCGUCCCGCUGCCGUCAUCGCCCUCCGUCGCUCGCCGUCGUCAACCGCCGUCGGUGAGACACCUCCUCCCCUUCCUCUCUCUCUCCCGCACCGCUUAACCGCCGCCUAGCCGCUUAGCUGCCGCUAGCCCCGUCCGUGUCACCGCGACGCCGCCGCCCUCCGCCGCCGGCCGGUCGCCGCCAGUCGCCGCCGCUGCGUCGAGCCGUGCUGCCGCGUGCCAUGGGCGCCGGGCCGGUUUGAGCCGUGCCCAUGCACGCUGGCCGCGAGCCGCCUCCGCCGUCCGAUCUACCGGGCGGUAGAUCGGGGCCAUCCAAUCCCGCCGCCCGCGUGGCUGCCACAUGGCCGCCACGUGUGCGCCACGUCGGCGCCACAUGUGCACCACGUGGUGUGCCGCCCCUUUCCCGGUCCGUGGACCCAGUCCACCGCGGACAGCCACCCGAUUCACUGCCAUGUGCCAUGUGGGGCCCGCAUGUCGGCGCCGCCCUCUCUCUCCCCGGGAUUUUAAUUAUUGCGCAAUAAAUCAAUUAAGGAUUUUUCUGUUUAUAGUAAAAACACAGUGAAUCUUCUAAAAUUCAUAUCUAAUUCAUCCGAGCUCCGUUUAAGCCCAUUCAAGUCUCAGUAAAUCAAGAAAAAUGCAUAGAAUCCAUUAAAAAUAGUUUUGUUCUCUGUUUCAGUAGGCUUAUGGCCUGUUUGUAUUGUUUGCUUUGUAUGUCGCUUAGAUUCCGGCUCUCCCGAUGUUCCGGUGUACUUUGAAAUAGUCGUCGAGGUUCCUCCAGGAGCAUAGCAAGGCAAGUCAUGCUUGUCACUUGAACAUAUUGAUCCUAUAUUGCAAAUGCUCUAUCAUUUUCCUUUAAGUACUGCAUCAUUUUAUAAUGUUACUGCUCUAUCGUUUUUCACUUGAACAUGUUUUCCUUUAAGUACGGCCAGUGAGAACGACACCACCUUCAGCCACAUGUGCGCCGUGAUGAGGGGAAUGGACAGGAUGCACUCUGACCUGCACAAGGCAUCCAAGGCCUUGAAUGAUGGGAAGCUUGUGAGGAUCAUAGCUCUGAAGGAUGAGAUAGCACGCUUGAAGAAGGAAAACGCUUAGUUGAAGGGUCUCCCAGCGCCAGGAGGAGUCCAGAUCCGCACCACGCCUCGCAAGUCAACGAAUGCACCCGUGCGCAUUCAGCUUGCGCCCAGGAACCCACCUCCUCCCGCAGCUCCUCCAGCACCUCCCGCAGUUCCCGCAGCGCCCGCAGCUCCAGCUCCAGUCCCAGCUCCCGUUCCAAUGUCAUGUCAGCUCCCGCGUCCGCUCUCUCUUUCGCUCCAGCGUCAGCCGCCAGGGGUCCAGCCAGUGGCAACAGAGGUUGGUUGCCUGCUACUCCCAGUGGCAGCCGCGACCACAGCAGCAGCAGUUCCAGUGGCUCAGAGCCGGGCAGCGGCGAGACGUAUCUGCCAGACUCCAGGAGCCGCUCAGAGGGACCUGGCGACGAGCAGGAGGACGCCUUCGACUCCACCGACCGCAGGAGCCGUUCCGAGCAUUAGGCUCGUUUUCCCUUAGUUUAUCGACUGCUUAGUAAUUGUCUGUUAGUUUGUGUGUUUAGGCUUGUUCGCUUGUGGGUCAGUCGACGGUCGACAUCAUGUGCCUAUGAUGUGGCUGUCUUAAUAAGGAUUUGUUUGCUGUUUUAAGUGUUUUAAUUCAGAUCAGAACAAUUGUAGUUUAAAUUCCUAUAUAAUAAAGCUUAGUUCCUGAGCAUCUGUUUUUCUUCUUUUCCAUCCCCUCCGUCUGCUCUCCCUUCAGAUGGUCAACACCAGGAAUGGCAGCCGUGUAGCAGGUGAGGGCAGCAACGGCAAAGAAUGCACCGACGGUGGAUAUCCUAACAGCGCCUCUGGCAACGGUCCGCCACCGCUCCCCGAGAACCUGACUCUUGCACAAGUGAUGGCCCAUCAGACUCAGAUGAUGGCGGCCAUGAUGCAACAGAUGCAGCAGCAGCACCAGCAGAUGCACCAGAGGAUGUAGCAGCAAGCCGAGCAGCAGCAGCAGCAGUUUGGUCCCCCUCCCCCUCAGUCCAAGCUGCCGGAGUUUCUACGCGUCAGGCCACCCACCUUCUCUAGCACCACCAACCCCAUGGAGGCAAAUGACUGGCUCCAUGACAUAGAGAAGAAGCUCAAUCUUCUGCAGUGCAACGAUCAGGAGAAGGUCGCCUUCGCCACACACCAGCUCCAGGGUCCCGCGUCAGCUUGGUGGGACAACCACAUGGCUACCCGCCCGCCAGGCACAGAAGUUACUUGGGCAGAGUUCUGUCGCAGCUUCCGGAAGGCGCAAGUGCCAGACGGGGUCGUGGCACAAAAGAAGAGAGAAUUCCGGGCACUCCAUCAGGGCAACAGGACAGUAACAGAGUAUCUGCAUGAGUUCAAUCGCCUAGCGUGAUAUGCACCGGAGGAUGUCCGCACUGACGCAGAAAAGCAGGAGAAGUUCCUAGCAGGCCUGGAUGACGAGCUGACCAACCAGUUGAUCUCCGGGGAUUACGCUGACUUCGAGAAGCUGUUAGAUAAGGCAAUCCGUCAGGAGGAUCAGCGCAACAAAAUGGACAGGAAGAGAAAGGUAGCGCAGUUCCGGUUCAACCAAGGAAGUCACCAGCGACCACGCUUCACUCCCGGGCAGCAGGGUAGACCUACCACCAUGAUUGUCCGCCAGCAUCGCCCUUUCAACUCAAGCAGCUUCCACCAGGGCGCCAGUGGCAGCCAGAACCACCCGGGAGGUCAGCCCAACCGCAGUGCAUCUCCGCGCCCACCAAUGGCCACAGCACAGGCAGCUCCAUCAGUCCAAGCCAAGAAGGAGACUGGAGCAAAGCCAGGGUCCUGCUUCAACUGUGGCGAGCAUGGCCACUUUGCUGACAAGUGCCCGAAGCCAAGGCGUGCCGAGCCAAGGUUUGCCCAAGCUCGUAUCAACCACGCAUCCGUAGAAGAGGCGCAAGCAGCACCAGAGGUCGUACUGGGUACGUUUCCUGUCAACUCAAUUUCUGCAAAAGUACUUUUAGAUUCUGGUGCGACGCAUUCAUUCAUUUCAAAGAAGUUUGUUGGGGUACAUGGGUUAAUAAGAGAAGAACUUAGUACACCAAUGCAGGUUCAUACCCCCGGGAAUAGCUCCACCUCGGUUCAAUUCAGCCCUUCUGUAACAAUAGAAAUCCAAAGAUCACCAUUUCUAGCCAACCUCAUCCUUCUCGAAUCCAAAGAUCUAGAUGUCAUUCUUGGGAUGGAUUGGCUGACCAAGUUCAAGGGUGUCAUUGAUUGUGCGAAUCGCACGGUCACCUUGACCAAUGAGAAAGGGGAAACAGUGGUGUACAAGUCACCAGUCGCACUGAAGCAGGGAAUCUCCUUAAAUCAGAUUGAGGUGGAAAAUCCGGUGGUCACUGAGGAGAAGAGUUCGAGGAAAUUGGAAGAUAUCCCCAUAGUCUGCGAGUAUCUAGAGGUGUUCCUUAAGGACCUCACUACCAUGCCACCCAAGAGAGAGAUUGAAUUCCGGAUUGAUUUGGCACCGGGGACUGCUCCAAUUUACAAGAGACCGUACAGAAUGGCAGCCAACGAGCUAGCAGAGGUCAAGAAGCAGGUUGAUGAGCAACUGCAGAAAGGGUACAUUUGACCAAGUACUUCACCUUGGGGUGCUCCGGUCAUUUUUGUGGAGAAGAAGGACAAGACGAAGAGAAUGUGCGUCGAUUAUCGCGCACUCAAUGAGGUCACCAUCAAGAACAAAUACCCUUUGCCGCAGAUUGAUGAUCUGUUUGAUCAGCUGAAAGGAGCCAGGGUGUUUUCCAAAAUAGACCUGUGAUCAGGCUACCAUCAGUUGAUGAUUCGGGAAGAGGAUAUUCUCAAGACAGCCUUCACCACUCGGUAUGGGUUGUAUGAGUGCACGGUUAUGUCUUUUGGACUUACCAAUACACCUGCAUUCUUCAUGAACCUGAUGAACAAAGUGUUCAUGGAAUUUUAAUGCACAUUAUGCUUGGAAUUCUAUUCGGGAAUUUCUGGGCGUGACAGCGGCGUAGGUCGUCGCUGGAGAGAGGAGCGAGAGCUGCAGCUUGCCGAUGAUCUCCAGCCAGCACACAUCCAAGAGCUCUGCCACCUCAGGGAACCUGAUGACGACGACGACUCCGGCGAUGGGUCCCGCCGACGGCUGCACAUGGCGGACUCCCCGGCGGCGAGCUCCAUGAUGCCAUCCGCUGAGUGGUGUGUGGCAACUGAGUUUGGGACACGGGGCAAUCUAGGCAUUUUGAAAAAAUACUCGCCACUUUCAGCUGGAAAAUGAUAAAAUAAUGAGCUCAGUGUCCUACGGCAAAUUUCACAAAUUUUGUAGUGUCCUGGGGCAGUUCCACGUUUUCUCGGUGUCCCUAAGCUAGUUACGCGUUUUUUUGGUAUCCUAUAGCACAUUUUGCCUUUUUAAUUUUAAGUUGUAGUGAAUUACUAUUCAUAUUUUCCCGGAUAUUGUUGUUGAUACAAUAUAAUUACUAUUGAAUACUCAGCGGUGAUUAUUUUAUAAGGAUGAUUCUGAAGAUAUUUUUUCAGUCUCAUAUCUUUAUUAAUUGGUACCACACAUUUUAUUGGAUGUGCAAAAUGAGAAAGCUCAUUAGCACAUGAUUAAUUAUUAUUUUUAUAUUACACGACAGACGUACACGCGCAUGCACACACCAUCUAUUGAAAGUCCACCUAUAUGUGCAUAAUAUUUGUGGGCACAUGGACUUUGAAUCCCGGUCACCAACACACCACUAGUGCUUCCCCGAUUAAUUACGUACUCCCCGAUUAAUUACGUACUCCCUCUGUUACAAAAUAUAAGGAUUUUUAUAAUAGUGCCAAGUCAAAUAUUUUUAACUUUGACUAUUAAUAGUAAAAAAUAAAAAAAAUAUCAAUCAUGUAAAAUUGAUCUUACUAGAUUUAUGAUUAAACAAACUAUCAUAACAUGCAACUAUUUUUAUUUAAAACAUUUUACUUUUAUAGAUAUUAUUGGUUAAAGUAGCAUCUCGAAGAUCGUGUCGAAGUGAAAAAUACUUAUAUUCUGGGACGAGGGAGUAUUAAAUAUUAUAAAUUUUAAAAAUGGAUUCAUUCGUUUUUUUUAAAAAAAUUUUAUAUAGAAAUUAUUUUAAAAAAACUUUAAAAAAACGUGCUACCGUAAAACGAGAAACUUAAACUUUAGAGUUGAAUAAAGUCUCGAGUCAAAAAAAGAGAGAAGGAAAAGAGAAGUUGUAACGUCGUGGAUCGAUCGAUCGAAACCGUGUGCUACAACAGCCCGCAGGCAAGCGAAGGCCCACAGGCCCACCUUGAGAACCAGAACCAGAAGAAGAACCCGUCCACUUCCAUUCCACGCACGCGCACUUCACGUGACGAGACCAUCGCCACCCCCCUCCGCCAUCCUUCCCACCGCCGCCGCCAACGCCGACGCCGCCCGACGACCGAGCCAACGCGACCAGCCAGCCGCCCAUGCCUGCGCGCGCGGCGGCGCUCUCCUGCCGCGGAGUCUCCCCGCACCCCCGCGCCCACUCCCUCCUCCCUGGCCGCCGCCGCCGCCCCGUCCUCCCCUUCGCCGGUAAGCCUCAUCCUCGAGGUUCCUCUCUUCUCACUCGCGCCCCGCCUGCCGCAAGGCUAGCCCUAGCGCUCUGUGAGGAUUGAUUCGUCAUACCGUAUCGUCGUGGGGGGAACAGAUGAGGCGGCGGCGGCGCCCCUACGUGUCAGCUCCGUGCCCCAUUCUCGGGCUUACGGCUGCGGCGGCGGCGGUUACUUCGUGCAUCUCGAAGACCGCGAUGACGGAGAGGCGUCUCGGUUGCUGCGUGCCCUUCGGCGAGUCCUUCCCGAUCACCAGGUAAGGCCAUUUAGGCUUCGAUUUUGGAUUGCUGCGAAAACAAGCCAGACUGGGUCAACAAUCCAAUCCAACCGUGGAAUCGGUUUGAGAUUUAGCAUGACGCGUGAAUUGAGCCUUUCAUUUGUGAGGUGACAUGACAUGAUAAUUGACAACCCCGUUGAUGCCGUACACGCAGUGAGAUAAAGCCUGUAAUUGGAAGGCAUUUGUAACCUGAUUGUUGCUCGGCGGAUUACAUUAUCCUUUUGCCACAUAAAGGCCUGAUAAUAGUUUGUAGAUUGUGAUUAGAGCAGGAUAAAUAUUACUUUUCGUGUGUACGACUUUAGGUCCGAUAAGCUUAUUACAAUGUUAUCUUUGGGGGCGGGUUACCACUUACCAGUGACCAAAAACUUUGUGGGAGAUCAAUCAUAUUAUUGUUUUGUUCAUAAUGUAUAUCCUUCACAUAUGAGAAUGCUUCUUUCUUUCCCCUUCUACUACGUUCUGCAACUUUUUGCUCUUUAUUUUUGACCUGUUUGUGAAAAUUGUUGCUGCAGAAAUGGGCACAACCUGACCUUCUGAAAGCUGCUGUUAUUUCAACCAUGUCAAUACUUGCUGUGCCUCUUGAGGCAUCGGCAUCGGCGGAGACAUGUCAGCCAGCUAAUUCUAUGGCCAAUAUGCCCAUUUUUAUUGCUGUGGCUCUAAUAGGUGCUGCUGUUGGUGGUAAGAUAUGCAAACCUGUGUACUUGCAAGCUCAACUGGAUUUAUAUAAUUUUGAUGAAGCGAACCACAUUUUAUUUUGCUUUCCCUAUGUGAUUUGCAGGAUUACUAGCACGGCAAAGAAAGGAGGAAUUAAAGCGACUGAACACUCAACUUCGCCAAAUUAACACGGCACUUAGAAGACAGGCGCAGAUUGAGUCAUUUGCUCCUGGCCUUACUUACGCGCCAGUUGGCAGAGCAACAGAAACUGAAGUUAUUGUAGAUCCCAGGAAGCAACAACUGACAGUAAAUUUGAGAAACGGGAAGACAUUUAUGAGGAAUCAAGAUCUUGAUAUGGCAGUAAAGGAAUUCAGGGCAGCUCUGGAGCUCGCAAAGAGCGUAGGAGAUCGCUUUGAGGAGAAGAAAGCUGCUCGUGGAUUAGGUUCGUUUCUUUCUAAUAAUAACCAUCAUAUAGUUAUUUCUUCACUGUCAUAAUAGAAAGUACAUAAUGUGAUGUUUUACCGUACUGUUCGAAAAAUUAGCUACAAACAAGAAAGACAGGUAGGCUCUGGGUCUUAUAGUUAGGCUAUAUAAUCACUAAAAAGUGUUUAUCGAAUUGAAUUGUGUUAUUGGUGUCGUAUCAACCAUUAAGCACCAAGCCUUUGGUUUAUGGUGCUACUUUCCACUUCUGUGAAACUCAAUUAUAGCGAACACAGUUCAAAAGGUUCAUCGAGUUUCAAGCUUAAGAAGCAAUCACUGUCAGAUAGAAAGCAAUUAUAUUAUUUGAGUUUUCAACUGUGAUUUGAGUUUUUCCUUUUGUUUUGCAUUAGGUGCAUCGCUACAAAGAUUGGGCAAAUACAGAGAAGCAAUGAACUGCUACUAUAAAGUCCUGGAGCUUUCCAAGGAAACGGGCGAGGAUUCCGGGUGCACCGAGGCCUACGGCGCCAUAGCUGACUGCUACACGGAGCUUGGGGAUCUAGAGCGAGCGGCGAAGUUGUAUGACAAGUACAUAUCAAGGUUGCAGCCCGGCGGUGGUGAGUAAACGCUUGGGCUUUCCUGACCCAAACGAUUUGGUUUCUUCCUGUUGCAUGGUUGAUGUUCAGCAAAACAGUCAAUUUGUUGGCCUCAUUUUAGCUUUGUGGGAGCGCUUGAAUCGCUCAAGGAAAAAAAGCUCAACUCUUGUAUAUAAAUGUCAGUGGUGCGUGCUACUUGAGAUAACAAUGGCAAAGCUUGGUCUGGUUUGCUGCCUGUUGCAAGCGGCAAGCACUGCGUACACACACGGUGCACGCAUCUACUGAUCUUCCUAAAAUAACUCUGCCAAAGUUCAAAUAUCUUAAAAAUAUAUAUAUCUACCGAUCUGCUACACUAUAUAGUUACUUUGCAGUCCUGAAGAGACGAAUAGAAGAUCAUCUUCAUCGUCGAUCGUCAUAUCCUGACACAUGAUACGGCAGAAAGUCUUGGCAUAGCUGACUGGUCGAUCAACGUUAUCUCCAGCCAUCUUUAAUGGACCGAUCAAGGCCAUCCUGUGCUGUCCUGCUGUCCUCUUGAUGUUUUCCGCAUCUCCUCUCCCUCGUAAAAUUUCAUAUACAUCGUCCCAGGGGCAUCUGACAAGCAAUGGCUAGUAUUAUACGCGGAUUUUCAAAAAAUUUAUAUAAUCUUAUCCUAACACCAAAUAUUUAUGACCAACGCCAAAUACUUAUGACCAAAAGGAAGGAAACCAAUAUACCAGCAGUCUUUCGUGAAGGUGGAAAAACCCUCAGGAAAAUACAUUUCCCUGUUAGGAGUUACUAUUUUCUUUUGACUUACUAUCCAGGCUCAUCAAGGUAAUUUUGCUAGGAAAGUAAGUUUGUCUACCAACGCAAAAAUAAUUCUUGAUUUCGUGUAAGUGACCAAAUAGGCGUGCGAACAUGUGGUGAAGGCACAUGUCACUGAUACGUGGGAUCAUGUUAGAAAUUCAUGUCCCCUUUACAUAUGUUAGAUAAGUCUAGUUGCACUGGAUAAUGGUGGGGUGUGUACCACACAACACGCACUACAGUAGUGCAAUGUGCUCAACCUCUUUUUGAACUGCCCAGGGGCGGAGCUAGAACAAAAUGGAGGGUGCCACUUACUUAAUUUACUUUACUUUAGAUCGAGUUUAAGCUAAUACGGGUGCCUAAAUUAUAUUGAGGGUGGUGCACACAUAGUGAAAAUAGGUGAGGUAUAACUAAACAGUUUUCUUGACCGGGUUCCUGGGCACCCCCUAAUAUACUCUAUCUCCGCCCCUGGAACUGCCCCAUCUAGAGGGCUCCCAUGACCAGGAUCGAUGAUUUUUGCUCUAUUAGGAGCCAUAUAAAAUCUAAUUGUUGUACUCGUGGGUCUACUAGUGAGCAGUAAUCCUUAUCCAUUGGGUAGGUGGUAUAAAUCUGUUUUUUAAUUCGCCACCUGUACCAGUAAUCCAUGGGUAAAAAAACCCGUGUGCCUAGCAUGAUGUGUACUUCCUUUUGAACGGUAAUAUAUGGUUUAGUUCUCGUAUGAUUUGUUUACCUAUCAUAUAUGGUCUGGUUCUUGCACGAUUUGUUUACAUGGUUUUGAAUGUUAACCAAGGUUAUAUCUAUCAUGAUGUCUUGCGUUGUAAUCGUCUGAUUGUUGUGCAAAAUUAUUAGUGCUAUCAGUUAGUUUAGUGGGUAUGAAAAGAAAUCUUACACCCGCGAACGGAUGUGGGUGUUGGAGCGAGAAUUUUUAGUCAUCACGAAUGUGAGUAGAGGAUGAGAAAACCCGAUGGGUAUGUACCCAUUGCUAUCUCUGCCCCCAUCCAAGUCGCCCAACACGCACCGCUGUACCAGUUUCACCUGGGGCACUACGAACAAUCGAACAUACGCGGGGUGAACUGAAUGGAUAGACGAUCGAGUAGAUGACACGUACGGCUGCAGAAAUGCUUACAGCUGUAUCAUCUGCACGUACGCAUCGCUUGGACGGGAUAAUGGGUUCAGACUUGAGAGAGAUCAGGAUGAGAGCAACCAAAAAGUCGAAAAAAUUGCAAGAGGCAGAGUUGUCCAUGCCCCUGUUCUUAUGAGUCACAGCGAUUCAGUUCAGAGAGUAUGUAGCAGCAUGUAAGCAUGAUCCUGGUAGUGCGUGGUAGGUGCUGAAUUCUCUGAAUUCUGAACCACUUCGCUGCUUCACCGAUGGAACUAUUUCUUUUGUCCUUCAUACAGAGGGUGUGUUUAGUUGGGAAAAAUAAAAUUUUUUGGUUUUCACAUCGAACGUUUGACCGGAUAUCAGAAGGGGUAUUCAGACACGAAUGAAAAAAAUAAUUUCAGAACUCACCUGGAAACCGUGAGACGAAUCUUUUAAGACUAAUUAAGCUGUCAUUAGCACAUGUGGGUUACUGUAGCACUUAUGACUAAUCACGAACUAAUUAGGCUUAAAAGAUUCGUCUCGCGAUUUCCUCCAUAACUGUGCAAUUAGUUUUUCUUUUUAUCUAUAUUUAAUGUUUCAUGCAUAUGUCUAAAGAUUAGAUGUGAUGUUUUUGGGAAAAAUUUUUGGGGAAUUGAACGGGCCCAGAAGUUAGUAGAUCUUACUAUCUUAGAUCAUUCGUCUCAUCUGCCCAUUGCGCCGUAACGUACGUGUCGUCUUCUAGCUGCAGCCAGUUUCAUGCUUAUCACCGCCUAUGACUCAGCUUUUCAGCACUAUAAAUAUGACUCUAACCUCAUACGUCACAGAUCAGAGCACUAGCUAGCUAGCUAGCUUUUGCUCCUACAUCUUCACUUCAGUACCACACCGGCUUAGCAAAAGCCAGCUGCAAGCUAGUAGGAUCGAUCGACCACCAUGGCGUCGUCGUCCAAGGCCCUGCUCUUGCUCGCUGUCCUCCUCGCAUCCGCCGUCCUCCUCGCCGCCGCCGCCGACCAACCUCGUGAGCGCACACACACAUGCAUAUAUAUCUUUCUUCACCUCCGAUCGAUCGGUUUAUUGCUUAAUUUAUGAAUUUGUUGCAGAUGGCAAGGAGCAGAAGAAGACGGAGAGCGGCGGCGGCGCGGGCGUCCAGGACUGGCACGACGACCACGGUGGGGGCGGCCAUCACGGAGGUGGCGGCGGCGGCUACCCCGGUGGGCAGUGCCAUCACGGAUGCUGCGGCGGCUACGGAUACCACGGCGGCUGCCGCCGUUGCUGCGCGACCGCCGACGAGAAGCCGGACCCCAUGUACCGCCCCGAGGCGCACAACUAAUUAAGUCUCAGACGAUCGUCCGACGUACGUACGUACGGCCGGCGCCGGAGCUCGCUAGCAACGUACGCAGCAACUAAACCAAGUGAAUACUGAAUAAUGAAAAUGUGUAUGCCAGCACGUAUAUAUGUGUACAUAUAAAAGUCUGUGCACGUAUAUGUAUAUAUGGACCACGUACGUACGUAUGUAUCUGCGUGCAUACGGCGGCGGGGUUUGUGCCGAUAUAUGUUACUAUACAUGAGUAUAUGUCAAUAAAAACUAGUACUAGUACUUCUAAUACCACUAGCUACUAAAAAUGCAUAUAAAGAUCGACGCUAUAGGGUACCAAAACAGCUAAAACUAACACCUAUAGUGCGUUUCUCUCCUUCACGAGUUAAGAACACAUAAAACAGGCAUCUAUACAUGUGCAAGGUUUCUGGUGUAGUAGGACUCGUACUGUGCGCAAGACGAUGUGCUGGGGAGAAACAGAUCGAUUGUGGCUACCCCUACCGGCGAAGUCGAUCGAAGUCGUCAGUCCAUCUUCCGGAGGAUGGGGCUGGGAUAUUGGCUGAAAUCAGGGCCUUUCUACGGCGAUGUACGAGGAGAUGUUGGGCCUGGGAUCGAUCAAUAUUACUGCAGAACAGCAGAUCGGCAACGCUGGACGUACUGCGCUCGAGAGAUGGGGGACCGGAAAACUUCGAGGUGCAACACGCGCAGCUAGCCGCACAUGGCCAGCAAAACAGAAUCUAGAAAACAUACAUGAGAAAUUUUACGGUUCAUAGAAAAGUAUCAUUAGAUAAAUUUUACAAUAGAAAAUGUGAUAUCCUCCGAUACCUUAUCAAGAAUGAUAAAAUUACCUAACAUAUAUGCACAUGUCGUUUAUAAGGGGUGUUUGGUACUUCUGCCACAUACUAUCUUGCCACCACAGUGUCUUGUACUGCUCUACAUAGGCAUAGAAAUACUCCCUCCGUUCCUAAAGGAAUAGUUUUAGCUAGUCAAAAAUAUAUUAAGCGAGAGAGUAAAAUAGCACUACAUCCUUCUAUAAUAUGGAGAGAAAACGAGGAGGCUGGAAAAGAGGCGGAAUUGCUAUUGGUUCAACGGCGAAAAAUAAGGAAAAAAAUGAAGUAGUAUUAAAGAUAUCUCUAAAACUAUAUUUUUUAUGGAUAAGUUUCUUGACUAAAACUACACUCUUUCAGAGAUGGCAUGAUAAGUUUGGAAACACGAUAAAGGUUUCAACAAACAACAUCUAGCUCGAUUAUUUUUUUUGGAGGAACUGGUCAAUCAAGAUGGUCGGAAAAAUUAUAGAAGAAUCUUUGACCAUCGGUUGUGACAUGGCAUAAGAUUUUCCUUUUGUAGUUUUCGGUUGUAUUUUUGCUCGUUCUACGCUAUGGACCGCAAAAGAGAUGGUUUGGGCCUUCAUUUGGUCCAUGUGUCCUACGUUACAUCUGUCUUUCCGCACUAACAAACCAGCCCCACAACUAUAGUUCUACUCUUCCCCGGCCAGACCAACGACCCGGUUAGCCUUUUUCAAUGCAAGUAACAUGACCGUACAUUAUAACGACACUCAUAUAAUUAGAGAUAAUCUAAGAAAGUGAUUAAAAAUAAAACAUUGGAUCUGGUGAUUACAUGCGCGGAGGUACGGAUGUGUUGCGAACGAUGGGAGAAGGUGAUGGAAGGAGAAAGUAUACGCUUUUACAUCAAUAGAGAUAUGCUUAAUGCCUAGAACCACUUUAGUACAAGUUCUACUUAGCUUUUGGCUUUAAGAAAAUGCUCCUAAGCAGGGGCGGAUCUACCCAUUAGGUAGGAUGGGUCGACCGACUCAGCUACGACUCGUGUCGCCCCACACCCUAAAGACCUCCUUACCCCCUUACAGUAGUCACAGGUCAUCAAAAUUAGGUAUAACAAGGUGUGAACACCCAACAUAUUGAGGUAGUUAUGGAAAUGUUAUGUUCGAUUGCUCUUAUUGAGUGAACAUCUCCGUUCUCCGCCCAUCUAUAUUUUAAAGUUGCGUCCGCCACUACUCCCAAGUAUAUCAAAUGGGCUAGGUUUUUUCACACAAAUGUGAACGACCAAAGAAUAGACCAAGGGUGAAAUGGGUACGUGAUUCCACUUACUAGUAUUGAAGUUAUGCAAAGGCCGACUAGCCUCACUGUAUAUGAUUCGUGCCUACUUUAUCCUUGGUUGUCCCUCCCUCUCCCACCGCUUUCAAGCCCAAAAAUAUAAUCUUGUAAAGUUUGCUGAAGUUUAGGUGUCAUCAGUGUUGAGGCUCACUAAGGACGUCAUUGCCAUUGUCAGUGAGUCUCCUCGCCAUCUCCCCUUCUCAACCUGCCUCGCCUGAUCAAAAGGUUCAUAGUUUGAGUCACAUGAAGCCUAACAAUCCCCUAUUUUCUGUUUCUAAGUUAACGUCCUCAGGUUAGCUAGCCUGAGUACUAAUUACUUCGUUUGUUCUCUUGAGGUUAAUCUUUGAAGAUAUCUCGAUAGAACAUUAUUUUUCAAUAAUAUGUUAAAAUAAAACUUAAUAAAAAUAGGACCACAUGAGUAUCUUUUUCGACAAUAUAUCAAUAUCAGUUUCAUAUAUGACAUAUAAAGCUUAAUUAUUACUCCCUCCGUUUUAAAAUGUUUGACACCGUUAACUUUUUAGUACGUGUUUGAGCAUUCGUCUUAUUUAAACAAUUUAAGUAAUUAUUUAUUCUUUUCAUAUCAUUUGAUUCAUUGUUAAAUAUACUUUCAUGUACGCAUAUAGUUUUACAUAUUUCAUAAAAAAAUUUUUAAUAAGACGAGCGGUCAAACAUGUGCUAAAAAGUCAACGGUGUCAACCAUUUUGAAAUGGAGUAAUAGUUUGGUGUAAAACUUUUUGAGUUCCGGAUUCACGUUGUCUAAAGACAACAUACAUAUCCAUUUGAAAAUCAAGGGAGCACGCAGCCGUAGCCCUCAUCAUGGCAUCGAUCAGAAGAAGAUAUGUUAUCCAAAUGGUUCUCGAUCGAUCUCGUUCUGUGGUUCAGAAUCGAAGCUGUGAUCAAUGCGUGCAAUAUAUUCAGAGUUUUCAGACCGAUCGAUCGACCAUGCUGCACGCCCUCGCCGAGUCAAACUUGGCUUGUUUCCACCACAGCCCAACUCAUCAAAUCUCCAGUCGCCCACAGAGAUCAAGCUCGAUCGGUCGAUCCAUCCAACAGGCUACUGCUACCACUGUUUGCAUAUAUAUGCGUUGCAGGUUUCAAUGGCUAAAUGCCAAGCAUCCAUCUCCCCAACCGCUAACGUUCCAUGACUCCCUGUCUGUGCACGGGCCCUACACCGUUGCAACACGCGUCAAACUUGCUCGAUCUCUUGCUCAUCUGCGUGCACCUCGCGAUCUCAUAGGACUAUGAGCAAGCGUCGUCGCCUAUAAAUACGCUUGGUAUGCAUGCAUUGCCUCUCAUCAAACACUGCACUUCGCAGUGGUAUUAGCAGCUACUACAAAGAACAAGACAGUAAGAUCUUACUACUUAGCGAGGAGAAGAGAUCGAUCGAUCGAUCGUAGGAGCAAUGGCGUCGACCAGGCAGGCUCUCAUCGCGUUCGCCGUCGUCCUCCUCGCCGCCGCUUUCCUCGUCGCCGCCUCCGCCGCCGACGAAACCCGUGAGUUCUCGUCGUUUCUUCCCAAGUUAAUUAUUAGUUCUAGCUUAGCUCUCAACACGCAAUUAUUAGUAUCUCAUAUGUGUUCUUGGCUUAAUUAACUACAACGUCGUCGGUGAUCGAUAUGAUAUGCAGAGGCUAACAAGAAGGAGGACACCAAGGUGGACGUGCAGGACUACUGGCGCGGCGGCGGCGGGUACCCACCACGGGGCGGCGGCUAUGGCUAUCCGGGGCGCGGCUACGGCUAUCCGGGGCGCGGCGGCGGCGGUGGCUACCCGGGCGGAGGAGGAGGCUGGCACGGCUGCCGCUGCUGCGGCUACGGCUACCGCGGCGGAUGCCGCUGCUGCGCGAGCCCCGACGAGAUCCCGGAGCCCAUGUACCGCCCGGAGGUGGAUCCCCACAACUGAUCCAAUCGAUCGAUCGAUCGAUCCUCGGCACAUGUUUAAUUUUAGUUUGGUUUCGUCAAUAAAAUCAAAGGCGGCGCGUAUGAUCUCUAUACGUGUACGUGUGUGUGGCCGCCAUACUUAUAUAUGUACGUAUGCACAGUGAUCUUGGAGAAGUGGAGAACACAUAAUGCUUAUUUUCCACUGUUUUUAAUUAGGGUAUGGUCGAUCGAUCAGUACUGUGUGUGUGACCGAUGUAUGUAUCACUUUGUAUUAUUAUGCAUGUGAUGGAAUAAAUCUACCUCUAUAUAGUUAUAGUGGUAUUGUUAAAGACUUCUAUUGCUUUGAUUUUUUUUUUUGCUUACCUAUUAAUCAGUUAUUACUUCAUAUUUCUCUGUCCACCGAUCGGUUUAUGAACGGUUGAGAUCUCAUCAAGGUUAGCGCAAAUGAGGUAACUCGAUCUAGUGUGUCGCACCUCCAUCAAUGCUAGCUCCUCCAUCUCGCUAGCAUUGCGUGGCAGUGAGAUGAGACUUAUCGGCCGUGCAAUCUCUGCUGCUUCCCUCCCUCCAUUCCUUCUCCUUCUCCGCACGCUGCUAUCAUCCUAUUGAACAACUGCAGCAAGAUUUUCUUACCCUGCCUCUCAUCCACUGUGUUCGGUGGCUUGCACCGUCACCUCCUUGACGUCCUUUGCCCCCACCACCAUCCACUUCGACUACUACUAUUGGCUUUCCACCACCCCGAUUAUCCCUCUAAAGCGCCCUCACCUUCCCCUCGCCCCCUUCCCCCUCCUCACUCCAACUUUAAAAACCCUCAUCCAAAGGAAGCAUAUUGGAGUUUAUUAGGUGUGGCCGACACUAAGGCUCACGGAGAAAGUUGACGUUACCAGCGUUGGUGAGACCGUCAUCUCCCUCCCUCUCCUCUUUUCCUCCUUCUCUGGUUGUAGAAGUUGAAGAUGAUGCAUUGGCCACUGUAGAAACAAAAGAGGAAGACACCGCUGACUUUUUAGUACGUGCUUGACCAUUCGUCUUCUUCAAAAAAAUUUAAGUAAUUAUUUAUUCUUUUCAUAUCAUUUGGUUCAUUGUUAAAUAUACUUUCAUGGACACAUAUAGUUUUACAUAUUUCACAAUUCAAAAACUUUUGUGAAAUAUGUAAAACUAUACGUAUGCAUAAAAGUAUAUUUAACAAUGAAUCAAAUAAUAGGAAAAUAAUUAAUAAUUAUUUAAAUUUUUUGUAUAAGAUGAGAGCGGUCAAACUUGUGUUAAAAAGUUAAUGGUGUCAAAUAAAACGAAACGGAGGGAGUACUAAUCAAGUGUGGCAUGGACCGAUCGACCGAUGAUCGACGCAUCCUCUCGAUCGGAGGAAACCAAGGGAACAAAACCGUUCGUCGGAUAGAUGUAAUGCGGCCUAUAUAUGCGGUUUGAUCCGAUCCUACGCUUGCACUUCACAACCCGUACGUCGCCCGCCGGUUGAUCCAUCAGACGGUACAGCAUCACGGAUGCAUGUGAUGUGCAAAGCAGCAGCAGCGAGCACGCGACAUGUACAGCGACAGAUCGAUCAGCGCACACAGAUCGAAGUUGAAAUGCUUCAACGUCGGAUGCACCAUCGACGCCGCCAACGAAAAGCUGCUCCUUUCGUUUCGUUUCAGGUUACUACUUAAUUUCGUUAAAAUCAAACUGCUUAACUAAGUUUAUAGAUAAAUAUAAGUAAUAUUUAUAUUAUUAAAUUAGUUUUGUUAGAUUAAUAAUUAAAUAUGUUUUUAUAAUAAAUUUAUCUUAUGUCAAAAAUAUUAUUAUUUUUUUAUAAACUUAAUUAAACUUUAAGCAGUUUGGCUUUGACCAAAUUCAAAACAUCUUAUAACGUAAAACGGAGGGAGUACUUCGCAUGCUUACCUUCUCAUCACACAGCAGAUCAUAUACACCGAUCAAUCGAUCAGUGCCUAGCUAGUAUAGCUUCUUGCUAGUGAGGAGGAGAAGAUCGAUCGAGAGGUCCAGAUCUCAUUAAUUGUUGUGUUCGCGCGCUCUGAUCGAUGUCGUUGAUGCGGCAGGCGAUGGCCCAAGUGGUUUUUGGGCCGGCCCAGACGUACGUACGUGACCCAGUCCAGGCCUGGACAAAUGUUGUAGGCCUGAUAACUCUUCACAGUUCGCUCGCUCUGGCAAACGACUUUAGGCCCAAAACAACCCGAGUACGUUGUUGGCUGUUUGUGCUGCUCUGGUCUACCCGGCUGUAAUAACUUGCACAUGGCCAUCCCAUAAACGCAACUUGCUGUAGCCUGUAUCUCGGUUAGAAGCAAACUAGUAACAAGUCAAUCAGAACAUGCUGGCAAAGGACCAAACUCAAGCAUAUGUGUCGUAGCUGGGGCCUAAAAGAUUUGCUCAUUCAGUAACGGUCGUUUAAUUUGCGCCUCCCCCAAAAGGAAAUUAAAGAUGAUAUGUAGAGGACUAGAGGUGGAGCGGGAUUCGGGUCGUUCCACAACUCCAUUGCAGACAAUGCUCCUAGAAUUAGAUAGGGUAAAAACACUACAAACAAGUCAUAUGUGAUUAACCAGGUCAUCUACCAGAGAAACAAAUACUUAAUUAGAUGAGGUCAGACCCCUUUGCCACCCUGUCUAUAUCUGUGGUUUAAUUUCUAAAAGUAUGCUGGGUCAAGUUUUAGAGCGUUGACAAUGCACUUUAUUUGUGCUAUGGUUUCAAUCAAACAUUUAGAGCUUACAUUGCCUUAUGUUAAACUUUGGAGGAGCACACUUUCAACUACAUUAAAUUAUACUAUUUUAAUCUUUUACAUAUAUUUAAAAUCAUAAAACUUUUGGUAUUUAGAUAAUUCAAAUACUUUCUUUAUUUAGCCAAGAUUUCUUAAAACCUUUUCUCAACUAAUAUAAAAGGGGGUCGUCUUCGUCCUGAUCCUCUCCUACCAUCGUACCUCAUCAAGUAAAAUAUAAAAACUGAAGAUGUUUUUGCUGGUUGUAAUGCUUCACUUUUCGUGAGUCGUUAAAAACUAAUUGGGCAAAAUCCUAUAUGUGAAAAUUUCGUUCUUUGUGUGAGAGUCUAAGUUGUGCCAAGAUCUCAAUUCAAAUCUCCAUUGUUGUUCCCUCUCGUCGCCAUCAAAAUCCUCCACCUUGAGAUUUCCUCCUUCCAAUUCAAGUCUCUGAAAUCUAAUUCCGAAAAUUCAAUCCCUCUCUUUUGAAUCCUCGCCAAAUAAUUGUCCCCGUCCUAAAAAUAUCAAACUCCCCUUUUGAAUCCCUUCGUCGACUCCUCCCUCUCAUCCAAAUCCCAAUUCCGAAAGUCAAUCUCUCCCUUGAACUCGUUGCCAAAUCUUUCUCUCGAUUUCGAGAGAAUCAAUCAUCAUCCGAAUCAUUUCCUUGACUCCUCCCUGUUUCCCUGAGUCCAAGUAAUCAAAUUCGAAAUUCAAAUUCCAAAUCUCAAAACCUUGCCAAAUAUUCGCCCGUCUCCAAAGAUAUCCAAAUUCCAUUUCCAAGCUCCAAUUCCCUCCAAUUCAAUUUCUCUGUCAAAGUCUAUUUCGCCUCCCUUGUCGAUGGGCUGUUCCUCUUUCCCGGCCCAUCCCCUCCUCUCGGCCCAGCUCUCUCCUGCGCGUGCGCCGCACGUGCUCGGAGCGAGAGAGAGAGUGCCGUCUUCUCUUUCCCCUCUCUCUCGCUCGUUCUCCCUCCUCUCUCACACUGGCGCCGAUUUCCGGCCGCCGCCAUCCGAACCUCUACCGCCUUCGUCACUCCGGCGCCAAAUCCCCCGCCCGUCGCCAUUCAAUUUUCGGCCACGCCAGCCGCUCCGCGCGCGCGCGCCAUGCCGCCUGGUCGCCGCCACGUCAGCCCUGACGCCGCCCAUGCCCUGUUGCCGCGUCGCCCCCACCCCUGUGCGCUCACGUCCAAAUCCUAGAGGCAAAGCCUCUCUCUCCCUCCCUCUUUCUCCCAAGAUGGCAAGGGCAAGCCCUCCUUUCUCUCUUCCUUUUCACCUUUACCUCAACCUCAGCGACUAUCAUGCUCUGCCGCCGCAUGGCCGCUAGCUCCGAGCACGGCUGCCAGCUCUCGCUCCUUGACCGAGCCAGCCCGCGCUCACGACUCGAAAAUUCGGCCGUCCGAUCCACCGCCUUCGCCGCCCAACACAUCCACACCGUCGCCAUGUUUCGUGCCGCCCACGAAAACGCCGAUCCCGCUCGCGGCCGCCAGCCAAGCACCAGCUCGCCCCCUCCUCCCAAACCGACAUCGCCUCCACUAUAAAACCCAAGCCGCCCCAAACCCCUUCCUCUCUCAUUUUCGCUCGCCUCACACCCACCACGCCAUUGCCGCCGAACCACCGUCGCCGCCUUGUUGCCACUCGUCUCGCUCUCGUCGUCGCCGUCCGUCGUCGAGCACCGGAGGAGUCGGUGCGAGCGUGAACGCGCGACAAGGAGCUCCGGGCGCCACCUCUCCCUCCCUCCUUCCCUGGCCACGCCCUCUCGGUGCCGUGCCACCCCGCCGCCGCGAAAGCCUCCUCGCUGCCUCCUUCUUCUCCUCGGUCGCGCUCCGCCGCCGGCUUCCUGUUUCCUCGCCACCGACGCCGUCCGUCGCCAUCGGUGAGCUUUCCGCCUAAUUCCUCUCGUUGUCGUCCUCCUUGAUCCCCGUGGAAGACCCCCGAGCCGCCGCUCGCCGCCCUUGCGCCGCGCGCUAGCUCGCCGGCCGCCAUGCUCUGUCCUAGAGGCCGCCUCUCGUCGCCAGCCACUCUCGGUGCCGCUCCGCCCAAACCGACGCCGGAAACGGAUUCCUUGAACCCCGGAGAUGCUCACACCCCUUUGAAUUGAACCCUCGUCGUCUCGUCGUGUUUUCCCCUUUUGCACGCUGGUGAUUGCCGCCGCCGCAAUACACCGCCGUCGACUCCUCUCGUGCCGAUUCCUCUCGCCGCCACGCUCCCGGGGAUCCCCUUGAUCUCCCCCUGGCUGUCCCUAGGCCGCCGGCCUCCCCUCUCGCUCUUGCGUCACGUCGCCCGUUUCGCCGCUGCCGCGCUUGGCCGUGCCCCACGACCGGCCACCUCCGCUGUGCCUCCCCAGCCGUCGGCCUCCCUCCACUCCUUGAUUCCCGGCGCCGCCACCAUCCCCGAGCCCUCUCGAACUUCCCCGGCACACCGCCGCCGUCGCCCGCCUCGCCAGUCGCGCCCGUGCCAUGCCACCUAUCCCACCGCCGCACGGCCGCCGUCGUGUCUCCUCUCCCACAUCCGAGCCGGUGGAUGGAACCUCCUUGACCCCCUCUCACUUCCGGUGCCUGGUGCCCACUCCGGUUCAUCGCCGUUCGCCGGAUUCCGCUGCGCGCCGUCGGCCGUCCGAUGCGCCGCCCGGCCUCCUCUCCCUCCCCAUCCGACGUGGCAGCCACGUCGGCUUGACCAAGUCAAGUUGACCGGUCGCGCCUGCCCCGUCAGCGCCCAGUCAGCCACCCCCCCUUCUCUCUCCUUUGGCUUGUGGGCUUGGCCCAUCGGCCCACCUUCCCCUCGGCCCCUUAAAGUGAAUAAAGUCUACAAUUACUCCCUUCUUCAAACCAGCCAUAUAACCAAAGUUCAUCUCUCCUUCCUUACCCCUUUGAUGGCCCCAUUUUUCAGUGACUAUCAAAGAAUAUUCUUGAGAAUAUUCUUUUUCAUAAAAUUUAAUAAAUCUUUUCUUCAAUCCAGAAAUUCCAUAAAUCCUUUUUCCCUUUUCCAUAAAUCAAUUCCUUACUCCCAAAAUUCCAUAAAUCAUUUCCUUUGGUCCCGCACGUCAGUGACGGUCAAUAAUAUUCUUGAGAAUAUUAUUUCUAUAAAUUUCAUAAAUCAAUUUCCCCUUGUUCCACAAAUAUCUUCCUUCGCCUAGAAAUUCCAAUUAAACUUCCAAAAUUCAUAUCUCACAAUCCGCAACUCCGAUGGACUCCGUUCAACUUCCAGUAACUCCGUAAAAUUGAGAUCUAUUUAAUGGCACUAUUAAUUAGGAUAAAUAGGAUCCUUCUUUUGGUCUUUUGUUUAGGUUUUGAUUGUUUGCGUAUAGUUGCGGUUACUGGAUUUUCGCCAAUCGCGGGUUUUCUCGAAGAUUCGUGAAGCUUCAUGAAGACCUUGAGCAAGGCAAGCCACCUUUGAUCAUCUUGCACCUAUAAUUUAAAUCUAAGUAUUUCUUUUCCGCAAAUAUUGCAUGAAUAGGAUUAACACGAGUAAUUCGGCCACGGCUUGCGAGAUAGCCUAUCGGCCCCCAAAUCCUAAUUACUGCAAUUACCCUCCUUGAAUUAUUGAACACUUAAACCUCCUUUGUCAAAUGUUGUGCUUCGAUGCAUGGGCCCUUAGGCAUGCGCAUCGGAACACCUCCCCUCAAAUUUAAAAUAUCCAACGAUGGGUAAAACUUGGGGUUUUACAAAAGAUUUGGAAAAAAACCUGACACCUGGGUCGGUGCUUGCGAACUAAAAUGAAUUUCCAAAAUCGCGGACCGGGGACGUACCGGGAGUACGGUUUCCCGCUCUUGCACUUAAGGACCGUUUCCUUGGAAUUUCAUCCGAACAUAAGGCAAGUGCGACCAUAUGGGUAGAAUGGGACGCCCCUGGCUGAGUGAUUAGCUAAUCGGGGGAGCCAUGAUGCCAAGAGACAUGUGGAUUCAACGGGGUGGUGCCGGGGAGAACCCCCGGGCUUCCUGGCACAGUACGGUCUGGGACCUAACCUGAUGUCGGUCUGGGACCCCUCUUGUUGGCAUAUGGUGAACCUGUGCCGGCUUUCGAAAUGCUUGUCAUGAAAGCCUAAAGGUCUCCAGACGUGGCCGUUCUACACGGGCUGGGUGAUCCAGGUUAGUAAUGUCAUGUGGGUAAAAUGUACCCCCUCUGCAGAGGUUAUUAAACUGUUCGAAUAGCCGUGCCCACGGUCAUGGGCGGAUGUGAGGUGAUUCCUAGCGUAGUUUUGUUUGACUACUGCUUUGUGAAACUGCUGUCGUGGAAAGGGUUCGAUGUUUGGAAAAUCUGCGGCUGAUGUGAUCAACUAGGCCCAGGUAGCCGUUUGAAAGCUGUUGGCCGGGUUUCAACCUUGAUCUAUUCAAAGACUGAUACAUUGCACAUACUCCGACUGGACGAGACUCACUGUCUCAUCCGUGUCGUUUGAGAAGCACUCACUUAGUUGUUUCAAAAAGGAGUUUAAAUAAAAUCAAUUGUAAAAACAACAGCCUUUCCUUUGAAGCCUGCAAUAAACACUUAAUUCCCGUGACUUGCUGAGUACGAAAGUACUCACCCUUGCUCUAUAUAAAUAUAUAUAUAGUUCCUCCGCCUUGAAGCUGACGACGAAGUGAAGUGAAGAAUAGGGUUUCGUCCUGGUUCCUAGCCGUCGCCUAUGGUGUUGGGUGUUAGACCGUUGGUUCCGCUGCUGCUGCUGUUGUUGUUGGUGUUUCCUCGUCCGCGUCAUCGAUUGCAUUCUCGGGCUGUUCUGAGCUGCAACCUAAGUUAAGGUAAAUAAGUCCUCUAUUUAAUUUAAGGAUUGCAAUGAUUCAUAUUUGUCACCGUGGGUACCAGCGUUAUGUCCUGGGACUGGUACUGUGAUCGCGGUUUCGUAGGAAGCGAUUCGCGCCGUUUUUCCUACGACACACUCCUAUCAGGUGCCGUUGUACGGCGGUGCCAGAUUGGGGUGUGACACCGGUACUUUUGGUAUGUCAUCCGUAUUUUAGUCGGUUUUUAAGUUCACUCGUUUUCUGUGUUUGAGUUGAUUUUUAAGUUCGUUUGCUAUUAGAAGUAUAGAAGGAGACGUAUAAGAAAUCUUUUUUAAAAAACUCGCAUGCAAACUUGAAAUAAUCGGACUCUUAAUUGCAGCUCAUGAUUUUGUAAAAAAAAAAAAUCCAAGCGAAUUCCCAUAGUGAAGUGAAAAGGAAAAAAAAAACCAUCCCAAAUAAACUAUGUUUUCACGAGAAAAUCACUAAAAGAAUAAAUAGAUUGAUAAAACUAAACUCUAUAAAACCGUUCACCCGUAUUUCUACCAAUACCAUUGUAAAACGUAUUGGGCGCGUCAGUGUUUGUAUUGUAUUUCUAAAAAUAGCCCAUUGUAAAACACGGAUAUAACACUGGUUAAGAAAAAAGAAAGACGAGACGAUUGAACCUCUCACCCACAUCUCUUAGUUUGACUGCUUGCAGUUAAAGUUAAUCCCCCACCUUUGAAAACGUACUGGGCAUGCAUAUCCAGCAUAGCUUAGCCAGUAUAUAUGGUACAAUUUUGCUCUAGCUUACCAGCUGCAUAUUCGUUUUUUUUUCCCAAACGCGCUAGCGACAUAAGUUUAUUUAACUCAAUUUUCAUUGUGUAAAAUUAAACAUGACAAAAUUAUAUUAUUUUAGUGAAAUUUAUUUUUAACUUAUAAUCAAUUAAAAGAAAAUCAUAGUUUGGCAUGUACGACCAAUAUAUGAAAGGGUAGAUUUGGUAUUUGUUAAAAAUCUGAAAAGGUUGUUUAGUCAUUUAAAUUAGAGAAUUGUUUACUUAAUCUAUUAAAAGAAAAUAAUAGUUUGGCAUGCACCCCUUAUAUUCCCAUCAUCCCAUGAUAUGACAUGGCAUCGCCCUUAUAGAUAUCAAUAUAUCAUGCAUUUGUCAUUGGUUGGCAUGUUUGCCAUCUGUUCUGCUUGCUUUAUUUGUGGCCUUAAUCAAGGUGACUUAAUUUACUAGCUGCAAGUAGCCAGUCCACGCUUUACAAAUGUGUUUCUGUGGUACUAGAGCUGGCCUGACGGUCAAAAACUUACUCCAUCCAACAACUUACUGCCAUGGAAUUAACUGUUGAUGACACGGUACUACGGUAGAGCUCAUGAACACGUCCAAAACAACAUGCAAAUGGCAACACGGUGUCCUUCGAUUUGUAGAAUAUAUAUAGGUCAACCACAGCUCUCUGCAUCAUAUGAUGCACACACACAGCCAUAUAUAUUUCUGUCUUAGAUAUCUAAUGAGAGAGCUCAGUAGGUUUAAAUUUGUUACUUUAAUUUGUACAUCAUCAUGCGGGUCCGUAUAUAGUACGGACUACGGAGUAGUGUCUAGUUUAGCUGAGCUAACUGAAGCUGCAGGCGACCGAGUAAAUUAAACCUGCAUAUAUAUGAACGCUCACAAGUCAACUGAAUGCCAUGUACUCCCCACCAAUCGACAUGGCGUCAGCAGGAGAAAACCGGCGGCAGUCGUGCCAUCAGUUCUGACCGCAUACGCAUAUAUAUAUAGCCUCUCAUCAGCAUUCUUGCAUGUACAUUCAGUAAGGAGAUCGAUCUCGAGAAGCCAUGUCGUCCAAGGGUUUGGUUGUGUUCGCUCUCCUCCUGCUCGCUGCUGCUUUCCUCGCCACCUCAGGUGAAGAUAUCUUUUUAAUUCCCCCCUAAUUAUAUACAAGACGUGUUAAUUAUUCAUAAAUAACAAAUCAUCUUAUAUAUAUAUGUACGUUCAGUGUACGUUUCGUGUGCAUAUCUAAACAUAUGCGCUUUUUUCAAAUUGAAAGUUCACUUACCUCGAAGAAUCCGCAAUUUUCUUGACGGCCAACUGAUUUAUUUGAUGGUAAAAAAACAGCCGUUAAGUUAAAACAUAUUCUUAUUAGCGGUUCUAACUUGCUGCUAGACAUAUACUACCUCCAUAUUUCAAUGUAUGACGUCGUUGACUUUUUGUCCAAUGUUUGACCAUUCGUCUUAUUAAAAAAAUUAUGUAAUUAUCAUUUAGUUUAUUAUGACUUGAUUCGUCAUCAAAUGUUCUUUAAGCAUGACAUAAAUAUUUUCAUAUUUGCAUAAAAGUUUUGAAUAAAACGAAUGGUCAAACGUUAGUUGAAAAGUCAACGGCGUUGUACAUUAGGAUACGGAGGGAGUACGAUAUUUAUGCAUCCACGCAUGCAUGCAGAGGCGGCCAACUCGCAGCCGACCUACCCUCCGGCCAACGGUGGCAGCGACGGCCAAGCGGGCGGAUCAUCAGCGGCUGGUGGCAACGGCAAAUCGGCCGGCUAUGUUGCGCCCUACUACCCAGGCCCGUGGUGGUGGCCAAACGGCGGCGGCUUCUACCCGCCGCCUCCGUUUAAUGGCGGCCCUGGCUGGUACGACCCGCAGUUCGGCGGCUGCCCAUUUGGGUGCUGUGGCUACGGGGCUUUCAACGAGUGCUUGCAGUGCUGUGCGCGUCCGUGGUUCCCCUUCUGGUGGUGGCCAUAAGGGGCACAGCACAUGCAUGUACUACGCACGGCAUGAAACCAGAGCACGGUGCAUGCAUGCUACCACCCGCUGUUGAACUACAUGUUCGUGAUGGAUGGAAAGUGUGUGUUUAUUUAAUUAAGAGUGGGGAGUGUCAAUGUACGUGUUGUUUGAUCGAUGUAUUGUGCAUGUUGUAUGUGUAACUCUUUAUUAUGGAAUAAAAAGGGGGUGGUGGGGGGUGUGCUUAAUUAGUACUACCUCUGUUUUUUAAUAUAUGACAUCACUCACUUUUUAUCAAUAUUUGAGCAUUCAUCUUAUUCAUUUUUUUUUCAAAUAUAGAAAUAUUUAAGUCAUGCUUAAUGAAUAUUUUAUAAUAAAUCAAGUUACAAUAAAUAAAUGAUAAUUAGAAUAAAAUGAAUGGCGGCUAAACAUAUCUAAAAAGUGAAUGACGUCAUAUAUUAAAAAACUGAGUAAACGGAUGAACUAGUAGUAUGAUCUACCAAUGACACAAUCUACCUAGUAAUGGUGAACAUGGAGUAGUGACAUAGUGGAGCCAUGGAGCGGGAGAAACGAGGAUUGUACAACAUUAUCUAAAUGUGAUGAACCACCAUCGCUCGUCUCUAUAUUGUAAAAUCAAAGUGUGUUUGAUUCUUAUUCUGUGAGGAACAAUUCGCAUCUGAGAUUAUUGGUUUUGGUAUUUGGAGAUUAUUAGUGAAAUGGUUUUUGGAGAUGAUUGGAUUUACAGGUAAUGAACAGGGACUGCUGUUUUGUCGGGUUCGGUCAGACCGGCGGUAUGUGUGUGGUCUGACCGGCCGACUCUGUGUCGGUUUUGGUUUCGGGUUGUUUCUAUGGAUAUCUGUGGAUAAUUUGUGUUUAUGACUUCUAAAUGGAUAUACUAUGCAUAUGUAAUAUUGUUGUUUGCUAACAAUGAGUCAAGUUGGAGAUAGCUUAGUCUCGGAAUAUGGUUUCUUGGUUGAUUCAUGUGUAGGUAAUCUUGACGCCUCGGGAGAGUGUUGCCGGUGAUGGAUCGGGAGUCAACUUGAAGAUAAGGUGACGUACGGACGGUCAGAUAUCAUGCGGGAUAUACUUAGGCUAAAGAUGAAUGCAUGUGGUUGGUGAAGAUUCUAUAUGGCAUUUGGAUGGAGUAUGGGAUGUAGAGUCGUAUUUGGAUGGAGUCCAAAUUUGGUACAAUUGGAGUUUGUAAAGUUGGUUUCUUGUACGGGAAGGUUUCUGUAACGCUCCGCUUUUCGUGAGUCGUUAAAAACUAACUCGGCAAAAUCCUAAUUGCGAAAAUUUUCGUUCUUUGUGUGAGAGUCUAAGUUGUGCCAAGGAUCCAAAUUUAAUCCCGUUGUUCCCUCUCAUCGAAAUCAAAAUCCUCCCCCUCAUCCAAAUUCCUCUUCCGAUUCGAGUCUCUGAAAUCAAAAUUCUGAAAUUCAAAUCCUUCCUUUGAAUCCUCGCCAAAUACUUCUACGAAUCCAGAAUUAUUCAAAUCCCGCCUCGAAUCCUUUCCUUGACUCCACCCUAUGUUCCCGAGAACAAAUACCCAAGUAUUCCUUUUGAAUCUUUUCCAUGACUCCUCCUUGAGUUUCCCUUGAUACAUCCCUAAACCCUCGAGUUCGAAUAUCAAAUUGAAUUCGAAUCCAAACCCUAAAUCUCUCCAAUUCUAUCCAAAUCAGUUUUCUCUGUAAAAGUCUACUUUACCUCCCUAUUUUUUUGGAUGGACCGAUUUUCCUCCCCCGGCCCAUCUCCCCUCCCCAGCCCAUUUCUCUCCUUUGCCAUCUCCCUCACGUGCGCUGCACGAGCCGUCGCCGAGAGAAGGAUCUCUCUCUCUCUCUCUCGUUUUCUCGCGCCGACACCGCUUCCCGCCGUCGCCGCCCAAAACCUCCACCGCCUUCGCCCAUUCCCGCGUGCGCCUCGCGAGGUGGCCAACCGGCCGGUCGCCGCUGACGCCAUGCGCUGCCGCCUUGCCCCCGCUCCAUGCCAAACCGACCGCCGCCGUCAUCGUCGACGUCAUCCAUGGCCCCCCCCGCCACUCCACGCCGCACCCGUCCAAGAGUGGGAGAAGCAGCUGCCCUCCCUCUCCUCCUCCUCCUCACUCUCCCUCUCCUCAUUAUGGCAAGGGACCAAGCCCCUUUUUCCCCUUCUUUUUCCCUUUCCCGACCACUGCAGGUGUCACUGCCUCUGCGCCGCUUGACCGACCGCGCCAACUCGCUCUCCUUGACCGCGCCAGCCCGCGCUCCCGCGGUUCGAUUUCCGCCGCUCGAUCCACCGCCUUCGCCGCCCAACGCAUCCACGCCGUCGCCGCUUUCGCACUGCCCACGAUACCGCCGCUGCCGCCCGUGAACACCAGCCGAGCUCCCUUGACCGCCAAUGUCGGUUUCCCUCCUCCAAACCGACCUCUCCUCCUCGCCUAUAAAGCCCGCGCCCUCCCCUCUCGUUUCGUCUCCGCCUCGCUCGAAACACCCGCGCCUUUGUUGCCGGCCGCCAGCUGCUCGCCCCCGCCCCGCCGUCGCGACCACCUCGCCACGACUCCCUCCGCGUCGCCAACGUUGCUCCUCUCUCGCCGGUGAGCUCCUCGCCCAAAUUCUUGCCAUUUGCAUCAUCUUGGAUAAGCCCCGAGCCGUUCGGUUGCUCGCUCGUCCCCCUAAACGUGCCGCCCCGCCGUUGCUCUGCUUCGCCGCCGCCGCGCCCGACUGUGCGCCGCCAUGGGCCCCCUCGCCAAUCCCUCGCGCCACCACCGUCCUUGAGCUCCCUAGGACCUCCCCAAACCAUUCCCUAGCGUCGUCGCCGCCCGGCACGGCCUCGCCGCCAUUGCCGCCCGCUCCCGAAGACCGCCUCUCGUCGCGAGCCAAUCUGGGUGCCGCUCCGUCCAAUCCGACGCCGGAAACGGAUUCCUUGAACCCCGGAGAUGCUCCCACCCCUUUGAAUCGAACCCUCGUCGUCUCGUCGUGUUUUCCCCUUUUGCUCUCCGGUGAUUGCCGCCGCCGCAAUCCACCGUCGUCGGCUCCUCUCGCGUCGAUUCCUCUCGCCGCCACGCUCCCGGGGAUCCCCAUGACCUCCCCCUGGCUGCCCCAAGGCCGUCGGCCUUCUCCUUUGUCUCCGCGCCGUGUCGCCGCUUCCGCCGCCGCCUAACGCCGCCGCGCGUGCGUCGCCGGUGACCAUCGGGUCCCGCGUCCCCGCGUGCGCAUCGCGGUCGCGUACCGUUUCGGCUAGGCCCGAGUCCGCGCCCCCUUGUCCCUUCCCUCGCGCGACCACAUCCCCGAUCCGACGAGCUUGGUCGCCGUCGCCAGCCACCGUCGUACCUCCCCUCUCAAAUCCGUGCCGUUAAACGGAUUCCCCUUGACCUCCUCUAGCUGCCGGCGGUAGCCGCUCGCUCCGGUUCGCCGCCGCUCGCCGGAACGCCUCGCGCGUCGUCGGCCGUCCGAUCCCGGGCGCCUCCUCCUCCUCCUCCUCCCCUUUCGCCCCUGCCCGCGUGGCCGACCACGUGGCAGCCACCUCAGCCCCGGGCCCGCUUGACUGGGUCAAGUCGCGCCCAGUCAGCCUCCUCCCUCCGUCUUCCCUCCCGUGCGCGCGGUCCGCGGCAAGCCGUGCGGCUGCACAUGGGCCCGCCGCCAUCCGUCCACCCGGCGCGCCGCGCCCGAACCGCGCGCACCUGAAACCCUAGCGCCCGCCCCCGCGUGCGCCCUCCCCACCGUGAACCCAACCACCGCCAUGUGGGUCCCGCGCGGUGGACCGCGCCCACCCCGUCGGGCCUCCCUCUCUCCCCGCGCGCCCUAAUGGGCCGCCUCCCCAUGGCUGCGCUCGGCCCAAUGGCCGGCCAAGCCUUGUGAAUCCCUCGGGCCGCGCCUAAGUCGCCCGAGGAAGUCUAAAUCCGAUCCCUCCUUCCUUUUCUUUUCCAAGGGAAUUAAUAAUUCCUUUUCCUUGUCCAGAAAAUCCAUUUAGACCUCCAAAAUUCAUAUCCCUCGAUCCGUAGCUCCGAUCGCCUCCGUUCCACUUCCAGUAAUUCCGUAAAAUUGAGACCUAUUUAAUGGCACUACUAAUAGGUCUAAAUAGGAUCUUUCUUUUGGUCUUUUGUUUAGGUUUUUGAUUGUUUGCGUAUAGUUGCGGUUAUCGGAUUUUCGUCGAUCGCGGGUUUUCUCGAAGAUUCGUGAAGCUUCGUGAAGACCUUGAGCAAGGCAAGUCACCCUUUGAUCAAUUGCUCCUAUAAUUGAAAAGUCAUUAUUAUUUUGUUUGCAACUUGCAUUAUUAGAAUCACACACUUAACUUGCUUGGCCUCGGUUUGCGUGCCAAACCGACGGACCUACCCAGUAGUCGCACUAAUUUCCGUAGGUCGUACUACCCUGAUUCCUUGUCGCUCCACCCUUGUGGUACCUCGGUAUUCGUGCUCUCUGAGCGCGUAUACCAAAUAUCCCACAUACACCGUUGUUUGUCGAAAACUUGGGAAAUGGGUUUGUGAAGCCUUCAAAACCCGACAUGUGGUGUCGGUGUGUUUGAAAAUAAAAUGAAUUGUGAAAACUCGCGAUGCGGGGGUUGUGCCUAUGUGGCACUGUCCCGUAUUCGCAUAUAAGGACCGAUUCCUGUGGGAAACUCAUCGAACAUAAUCAAAGUGCAACCACAAGUUGGAAUGGGACACCCUGGCUAAGUAACUAGUCGGUUCAGGGAAACCUCGCAUGCCAAUAGUUGGGAACGCCGGGGCGGGGUCGGUCAAACCGGGUUCCUGGUAAGGCAAGGACGAGAAGCUUGCUCACUUACCGAUCAAGGUGGUUGGAGUUGAUUUGUGAAUGCCUAAAAUGGCCUAUACUUACGUGAGGAUUUGAUCCUUCUUUGUGGCAUGAGGUAACCCUGGGUCGGCUUGGGAAAGGCUUUUUCGCGAACCUCUGACACCGGCCAGUGUCUGGAGUAAGUUCGUGUCUUGUGGGUAAAGUGUACCCCUCUGCAGAGGUUAACUAACUGUUCGAACAGCCGUGCCCAUGGUUAUGGGCGAAUGUGAGGUGGUUCCCGUUGCGUAGAUUUGUUUGCCUGUGCUUUGUGAAAAGUUGUUGUGGUGUGGGAAUCGUAACCAGAAUCAGCCUAUGUGGCAGAUGGACGACCUGAGUGGUCAGAAACGAAUCUGUGUGAUUCGGGAUGUCUGUGGGCAUCAUAGACUAGGCUUCCCGAGUGGAAGCGGAUUGUUGUGCUGCUGGGUAGCUGGACUCUGGGAGUCCGAGAAAAUGAAAAAGGCUCUGGGAGCCGAUUAAUCAAGUGGAAUGGCUCUGGGAGCCGAGAAGUAAUGAUCUGACCCGGGAGGUCGGUACAUUGCCAAAUGAGCUGUUGAAAAACAUCUCUUAAAGUCGAAUCGAGACGCAAGUCUCUUUUCGCCCCAAACUUAGAAAGAAAUAAAUCACUUAGUGAUUUCAAAAUGUCUUCAAAUAAAAGAUUUGCAAAACAACCUUGCCUCUCUUCCAAGCUUGCAUUAAACACCUAAGUUCCCGUGACUUGCUGAGUACGAAAGUACUCACCCUUGCUCUAUAUAAAUAUAUAUAUAUAGUUCCUCCGCCCUGAAGAGAAGAUAAAGUGAAGUGAAGAUUAGGGUUUCGUCCUGGUUCCCAGCCGUCGCCUGUGGUGUUGGGUAUUAGACCGUUGGUUCCGCUGCUGCUGUUGUUGGUGUUCGCCUCGUCCGUGUCGUCGGUUGUAUUCUCGGGCUGUCUGAGCUGCAACCUAAGUUAAGGUAAAUAAAUCCUCUAUUUAUUUUAAAGAUUGCUAUGAUUCAUAUUUGUCACCGUGGGUACCAGCACUAUGUCCUGGGACUGGUACCGAGAUCGCGGUUUCGUAGGAAGCAGUUCGCGCCGUUUUCCCUACGACACGCUCCUGUCAGGUGCCGUUGUACGGCAGUAUCAGAUUGGGGUGUGACAGUUUCCUAGGUGGAUUAGGACUUCUUAUAUGAGUUUGGUUCAUGGCUUUAGGCUGCCUACAUCAUGCAUAAAUAGAGAGGGAAGGUGUGGCCUCCCGGUAUCUCUUCAGAGAGCGUGAAGUUGAGAGAAUAGUUAGGGUUUUGAGUUUAGUCGAGAUUUUCGUGAGUGUUAUUGUUGCACUUUGUAAACACAGAGAGAAAUAAUAAAGUUUUCAUCUACUUUGAGAGUUUUUCGAUUUGUGUUUGCUCGGGUUCGGCAGUCCAACCGGCGGGACACCGACGGUCAGACCGACGACAUCGCACCGAUCAUAUCGACAGGUACACGACGGUCAGACCGGCGGUGGCGAUAAGAGGCAGAGCCGAUUUCGACAUGGUUAGACCGGGCGAUCUACUCCAGUCAGACCAGCGGUACAAGCACGGUCAGACCGACAGAUCAACUUCGGUCAGACCGAUCAACAUCGAUUUAAGGGGUAACUUUUAAAUAAUCAGAACAAAAUAUAACCUUGCUAAAAGAAAUUGGGGGAGGAAAGCAUUGUUGUUUUUUGCCAUAAAAAUGAGACCGUGUAACAUCUUUUCUUUGAUUACCAUAUCACACAGUGUGCUUGGCGAUGUGUCUUAUUUCUUUCAACACCCCUCCCUAAAAUAAUAAAAAUAUUUUUGUAACUGCCUAAGAGAAGUUCCUAGAUCUAUUUAAAUAACUAAUUUUGUUUGAAAUUGGUGCCUUAUGUUGGUCAAUUGGUGUUGUCGCAAUGAUAUAAUUUUUAACAAUAAAGAAUUGUCUAACCCCAGAAAGGUUAUUUUCAUGCCUUCAGUUCAGUUGACUCUAUUCUUGAACCUUGAUGUUAUAUAUCUUGAUACUAUGCGUAGUGGAGCUAUAUUCUUCGAAUUGGUAGCCAAGGGUUUUUUUUCCACUUUGGAUGUCAUAGUUCCUAUAGAACAUCGUUAUAGAAUAUAGAUUCUAUAUGUUUUCUAUUUGGUGUUUUAAUUAGUUGGAUAUCAUGAGAAGCUAGGGAGAUGGGGGUGUGUCCCAUAACUCUAAGUAUUUUCUGGAUUCACUGGCCAUGUGCGUAUUUGCAGAGCGAGGCUAGAGAUGUUAAUCAUUUUUAUUAUUUUUUAAAAAAAGUUUGGUCGCCUAAAACAAUAAUACUAUAAUUUUUUUUGUGAAAUGAUGUUCUUGGGUAAUUGGUCGCGUAAAACAAUAAUACCAUAAUUUUUCGUGAAAUGAUGUUCUUCGUUAAUACGGUGCUUUCAUUAUUUUGUUUUCCCUUUUUAUUUUCGUAUAGAAUAACAUAAUGUUGAUCUGGUCAACCGUAUAUAACAGAAUACUGCCUGCAUGCCGCCUCUCGCAUGUAUUGUGUUAUUUUGGAUUUUACAUUGGACGUAACUUCUGAGCUGAGGCUUAAGGUGACCUCACUACCCAUGCACUGUCCACGCGCUAUACAGAAAAUUGCGUCGUUAAGAAGCUUUGGCGGUCAAAAACUUGUUCCAACCUAAAGCAUUAUUCCUACUGAACUCGAUCUCGUUGGCCAAACCAACACGGGAGAGAUCAUGAUCAUGUCCGAAACAACAUGCACGUAUGACGAGAUGUAUCAUAUCAUUUCGAUCGAUCUGGAUAUAUAAUGUACAUGUAAUCUGUACCUUUUUCCAGAGUGUGAGCUCUUUCUUUUUGGACACCAUGCCUGCCUCUUUACACACACAUUAAUUUACCGCUGUACUAUACAAAGGAUCGGACCAGGUAGCUGACUGAGUAAUUAAUUUGCAUAUGAAAGCUAAGUAGAGUCAGCUCUCCAUGGCUCAUAUUGUCUUCGAGUACUCCCAUCGAUCGAGACGACAUCAACGCCGCGCGCGGCGAAAAGCUCAUCGAUCGAUCGAUCAAAUUGGUAGCUAGCUGUCAUGCAUCAACCAUAUAUAUCUCGUUUCGUUCAGUUCGUGUGCCUAUAAAUACGCUCGCUUUGCAUGAAUCGCUUCUCAUCACCACACUUGCAGCGUAUAGUUACAGUCGAUCGAGGUGGUCAGUGAGACACAGUGAGAAAAUACACGAUUGAUCGAAGGAGCAGCAGCUAGCUAUUUAUUUUAGCUAGCCAUGGCGUCCAAGGCUUUGCUCGUGUUCGCUCUCGUCCUCGCUGGUGCCUUUCUCGUCAACUGCGCCCAGCAGCCUCGUACGUGAUCGAUCCAAAAUAAUUUAGACUAAAGAUCUAUUCCAAUUGAUAUGAUCUCCCUAACUUAUAUAGUAUAUGUGUAUAGAUAAUCAAUUUCUUCUAGCUAUACACAUUGAUUCGUUUUCUGUCUUAUGUUAGUUAACAUAUAUUUUUCUUUUGCAAAAUGAAGACUGACAUAUGGUGCAAUUCCCGUACGUACGUUUGCAGAGCCCUACGCCGACCCCAGCAACGACGACCCCAACGCCGGCUACGGCAGCAGCGGCUACGGCUACCCGUCGCAGCAGGGACAAAACCCAGCGCAGCAGGGACCUAACCCGGCGCAACAGGGACCAAACCCGGCCCAGCAGGGACAGAACCCUGCUCAGCAGGGACCAAACCCGGCGCAGCAGGGACCGUACCAGGCGCAGCAGGGACAGAACGGCGGCGAUGGCGGCGGCGGCUAUGGCGGCGCCGGCGGCAAUGGUGGCGGCGCCGGCGGCGGUAGCGGAGGCGCCGCCGGCGGCGGCGGCGGCGGCUACGGCGAUCCGUGGUGGAAUCAUCCUCGCCGCUGCCGGUAUGGUUGCUGCGAGUGCGGCUACUACCGCUGCAACCGCUGCUGCUAAUUAAGCUACUAGCUCAUCAUCGAUCAGCCAGCUGAGAUCGAAAUAACGGAUCAAGCUACGUAUGUACUACCGCCUGUCGCGUACGUACUACCGUAUAUACGUGCGUGAUAUAUACCAAUAAAUAUUAUUGAAGGUUUGUUAAAUUAAUUUGGUCGAAUAUUAGUAAGUGUGUCCCUGUAUGGUACGUGUCGUAAUGUAUUGUGAGAGUGUGUACCUGUGGAAUAAUAAAAAGGGCGGUGGCUUGAUACUUUUGUGCGCGAAUUUAUAUAUCUUGAUGAUCUAUAUGCGUGGUUAUGUAUUAAGAGGGAAAAUUAACUAAGAAGUAAGAACGCACACGGAAUCAGUAAUAAUCCAUGCAUAUACGGAGAAGAUUUUAUAAGGUGAUGAUCAACUUUAUAAAGUGGAGUAGUUGGUAAAGUAUGUGCAUAGUUUACAGUGUCAGGCUAAUUACGUACGCAAUCUCUUAGGGUGUAGCUAUAUAUAUGGCGCCAUAUUUUUCAUCAAAAAAUAGUCGGCAUGUAUUUACAUUGUAAGUCCCUAAAUUACAUAUGUAAUUUUAGUGUAUUUACGAUGUAAGUCUCAAAAUUAUAUAUGUAAGUACUAAAAUUACAUAUGUAAAUUCGAAAAUUACAUACCAAUUACAUAUGUAAGUGGGGUGUAAAUGAGGUAUAACUAUUGUGUAAGUGGUUGAAAAAAAAUCGACUGUAGCAUAUGGCGCCAUAUUUCUAGCAACUCCGAUCUCUUAUAUCCUUUCUUUACGAUGCAUGCAUGCAAAGGAAACGAAGGAACCAACUUUACACCAAAACUUCAUCCUUUGCAGAUAGCCCGUCGUUUCCUUUCAUUUAAUUUUCGCGAGAUGACUAGGGUAAAUCUCUGGGUCGUUUGUUCAAGUUUUAGUAAUCAUUUUCUGCAAAUUGACACACACCAUGCGAGCCCACCGGAAAAUGAUGUCAAGUUCUGGAGGUUUUAUCGCAGCAUAUGAAUGGUGGAAAAUCGACCGGUACUCGAAAACUCGAAGCUAGCAAAACCUGACCCCUGAGCAAAACCGGCCCAAUAGCUCUCUGAACGGUCAAAAGAGUACUAGUAAUUCUGGCCCAAGUAAACAUAUACUCAGACUAGCUCUCGGCCAUCUCAAUUUAGGGUGUGUUAUUGGAAAGGAUAUCCCUAAAUGAAAAAUAGUAAUUCAGUUUUUGAGUGUGUUUGGUUGGUAGACGAGGAUGGAUAGGACGGCCCGGAGAGGGAUAUUCCACAAAGAUGCUUGCUGAGUGUAUCCGGCCGGAUAAGGAUAUCCACCUUUACUAAUCUUGAUCAUUAGUUGUUGACUAGCAAUAAUUAAUGUAUUUUGUUAUUAAUUAGUAAUUAACUUGUCAAAGUGUUGAUUAGAUAUAAAUAGUGUAUUUUAUUGUUAAUUAGUAUAAAUUAUGGAUGGAUUAAUGAUAAUUAAUAUAUUUUAUUAUUAAUUAGUAUGUUAUUGUUUUCAUUCAAUACAUCUCAUCCACCCAACCAAAUAAACUGGAUGGCCAUAUCCACCCAACCAAACAAAAAACUGUACCACCAUAUCCCUGCAAAUAUGAAUGGCCAAAUCUUGUCCAACCUUGACCACAAACCAAACACACCUAAUAAUAUAGUUGUAAUAUAUUAUUGGGUAGAAAAUUAAAAUGAAUUUGAACAGGCUUAUCCGGUCUCGAUGGUUUUCGAUUCUUCCCUUUCGCCGGUCACGAUGGUUCUAGAGUCCAUCCACCAGGAGGGUCGUUUCUGGUCUCUCACUGGUGCCGUCUCGUUUGGGGACCUGUUGGAAGAGUAGGAGGCUCCUCUGCCUCCUCUCCUGUUAGAUAGGAGCAACAACUUUUAGUUCUUAGUUUUUUAACUCUUUUUUCUUUUCAUUUUCCUUGCGUUGUGUGAAUAAAACUCUAUUUCUUUUAAUAUACUGACAUGUAAUCUUUUUGCGUAUCCAUGAAAAAAAAGGCUUUAUCCAAAUUUGUUGUAUUAUAUAGUAUCUCAUUCGAUUAUGGUUAUUAUUUGGCUGGACACAAGUUUUGCUCGUCAUAUGGUUUUUCCCUGUUGUAGAGCGGCUCUGCUGAAGGAUUGCCCACAUUCGCACCCUUCCCUCCCACAAUAAUAUUCAGGCAUUGAGAAGCGGUAGGUGCCUGUAUUUGAUCUUUUCGAAUCAAGCACAUCACAAAAGGAGAUAAUGGGCACAAAUAUGUGAGGUGCAUCACGUCCUCGCUUUUAUUCAGAUUAGUGUGUGUAUAAAAGAGUGUCGCUGUACAUUCUGGAAGUAAUAUCAAAUUUGCGAAUAUAUUCUAGUACUCCCCUCUAGUAAAAAAAAAACGUUUUGACUUUGAAACCACCAGUAAUCUAGUACUCCUAAUGUCAAAUAUUAUUGGCAGGGGGGAGUAGAAGCUAGUUAAGUUAUAUUUUGGAAAUAGACAGCUGUGUUUGAUAGGAAAGGUUUACCUUUCUCCACCGCAUGAAAAAUGUGUUAGCUCAUUAGCACAUAAUUAAUUAAUUAAUUAGCUAAAAAACUUAAAAAAAUAAUAUAACUUUUUAAAGCAAUUUGUAUAUAAAAAUUUAUUAAAAAAACACAUCAUUUAAUUUAAUAGUUUAGUAAGCUUGUGCAUGAAAAAUGAGAGAGAUGUUGAGAACUUAAGAACACAACCUCUUUACUAUAGGGACUACAUACUUUAGAGACAACACAUCUGCAUUACUGUGCACUAGGGUUUCCAUCAAAAUUUUACCAGCUUGGUUUGUAUAUAACCAAAGUCAUAACAAGACGAUAAGCCACUAAAAAAUUUCUCAUGCAUGAUUCGCCAACUAACCAAAUUCUAAUCAAAUUUCUCAUGCUUGAUUCCAUCCGUUUCAUAUUACAAGACGUUUCUGAUCAAACUAAGUUUGUUAAGUUUUAACCAAAAUUAUAAAAAAACGUAAUAAUAUUUUUUAAAACCAAACAGGCAUAAUGAAGCUAAUUUGGUGUUACAAAAGUUACUACUCCCUCCAUUUCGUUUUAUUUGACACCGUUGACUUUUUAGCACAUGUUUAACCGCUCGUCUUAUUUAAAAAAUUUAAAUAAUUAUCAAUUCUUUUCCUAUCAUUUGAUUCAUUGUUAAAUAUACUUUUAUGCAUACGUAUAGUUUUACAUAUUUCACAAAAGUUUUUGAAUAAGACGAGCGGUCAAACAUAUGCUAAAAAGUCAACGGUGUCAAAUAAAACGAAACGGAGGGAGUACAUUUUUAUAAACUUGAUUAAACUUAUUUGACAAAAAAGGUAAAAGUGUAUUAUAAUAUAUAAAACGAAGAAAGUAAAUCAUAAGUCGUCACUUGGAAAUCAACCUGAUUUCCAAAUAGUUCAGUACGUGCAUGUACGAAAGCGUGCUUCAUGGGUAAGCCGUAUGAGGAACACGUCUUAGGUUAUGUUCGCACGUCCUUUUUCAUUUUCACUCUCUCAUUUUCUACGCGCACACAUAUUUUUUAAUCUGUGAAAUGAUGAAUUUAUUUUCUUUAUAAAGUUAUUUUAAAAAAUCAUAUCAAUCUAUUUUAAUUUUUUUAAGUUACUACUUAAUUAAUUAUGUGUUAAUGAGCUAUAUUAUUUUCGUGCGAGAAUGAGUUACGAAGACGAUCGCCGGUGCUCUAGCCACGCAGGGCUUCAAUCUUUUUUUUUAGGGAAGUCAUUUAGCGCGCUUUAUUAAUCUGUAAACAUAAUUACAUCGUUCACUAGAACGUUCAGCAAGAAAAUUAGGGCCUCAUCAACCCAAUUACAAUAAUUCUUAAACUUAAAAGCAUGAUUAGCUAGAACAUGUGCCACACAAUUAGCUUCCUUUUUACAAUGCUCAACAGAGACUUUAACAAAAUCAUAUAUCAAAAUCUGGUAUUCAUAGAAAAUUGCCACAGCUGUUGUUGCCGAAAAACCUCCAUCUUGUAUCGUCUCCACCACCUGCAAACAAUCUGAUUGGGUAAUAAUAUUUUGACAACCAAUUUGCUAGGCGAGGAUGAGUCCAUCCCUAAGGGCGUAGGCUUCUGCCAUUGCUGCAUCAGCAAUAUGAGAUAAGUACCUACAAGAACCAGCUAAAAAAGUCCCUUGUGAAUCUCGUAUGACUGCUCCGGUUCCUUCUGUACUCGAGACGAUGUCAAAGGAAGCACCUAUGUUUACCUUGAGAAUUACUUCAGGAGGUUUAUGCAAUCCUUCCCGUGGUUUUGCAUCCGACUUUUUCUUUGCCAUCUUAUAAUUUAGUGUUAGAGCAUACAAUAGAUAUAGCUGAUCUAGCAGCCAUCUGAAUCCUUUCACCAUUCACCACUUGCCUCCUUUCCCACCAAAUGUACCAUCCCCUGUUAAAAUCAAUUCAGCAAAACCCUGAUCAUUGAGUAGUGGUGGUAAGGUUUAGGGCUUCAAUCUUUAAUUAUACAAUGUUUCGCUUUCGAAGACGAUCGACGACACACACUAUGUUCUGUAAACGCAUAUGGAAUUUGAAUUCCGAUGUGUGUUACUUUUCCCUUCCAGGAAACACACGAUCACGCGCACGAAAAAGUCGAUUUGACUGUCCGCAUAGUGUACUUUAUUUAUUUAAUUCCAUAUACAGUAUUUCUUACUAACUUACUCCGAUCAUGUGAAAAACUUAAUCUGUUAGUUUUUUUUUUCUCGUCAAAUGUUCUUUCGUAUUGUGAUGUAUUCAUAUUUUUAUAUAACAUAAUGCGCUCUGGUCAACCAUAUAAUUAAACUAGCAGUUGUCUGUCUUAAUUGCAUGUACGUGUUAUAUAUAAUUCAUUUGGGCUCGAUACGUAGAAGUUCAAUAUAAUGCUUUAUUUGUGAUGAGAGAAUGAGAACGGCCAAAUGUCAAAGCUUAAAAAGAAUUAAUGCAUUUCUUGGAGCUUGAUGGUCAAAAACUUAAUCCAAACGUACUGAAGCCAUGCAUUACUCCAAUGGAACUAAUUGAUGGGUCAAACCAACACGGUAAAGAUCGACCAAUCGUGGUAACUUUAUGGUAUAUCCUUCGAUUUGAUGAGUACAUAUAUUAUAUCCAUGUAUCUUAUCCAGAGAGUGUGAUGUCGGUUUGUUUAGGCACACCGUGCGCGUGUCUCUAUAUAGUAGUAUGUUUUUCUCCCUUUUUUGCUAGUUGACGCCGAGAGAAUUUGCACAAGCGUUAAGUAGUCAACUCAAAAUAUGACACACACACACAUACGCCGCGCGCGCCGCCUUCGGCUCCCAUCGAUCGAGAGGGCGUCAACGCGUGCGCGCGGUGAGAAAGCACGAUCCGAUAGACGAUCCGGUAGUUGCCGGCCAUGGUGUCAUCAACCCGGACACAUCCGUUGGCGAUCAGCUGCGCGCGUUCAGUUCUUGGCUAUAAAUUGUACGCUCUGUUUUGCUUAAUUGCAAAGCUUCUCUUCUUCACGCGCUUGCAGUAAAUCGAUCUUAAUCUCAGCUAGCUAGCUAGCUAGCCAUGGCGUCGUCCAGGGCUUUACUUGUGUUCGCUCUGCUGCUCGCCGCUGCCUUCCUCGUCAACUGCGCUCGACAAGAACCUCGUGAGCUUCCGCACCAACUUCAUGCACAAAUUACCUAAUUAAAGAUCGAGUCCACACUCCACACGCACACAAAAAUUAAUCUCCCAAGUCAACACCCAUGUUAAUUACUGUUGAUCUUUUCCUUGUUCUUGCAUAUAUGUAUAUGCGUGUAUAUAUACUUUUCGGAUGAGAAACGUACUCACGUAUAUAUUUGAAUGUGCACUUGCAGAGCCCAACGAGGGACCGGCAGCUGACCCCAACGCCGGCGGCGGCGGCGGAGGCGGCGGCGACGGAUCAUCGGGCUACGACGACGGCAAAGUGUCCAAGUCCGGCCACCGGCCGCAGGCGAAGUACUAUAAUGGCCACCGGCCGCAGGGGAAGUAUGGUGGCCAUCGUCCGCAGGGGAAAUACUACGGGUACAGCGAAUGCGGUGGCGGCGGUGACGACGGCGACUGCGGCGGUCCAUGCGAGCAUCGUCGCUGUGAGUACGGCUGCUGCGAGGGCGGGUACGGCGGCGACCGCGGCCACCGGUGCUGCGAUCACGGCGAGUUCGGCGGCCGCCACUAGCUAGCCCGAUCAUAUCAUAUCGCAUGCGCCGCCGAUCGAUCGAUGACGACCCUAUUGGCUAUAGCAGCUAUUAGUCUAUUAAUUACUGCCCAUCACAUACUGCAGUAGAGGUUUGGUUUAGUUAUAAUAAAAACUGUCGUUAUUCGCAAGUGUGUAUCUGUAUAUACGUAGUUUGGUACUCCAUAUAAUUAAGUAAUGUAUUGUACGUGUCAAGUGUGCUAUGUAUGAAAUAUGAAUAGAUCACACGUGGAAUAAAAGAGCGAUAGAGCGGACUGGUGGGAGAUUAAUUCUAUAUAAGUAUUAAACAUUGCAUAUACAUGUACUUUUUUUUAACUGGAAAAAAUACCCGUACGUUGCAACGGUUGAAGGUUAUCUUAAUCUUAUUGUUUUUAUACGGUUUAGCUAAGGUAAAAUUCACUGUAGGAAUUUGCUUUGAUAUUGUUUUUACAAGAUCAUAAGCUACAAUUAGGAGCCCGAUCGUCUCGAGUUAGCAUGCCAGUUUUUUCAAAGAGAUUUCUUAUACAACUCCUUCUAUAUUUCCAAAAUCAAACAAACUUAAAACCUACUCAAAUACAAAUCUCUAUUUCCAAAUGCAAAUGAACUAAAAAAACCGACUCAAAUACGGAUAACGUACCAAAAUACCGGCAAAAACAUCUUCAAUUUUUAUAAUAGUAGAGAAGAGAUACGGCCCUUUUAGGCUGUAUUCUUCCCCCAUCUUUCCCAACUCACCACUCUCUUUUUCGUAGGCACGCUUUUCAAACUGCUAAACGGUGUGUUUUAUAAAAAAAAAUCUAUACAAAAGUUGUUUUAAAAAUCAUAUUAAUCUAUUUUUUAAAAAAAUAGUUAGUAUUUACUUAAUGACGCAAUAAUACAUGCUUUAUUUUGAGUGUCGGGGAGCCUUAGUCCCUUUUGUGUCCCCGUGUUCAAACAAGUUCCUAAAGUUUUCUCACGUAGUUCAAUAUAGUCCUUAGAAGAAAAACAGUGAGACCACGUGAACAUGCCUACUGCCCACUGCUACAGAACCCCCUGUAGGUGAUGGCUCAUAUGAACCCCCUACGUGCCUACAUGCAUAUGUGUCGGUUCAAUUGGAAUUUGAACCGACACCUAUAAUAUAUUGGUAUAAGUGCCUUCAAAUUAGUGCUGGCUGUGAAACUGACACCAAUGCUUGAUUCCCAACCUCAUCCUCGCAUACAAUGUCAACAUUUAAAUAUCCAUUGUACCAAUACAAAACAUAGAAAUAAAGAAAUAAAAACAAAGAAUAAUGAAAAAAGAGGUUUCUAUUGCACAGUGUCCCAUUCAAGAUAGUAUGGUACCAGGUGGUUAUCAGAUCUAGUACUCCAUCAAUGCCAAUUGAUAUCCACUGGUAUCAGAUCUAUUACUCCAUCGUAUAUACCAGCUAAAAUUCGUAGGUGUCAGAUAUGAUACCCAUGGGUAAGUGGUAACUAAUCGACGGCGGCACCCAUCGCCACGAUGGUCUAGCACAUGGCCGUAGGGGUGGAUAUUCAGUCUAAAAAAAUUGGUAUUGUAUUUGAAGAAAUUCAGCUAUUUGAAUAUAAUGACCGAAUUGCAUUGGAAAAACGCUAGGACCGAAUAUUGCAGUCUCAGGUAAUUUGGUUUUGGUCUUGGUUGAUUGGAAUUUUGUAAGAGCUGAGAUUCAAACAAAUUACCAACAAAUUCAGUAGAUCCAAAACAAUCGCACAUACAUCACAAAAAUCCAAUAGGAAUAGCCAAUGAGCUUGUCGAGCUUCCAGUCUUCCACCACAUCGGCUUUGGAUAGGGGCAUUGAUCUCCACCUCUAGCAUGGAGUACGAGCAGGCAAGGCCGUCAGUGUGGCGCUAGAUCAGGUAGCGCAGGAUCCCAUCGCACAUCACCUUCGCACGCUUUAGGCUCCUGUGGUCACCCAUAUGCCCCCUUUAUUUUUACAAACAAGCUAAAAGAAGACCCGUGUGUAAAAAGAUUUAGGGGGUGCCUAGUAAAUACAUGUAUUUGAAAAUCAAUUUCACAAAUGGAACACUUAACAUGCCUGUCGUGAAAAUAAGUUUAUUUUUGCAGGCGACCUGAUAAGAAGUCCGCAUGUGAAAAUAGAAUUUCCGCAUCUGUGGAUUUUGGUCCGCAUGAGAAGAGGAUAUAUCCUCUCCCUCUCCUUUUCUCUCCUUCCUCUUAGUGUUAAGUCCUAAACUGAUCCUCUCCCUCGCAGUCCUCUCUCACCCAUCAUGAUCCUCUCCCCCACCACCUCUCCUCCCAUCUUCACCCUUCCCCUCUUCCACAUCACCCCUCCAACCCAUCAACUCUCUCAACCAGCAACAAGUGACGGAGCGCCUGGGACAAAGCACUCGUGACGGGAGCAGAUGGCACGCGCCUUGGCUCCUCAUCCUCCAACCCCAACGGCCUUGAGAUGGCCGAAUCCGGCACUGGCGGCUUUGCGACGAUGUCCUCUCCCUCGACUCUUCCUCCUCCACUGCAUGAGGCCCCAUGAAAGCCUCUCCCUUGGCUCAUCAUCCUCCACCUUGAUGGCCAGAUCCGGCGGAGGUAGCCCCGGGAAGAGCGGGUUUGCUGCCGGCGACCACUAGAGCGGUGGAUCCGCCGGCUUUGGGCGGUGGCGGGGUACCAGUGGAUCUGGCUAGAUCGACCAGCGCUAGGUUUUUCGUACCUUUUUUAGAAACUUUUUUUACCAAAAUUAUUUUGUAGGUGAGCAUCUUAACAUGUCCAUAUGUGAAAAUAAGUUCUUUUAUUCCGUUGUGGUGCCCACUUGCGAUAAUCGGCAUUUCUACAAAACGAUUUUGCUCGUUUGGAGAAAAAAAACCUUUUUUUUAAGUAGUGCUCGUCAGCUAGUCGGAGUGGAGGAGGUGCAGCUUAAAGCGGUGAUGCGGAAUAACCAUCGAAGACAGUGGUAUAAACUAUGUUGAUAUCUGAUAUUUGCUAGAAAUGUCAAAGAAUUAGUAGCAAAUAUAAACAUGAAAAAAUGGGUCUUUUUAUAAUUCUACAAAUUUGAACAUCUUAUAUGCAGAACUGAAAACACACUAAAUAAUACUUUUAACUGUAUAUGUUUAUAGGGAUUUUACAAAACAUAUCAAACUACUAGUAAGUAUUAAAGAAACCCAUGUUUCCGAAUAAUCUAAAUAGUGUACGCACGCUUCACGCACAAAAGAAAAAUACACGGCCGGGCUAAGUAGUUAAGCGUGCUAAUAGGUGCGCCGUUUUUUUAGUAUAGACAUAUUCGACGCACUCGCUUUUAACGUUUUCUCACAUAACCCAGCGUGGAAUACGUCAUGUACAGUAUGCUAUACUGAAAUUAAUUACGUUAUACGCUCAGGACUUGAUCCUUAAGGAUCCUUAAGGAUCAAGCUUGACACAUCACGGUCGAUUUCCUUUGGUGAAAAAGGCACACGCUUUGUUCUGUAAAACUCACACUGAAUUUGAAAUUCGAAGAGAGCGAACUUUCCUUUUUGAAAAACGCAUGAACUGUACUAUACGUACGUACAAAUGCACGAAAAGUUUGUGGAGCUAGUCCAGGAGAGCUGAGCUGAGCUGAGCUGAGCUCGGUUUGCACAUCAUCAUGGAUUAUCUGGAGCUGUACAGGAUCGGAUCAGGUUGCAGCCGACCGAGUAAUUAAUUAAAUUAAUUGCAGAAGAACACUAAUCAAGCAGUCAACUAUAUAGCGUCAACAUGCCCACCGAUCGAGAUAGCGUCAACGGACCGGGAGAAAAUCUCAUAUGGUUUCAGUUCAGUUCAGUUCUGUGCAUGCCUAUAAAUACGCUAGAAUAGCUUCUUAAUUAUCAUCACGCACUUGCCGUACUGAGAGGAAAGGGUUUACGAUCGAUCGAUUCGAUCAAGAGAUAGCUAGCAAUAGCUUAGCCAUGGCGUCCAAGGGUUUACUCAUCGUGUCCGUGCUCCUGCUGGCAUCUGCUUUCCUCGCCACCUCAGGUGAAGAUCAUCGUAUGUCGGUCGUGAACGCACCAACUGCAUAUAUGUGAAAAUUAGACCAAAGAUCGAUCAAAUCUAUAUACAAUAUAUUUAUUAUAUACACACAAUAAAGAUCUCCUGAUCCCAUAUACAAUAUAAUAAAGUAGAAAACAGAGCCACAUAUAUAACUUUAUUCUCUCACUAAUAUUUGUGUAUGGAUGGAAAUGCAGAGGCUGAUGACCCGGAGCCAGCGAACACUAGUCCAGGCGGCGGCGGCGGAUCAUCAGGUUACGGCCAAGCAGGCGGAUCUACCGGCUACAACGCCGUCUCAGCCUACUACCCACCGCCAACACCUGCAGGGUGGCCAAACGGUGGCGGCUACUCCUACGGAUCAGUAGGACAGGACGGCAGCUACUCCUACUCGUAUGGAGUACAGUACAUCAAUGGCGAUCCUGCGGGUUGGUCUGGAUGGAACAAUGUGUGGUGGUUCGACCGCCGGUGCCCAUCGGGCGCUUGUUGUGCCCGUGGGUUCAACGGCGAUUGCUUCCGUUGCUGCCAUCCGUGGCCGUAGUACAUCUUUGUGUGUGUGACUUGUAAUAACGAAUAAGUAUAUACCACUUUAAUUAGCUUUAUAUAUAUCAACCGCACGCCCGUGAUAAUACUGAAUGUGGUCUUAUUAAAUUACCAGUUGGAGUAUUUACCAAACUACCGUGUGUUAUUUGAUGUACGAGUUAGAUGUAUCUUUAUGGAAUAAUAAUAAUAAUAAUAACAAUAAAAGGGUGGCGGAGUAAUCCUAUAAACUUAUACAAUUUAUCGAUUAUUUAGGACAUUAUCAGGGUCUCUUGAAUUCCUAUUGAUUUUGCAUGCAUCGUAGCUGUGUGUGUGUGUGUGUGUGUGUUAACACCAAGAGGAGGCCACGGCCCAGGAGCAUUGGGAUCUUUGGCAACUGCCAGCUCUCAUUGUGUCGAUGAUUUCAUCGAACCGGAUGCGGUGCCCUCUCUUGAUUGAUUUAUGCACCACCAUAUUGCCAUUAACUUUGUUGCUUUGAUAUUUUAUAUAUGGUUCAUCCAGUAAGUCGUUCAGGUAACUCCUUUGUUUGUCAAUUGAUUUGGUUUGUGAUUUUUUUUUCAAGAGUUAAUAUCUAUUUAUAAUCGAAAUUUGGAAUGGUACGCAUAUGAGCUAACCGAGUUGUCGUUCUUACUACAAUAUUGCAUUGACAAGUAAAUAGUCUUUGAAUACACAACACACAAAACAUUUAUGUACAUAUCUAUACAUAUAUUAGAAGUAAUCAUGUCACGCCCCGAACUAGUCCCGACCGGAACUAGCCCGUGAUGCUCCAAUUUAACCUGUUAAUCGAUACCAGUCCCAGGAAACAGUGCUAGUAUCACAGGGAGACAGAAUAUCACAGCAACAGAGGUCUCUUUAUUAUAGAGUAGAUGUACAGUCAUGUUGGGCUGCGGACAGAUCCCGAGCUCACAACCGCAUUACAAAAGGAAAGCGGAAGCCAGGACUUGGACCAAUCAACACAGGCGCGACUUGGGAACUAGGCCGAAACCCUAAAACUCAUCGUAGCCGGCUUGCUCCUGGAAGAACUCCUUAUCAGCAGGAUCCGCUUCAUCUUCUUCAGCAACUGGGGGGGAAUUAUUUAUAUAGAGCAAGGGUGAGUACGGGAGUACUCAGCAAGCCAUGGGAAAUAAGUGUUUAAUGCAGGCUUCAAGGAAAGGCUGGUGUUUUUGCAAUUAAUUUUAUUUGAACUCUUUUCUGAAACAACUAAGUGAGUGCUUCUCAAACGACACGGAUGAGACAGUGCGUCCCGUCCGGUCGGAGUAUGUGCAAUGUAUCAGUCUUUAGAAUUUAAACAAGGUUGGCACCCGGCCAACAGCUUUUUCAACGGCCACCCGGGCCAACAACUUUUCAAACGGCCACCUGGGCCAACAACUUUUCAAACGGCCACCCGGGCCUAGCUGAUCCCAUCAGCUGCAGAUUUUUCAAACACCGAACCCCUUUUCACACAGCAAUUUCACAAGCAGUAGUCAAACCAAACUACGCUAGGAAUCACCUCACAUCCGCCCAUGACCGUGGGCACGGCUGUUCGAACAGUUUGUUAACCUCUGCAGAGGGGGUACACUUUACCCACACGACAUUACUAACCCGGAUCACCCAGCCCGUGGGGAUCAGCCACGUCGGGAGACCUCCAAGCUUUCAUGACAAGGCAUUUCCAAAGCCGACACAGGUUUACCAUGUGCCGACGAGAGGGGUCCCAGACCAACAACAGGUUAGGUCCCAGACCAUACUGUGCCAAGAAGCCCAGGGGUCCUCCCCGACACCACCCUGGUGAAUCCACAUGUCUCUCGGCAUCAAGGCUCCCCUGAUAAGCUAGUUACUCAGCCAGGGGUGUCCCAUUCCACCCAUGUGGUCGUACUUGUCUUAUGUUUGGAUGAAAUUCCAAGGAAUCGGUCCUUAAGUGCGAGAGCGGGAAACCGUACACCCGGUACGUUUCCCGGUCCGCGGUUUUGAAAAUUCAUUUAGUUCGCAAGCAGCGACCCAGGUGUCGGGUUUUCCAAGUCUUUUGUAAAACUCCAGUUUUACCCAAGUUGUUACUCAGAUUUUAAGUUUGAAGGCGACCGUCGAUACUGGCACAGGGUGCACGAAUAUCGAGGCGCAACUGGAUGGUUACAAGGGGACAUGGUAUAGCAAUUAACAAUGGAAGGAUCAAAUGCAACAAGUUAGGUAGGUCUGCCAAUCUGCCUUGCAGACGGAACAACAGAUUAAGUGCAAUCCUAUCAAUGCAUAAUAUUUUGCAAGCAAUAUAAUUAGAUUUCAAAUAUAGGCUCAAGAUGUUCAAAGGUGGCUUGCCUUGCUCGAGAUCUGGAGCUUGAUCCUCGAAAUCCUCGCACUGCGGGUCUUCGGGCUCCGAAACUAUACGCAAAACAGGACAACUCAACAAACGGCGAAAAUAAAGCCCUAUUAAUGACCUCUAAGCGUGCCAUUAGAUAGAUCUCGAGAUUUGAGAAAUUUUGGAAUUUGAACGGAGUCAAACGGAUUUACGGUUGGGAAGAUAUUGAAUUUCUAAGAUUAUUGGAUUUUUGGUCUAAAGGAAAAGGAUUUACUUAAAUCCCUUUUUUUUGGAAAAGAAAAAGAAAAGAAAAGGGGAGAGGGAGGGAAUAUAGACUUCCCUCGGGCGGCUAGGGCGCGGCCCGAGAAAAAGGGCGGCUCGGCCGAGCUUAACGGGCCGGCCGGCCCAAGAAGGCGGCCCAGAGCGGCCCAAGACGCGCGCGCGCGGGAGGGAGGAGAGAGAGAGCCGGUGGACCGGGCUCACCAUGCGCGGUCCCGGGUGGGACCCGCUUGUCAGCGGCUCGGCUCACCGUGCGGAGGGAGUACGCGGCUCAUGCGCGCGGGCGGGGGAGGGACGCGGUGCACGCGCGCGGUUCGCGGUGGACGCGGAUGCGGCGGGCCCACGCGCAGCCUCACGACUAGCGGUGGAACGCGCGCACGGGGAGGGACUGACCGGGGUCGGCUCGACCCGGUCUAGGCUGAGCUGGCGCCGACGUGGCGCCUAUGUGGCUGCCACGCGGGCCGGCGGGAGGUAGACGAUGACCCGGCCGCGAAUGGACGGCGGGCGGCGGCGGCGAGCGGCGGAGCGAACCACGGCGAUACGGACAAAAGCGAGCACACCGGGCGGUUGCUCGUGAUGAGGGGAGACGAGCCAACGGCUCGGAUUUGCCAGAGGAAGCUUGACGGCGGCGAAUCGCGGCGGCGACAACCGGCGGGGAGGGAAGAGGGAAACGGCGGCGAGGCCACGAGGGGUCGAUUCCCGGCGGUGAGAGCAUCUACGCGGUUUCGGGAACUCGAUGCUAGCGUCGGAUUGGACGGAGCUACGCCGAGCGAGGCUGGCGACGUGUGGGUGCUACGGAGCUCGAGCGGCGACGGCGAGCGACGGCAACGGUCAGGGCGGCGCCGGCUAACUACGGGGAGUCUACUCGAGCUACUACCGAAAGCUAGGGGGAGGAGAUGGAGCGAGGAGGAAGAACGGAGGGAGGCAUCACCGAGAUGAGGAGGGGCGCUGUGACGAGAGGCCGACGGCGCGGGAGUAAUCUCUCCGGCCUUGGGCCGGGGAAGAGGAAGGAGAGGGCGCGGCCGAAGUCCCCUUCCGCGUCCUUGCUCGUGCCGACUCCUUCGACACGCGCAACAACGAACGGCGACGGCGAACAGAGCACGGAGGCGGCAGCUAUGGCGAGGAGGCGAAAACGAGGGAGAUUGGAGGGGAAGGAGCUGGGGUUUAAAGGGGGCGGCAAUGUCGGUUUGGGAACCGACUUAGGGCGGUCAAGGCACGAGCUGGCGCUCGGCGGUCGCGGCCAAAGCGGCGACAGGGAGGAUGACGCCGGCGGGGGAAAAGGGGAAAGAGGAGGAGGGGAGCGGGGGCGACGCGGCAGAGGGAGGAGGGGCGCUGCCUCCGUCCCUUGGCGGCUUGCGCGCAGAGUGGCGGGGGCCGGGCGGUGACGACGGCGAUGACAGCGGGCGGUUUGGAGCGGCGCGACGACACGGGCGACAGACGCGUGCAGAGGCUGACGGCGGCGGCGACCGGGCGGUCGGCCACUCGGCACGCGCGCGCGGCUUGCAACGGGCGGCGUCCGCGCGGGCGUGCGCACGCGAACACGGCGCGCGGGAAGUGGCAGCGAGGGAGCGGAGAGGGAGGACUUGGCUCGGCGCGGGCGGCUUACGCAGGCGCGGCAGAGCGAGGAGAGGGGAAGGGGGCGCUCGGCGCGGCGGCUCUUCGCGCACGCGCGCGCGGCGCGCGGGCGAGGCGGAGCGGAGCUGAGCGGGGAGGAGCGGAGCGCGCCGGGGAGGGGAGAGGGCCGGGGGAGAGAGAGAGAGAGAGAGAGAGAGAGCGCCCGGGAGAGGGAGCGCGCCGGGAGGGAGAGGGCCGGGGGAGAGGGAGAGAGAGAGAGAGAGAGCGCCCGGGAGAGGGGGAGAGGGAGCGCGCCGGGAGGAAAUCGGCCCAUCGACCCCCAGGGGAGGCAAAAUAGACUUUUGCGGAGGAAUUUGAUUUGGAAGGAUUGGAUUCGGAAAUGGACUCGACGAUAGAUCGGGGAUUGAGAUCUUGAGAUGGCACGGACACUAGACAACAAGCAAAGAAACAAAUUUCGCAAUUAGGGUUUUUAAGAGAUAAUUUUCCCGCUAGGCGCCACGACGGAACGGGCGCUACAAAUCAUCCAAGAAUCCACGCUCCAAACAUUUGUCUACAUAUCUAUACAUAUGUUACAAAUAAUCGUCCAUAAAUCCACGCUCCACUAUGUAUCCCAAUAUUUCAAUGGGAUAUCUCAAAAGUUUAUGAUUGUUGCAAUCAAAGCAUGGUCAAAAGAAAUUUCCUCAUAUUCUCCCUCAAAGCAUGUGCCUUAGCCUGAUCAAUAAAUUUGGAUGUUUCCUUCAUAAAUGUAGGAUGAGUUGUUCGAAAAUCUUGUACAUCCAUACCAAUCCAUAUAUACAUAGUCACGGUACAAAAAAAAUUAGAACGCAGGUAUUUCUUAGAAAACAUGAGUAUUUCCUCAAAAUUAAUGCAACAUUACAUUAAUUGUAGUAUGUACUAGUGAUUACAAUACUCCCUCCGUCCGAAAAUAUAAGGGUCUCCCAAAAACCCUUAUCUUUUGGGACGGAGAGAGUAACAAUUUUCUCAUCGUAACAUUGUAUUUGAGCUAGAUUUUGAAAAAAAAAAGGCUCAAAAAAGUCCUCUUAUAGAAAUGCGAAUUGUUUGCAUUGCUCCGACGAAAUUUGAAAUAAAUGGAGGCAAAUGAAAAAGGUAAGCAAGUAUGUUACCUUUCAUACCAAAACCAAGCAAAUAUUUCAAGUUGAACCCCCCCCCCCCCUAUUUGUUACUUCGUUUUGUAGAGAGAAACUUCGGAUUCAAAUGGCUCCAGCUUGGGCUAGAUGGAGAUAUAUAGGUCAUCAUCGUGCGCGGGCCACUUAAGGGGUUGCAUGUGAUGAUGCACUGUCGCAUGUGGCCCCUUAAGCGGCCUUCAAUCGAUAAUGGUUGCAUUAUUGCAUGAGGGCGACUUAAGGGGCCGCAUGCGAUAUUUUGUGCGGCACCUUAAGCCGAUCACAUGCGAUAAUGCAACGAUUAUCGCGUGCGGGUAGCCACAUGCAAUAAAGCAUGCGGCCUAUUAACCAAAGAGAAAUAGGUGCUAUAGGAUGAACAAAAUUGCUUGUGUUUAUGUACAGAUAGAGGAUAAAAGAAAAGUGGGCUACAUAUUUGUAGCUAGUUGCAGCUCGAGCCUCAAUAAACUAUGUGAGAGAAAUAGAUGGAUUCAGUAUUAAUCAUUAUAUAUAUACAACUCAAUAUUGUAUGAAUGAACUAUUAGAUUGACUAUAAAUGAUGUUUUAAUUUUUAGAGUCAGUAGUUGGCUAUAUUAUUAAACUUACUCUAGCAAGGGAGAGUACAAGACCACAUAUUCGACGCAGUAACUUUUUACAUUUCCUAACGUAAUUCAGCGCGUGGGAACACGUCACGUCAUGUACAGUUUGCGCCAGCCUGAAAAUAAUUACUUGAUCCAGUUUCUCUUUGGAGAAAAAGGCAGACGCUAUGUUCCGUGAAACACACACGGGAUUUGAAAUACGAAUAGAGCGUACUUUCCUUUUUGUAAAACUCAUGAACUGUACGAAUACGUAUGCACUAAAAGUUCAGUUAUAUGGCUGGCAAAGCAGAGCAUAUCGAGUCAUGUAGUCAACUGGAAACAUGGCACAUAUAUAUCGAUCGCGUCUUCAAACUCCCAUCGAUCGAGACGGCGUCAACGCGGUGAAAACGCACGCGCACACGUACGAUCCGGUAGCCAUCAUGUCAUCAGUUGGCAGCCGGCCGGCCUCGUGCGUUCAGUAACUGAAUUUUCAGUUGUUGCUUUAUUACGUUGGCUAUAAAUAUACGCUCGGUUUGCAUGGAUAUCUUCUCAUCAUCACACAGCAAGUAAUUCGAUCUUAAUCUCAUCACAUUCAGUGAGAAGAGAAGGGAUAUAAACGAUGGCGUCCAAGGGUUUACUCGUGUUCACUCUGCUGCUCGCUGCUGCCUUCCUCGUCAACUGCGCUCGACAAGAACCUCGUACGGGACGCAAUUAAUUAACUGCAUGCACGAAUUAGCUAAUUAAAUGUCCAUGUUAACAUCCAUGUUUGUUGUUUUUUUUUUUCCUUAUCUGUAGCAGCGCCACAACGCACAAAAGCGUUCAUCCAUGACAAAUAAAUCAUCUGCUAUAUAUAUACUGCAUAUGCGUUCAGUGUUCUUAGCAUAUAUGUAUGCGUCUGCUAUAUAUACUUUUCAGAUCAGAACUCACGUUUAUAUGUACGUGCAGAGCCCAACGAGGGACCGACAGCUGACCCCGACGCCGGCGCCGGCGGCGACCACGGAACGUCAUCGGGCAACGGCAAAGCGUCGGGCCAUCGGCCGCAGGCGAAAUUCGGCGGCGGCUGCUGCUGCGGCGCCGGUUGCAGCGAGCAGUGCGCCGAGUGCCCUCGCCCUCCACAUCCACCCCCAUCUCCAUCUCCAUGCGUCCAUCCCCCCUGCUGCGAGUCGGCCGCCGGCUGCUGCUGCAAUGGAUGCAGCGGCGGCGGUUGCGGUGGUGGUCAGUGCCCGCCAUCUCCGUCAUGCGAGAAUCAUCAUCCUCCCUGCAAGCCGGGCUGCUGCUGCUGCGGAUGCAGCGGCGGCGAGUGCCCUCCGCCUCCAUCUCCGCCGUGCCAGCAUGAGUGCCCUCCAACUCCGCCAUGCGAGCAUCCUCCCUGCAGCGAGUCGGGCUGCUGCGACAAGGGUUGCAACAGCUGCUGCAACCGGUGCGGCGAGUACGGACAGUCCCGCCCCUAGACACGUACAAAAAAUGCUACAGUAGCUACUACCGUCCCGUUACGUACGUACGUACG
rnacentral:lncRNA from 1 species